UUGGUUUUCCUUUUAAGAGGAAAGGGUGAUGCAGCAAAGUAGCGUAAGUAUUUCCCUCAGUUUUUGAGAACCAAGGUAUCAAUCCAGUAGGAGGCUACACACGAGUCCCUCGCACCUACACAAACAAAUAAAUCCUCGCAACCAACGCGAUAAGGGGUUGUCAAUCCCUACACGGUCACUUACGAGAGUGAGAUCUGAUAGAUAUGAUAAGAUAAUAUUUUGGUAUUUUUGUGAUAAAGAUGCAAAGUAAAAUAAAAGCAAAAUAAAAGGCAACGGAAAUAGCUAAGUGUUGGAAGAUUAAUAUGAUGGAAAAUAGACCCGGGGGCCAUAGGUUUCACUAGUGGCUUCUCUCGAGAGCAUAAGUAUUUUACGGUGGGUGAACAAAUUACUGUUGAGCAAUUGACAGAAUUGAGCAUAGUUAUGAGAAUAUCUAGGCAUGAUCAUGUAUAUAGGCAUCACGUCCGAAACAAGUAGACCGACUCCUGCCUGCAUCUACUACUAUUACUCCACACAUCGACCGCUAUCCAGCAUGCAUCUAGAGUAUUAAGUUCAUAAGAACAGAGUAACGCUUUAAACAAGAUGACAUGAUGUAGAGGGAUAAACUCAUGCAAUAUGAUAUAAACGCUCCCAUUUAAGGAAAAAGAAUUUCACGUUCUUCCUGAAAGGAAGGGCGGCGCGGAAGCAAUUUGCUUGGCUUUACAUCCAUCCCAGGGUAUCAUUUCAGCAAGACGUGCUUUUAUUUAUCGAUAAUAUCUUUCGUUUUGUUCAAGCAUAUCCUUAAUGUCUAUAAGUGGAGUCCUCUUUUAUGCGGGUUUCCACUUUAAGCAAUGAUUUUAGAAUCCGAUUCAAUAGAAAAUGAGAAAAUGAACUAUUUACUAGGAAAAAAAGGGGGCACCCUACCCUUUUUCAAGGAAGUUGGUGAACUGAUGACAGGGAAGCCGGCGACCGAAGCCCCGGUGAACGGCGGCCGUAACUAUAACGGUGAAAAGUAGUACGCUUUCUUUCGUGGUGUUCAGGAUCAAUAUUAGCACGAAUCGUACGGAAAUGUAACUCGGUAUUCAAACAACUAUUCAGAGUUCCUGUAAAUUGAUCAACUUUAAAUAGAAAAAAUAAAGUAAAGAGUAAAUAAGAAAACAGAAUAUUCUGUCUCAUAGUUCUGAACACAUACUUCACAAGCAAUACAUUUAUCAAAUUCAAAGUGGAUUCGCCGCGAUCGGAUUGCACUUUUACCCAAUUUGGGAAGCUGCAUUUGUUGAUGAGUGGGUCUCCUUUUUUUUUCUUUCUUUAGAGUUUUCUAUAUGCACAAUUUCUUGAUGUUUCGAUGAGAAUUUCUUGACUUUUAUCCUCGAUGGCAACAAUACAAUACGUGCCUUGCUGCCCCUACUGUCACUGGGAAAGGACACCGCAAGAUUGAACCCAACACUAAGCACUUCUCCCAUUGCAAGAAAGAUCAAUCUAGUAGGCCAAACCAAACUGAUAAUUCGAAGAGACUUGCAAAGAUAACCAAUCAUACAUAAAAGAAUUCAGAAGAUUCAAAUAUUGUUCAUAGAUAAACUUGAUCAUAAACCCACAAUUCAUCGGUCUCAACAAACACACCGCAAAAGAAGAUUACAUCGAAUAGAUCUCCACAAGAGAGGGGGAGAACAUUGUGUUGAGAUCCAAAAAGAGAGAGGAAGCCAUCUAGCUAAUAACUAUGGACCCGAAGGUCUGAGGUAAACUACUCACACUUCAUCAGAGAGGCUAUGGUGUUGAUGUAGAAGCCCUCCGUGAUCAAUGCCCCCUCCAGCGGAGCUCCGGAAUAGGCCGGAAGAUGGGAUCUCACGGGUACAGAAGGUUGCGGCAGUGGAAUUAGGUUUUUGGCUCCGUAUCUGAUUGUUUGGGGGUACAUAGGUAUAUAUAGGAGGAAGGAGUACGUCUGUGGAGCAACGUGGGGCCCACGAGGGUGGAGGGCGUGCCCAGGGGGUAGGCGCCCCCCUACCUCGUGGCUUCCUGGUAGCUUUCUUGACGUAGGGUCCAAGUCCUCUGGAUCAUGUUCGUUCCGAAAAUCACGUUCCCGAAGGUUUCAUUCCGUUUGGACUCUGUUUGAUAUUCUUUUUCUGCGAAACUCUGAAAUAGGCAAGAAACAACAAUUCUGGGCCGGGCCUCCGGUUAAUAGGUUAGUCCCAAAAAUAAUGUAAAAGUGAAUAAUAAAGCCCAAUAAUGUCCAAAACAGAAUAUAAUAUAGCAUGGAGCAAUAAAAAAAUAUAGAUACGUUGGAGACGUAUCAAGCUUCCCCAAGCUUAAUUCCUGCUCGUCCUCGAGUAGGUAAAUGAUAAAAACAGAAUUUUUGAUGUGGAAUGCUACUUGGCAUAAUUUCAAUGUAAUUCUUCUUAAUUGUGGUAUGAAUAUUCAGAUCCGGAAGAUUCAAGAUAAAAGUUCAAUAUUGACAUAAAAAUAAUAAUACUUCAAGCAUACUAACUAAGCAAUUAUGUCCUCUCAAAAUAACAUGGCCAAAGAAAGUUCAUCCCUACAAAAUCAUAUAGUUUAGUCAUGCUCCAUUUUCGUCACACAAGAAUGCUCUCAUCAUGCACAACCCCGAUGACAAGCCAAGCAAUUGUUUCAUACUUUAGUAAUCUCAAACUUUUUCAACCUUGACGCAAUACGUGAGCGUGAUCCAUGGAUAUAGCACUAUGGGUGGAAUAGAAUAUAAUGAUGGGGGUUAUGUGGAGAAGAAAAAAAAGGAGAAAGUCUCACAUCAACGAGGCUAAUCAAUGAGCUAUGGAGAUGCCCAUUGAUUGAUGUUAAUGCAAGGAGUAGGGAUUGCCAUGCAACGGAUGCACUAGAGCUAUAAAUGUAUGAAAGCUCAACAAAAGAAACUAAGUGGGUGUGCAUCCAACUUGCUUGCUCACGAAGACCUAGGGCACUUGAGGAGGCCCAUUGUUGGAAUAUACAAGCCAAGUUCUAUAAUGAAAAAUUCCCACUAGUAUAUGAAAGUGACAAAACAAGAGACUCUCUAUCAUGAAGAUUAUGGUGCUACUUUGAAGCACAAGUGUGGUGAAGGAUAGUAACAUUGUCCCUUCUCUCUUUUUCUCUCAUUUUUUGGGCCUUCUCUUUUUUAUGGCCUUUCUCUCUCUUUUUUUUUCAUUCCUCACUUGGGACAAUGCUCUAGAAAAUGAUGAUCAUCACACUUCUAUUUAUUUACAACUCAAUGAUUACAACUCGAUACUAGAACAAAGUAUGACUCUAUAUGAAUGCCUCCGGCGGUGUACCGGGAUAUGCAAUGAACCAAGAGUGACAUGUAUGAAAGAAUCAUGAACGGUGGCUUUGCCACAAAUACUAUGUCAACUACAUGAUCAUGCUAAGCAAUAUGACAAUGAUGAACGUGUCAUGAUAAACGGAAUGGUGGAAAGUUGCAUGGCAAUAUAUCUCGGAAUGGCUAUGGAAAUGCCAUAAUAGGUAGGUAUGGUGGCUGUUUUGAGGAAGAUAUAAGGAGGUUUAUGUGUGAAAGAGCGUAUCAUAUCACGGGGUUUGGAUGCACCGGCGAAGUUUGCACCAACUCUCAAUGUGAGAAAGGGAAAUGCACGGUACCGAAGAGGCUAGCAAUGAUGGAAGGGUGAGGGUGCGUAUAAUCCAUGGACUCAACAUUAGUCAUAAAGAACUCACAUACUUAUUGCAAAAAUCUACAAGUCAUCAAAAACCAAGCACUACGCGCAUCCUCCUAGGGGGAUAGAUUGGUAGGAAAAGACCAUCGCUCGUCCCCGACCGCCACUCAUAAGGAGGACAAUCAAAGAACACCUCAUGUUUCAAAUUUGUAACAUAACGUUUACCAUAUGUGCAUGCUACGGGACUUGCAAACUUCAACACAAGCAUUUCUGAAAUUCACAACUACUCAACUAGCACGACUUUUAUAUUAUUACCUCCAUAUCACAAAACAAUCAUCAAGCAUCAAACUUCUCUUAGUAUUCAAAACACUCAUAAGAAAGUUUUUACUAUUCUUGAAUACCUAGAAUAUUAGGAUUAUUUAAGCAAAUUACCAUGCUAUUUAAGACUCUCAAAAUAAUCUAAGUGAAGCAUGAGAGAUCAAUAGUUUCUAUAAAACAAAUCCACCACCGUGCUCUAAAAGAUAUAAGUGAAGUACUAGAGCAAAACUAUAUAACUCAAAAGAUAUAAGUGAAGCACAUAGAGUAUUCUAAUAAUUUCCAAAUUAUGUGUGGCUCUCUCAAAGGGUGUGUACAGCAAGGAUGAUUGUGGUAAACUAAAAAGCAAAGACUCAUAUCAUACAAGACGCUCCAAGCAAAACACAUAUCAUGUGGUGAAUAAAAAUAUAGCUCCAAGUAAAGUUACCGAUGGAAGUAGAUGAAAGAGGGGAUGCCUUCCGGGGCAUCCCCAAGCUUAGGAUUUUUGGUGUCCUUAGAUUAUCUUGGGGGUGCCAUGGGCAUCCCCAAGCUUAGGCUCUUGCCACUCCUUGUUCCAUAAUCCAUCAAAAUCUUUCACCCAAAACUUGAAAACUUCACAACACAAAACUCAACAGAAAAUCUCGUGAGCUCCGUUAGCGGAAGAAAACAAAAGACCACUUCAAGUACUGUAAUGAACUCAUUCUUUAUUUAUAUUGGUGUUAAACCUACUGUAUUCCAACUUCUCUAUGGUUUAUAAACUAUUUUACUAGCCAUAGAUUCAUCAAAAUAAGCAAACAACACAUGAAAAACAGAAUCUGUCAAAAACAGAACAGUCUGUAGUAAUCUGUAACUAACGCAAACUUCUGGAACUCCAAAAAAUCAGCCAAAAUAGGGCAUCGACCUAGACAAUUUGUUUAUUGAUCAGCAGCAAUUGGAAUCAGUAUUUUAUCACGUUCUGGUGAUUUUUAACAAUUAUUUUUGUGAACAGAAAGUUUCUGGAAAUUUCUGCAAGAUCAAAUAACUAUCAUCCAAGAAGAUCCUGUAGGUUUAACUUGGCACAAACACUAAUUAAAACAUAAAAACACAUCUAACCAGAGGCUAGAACAAAUAUUUAUUCCUAAACAGAAGCAAAAAGCAAACAAAACUAAAAAUAAAAUUGGGUUGCCUCCCAACAAGCGCUAUCGUUUAAAGCCUUUUAGAUAGGCAUUGAUAAUUUUAAUGAUGCUCACAUGAAAGACAAGAAUUGAAGCACAAAGAGAGCAUCAUGAAACACGUGACAAACACAUAUAAGUCUAACAUACUUCCUAUGCAUUGGCCUCUUAUAGGCAAACAAAUUAUCAUAGCAAGCAAAAACUAGCAUAUGCAAGGAAGCGGAAAGAAACAGUAGCAAUCUCAACAUAACGAGAGGUAAUUUAUUAUCAUGAAAAUUUCUACGACCAUAUUUUCCUCUCUCAUAAUAAUUACAUGUGGGAUCAUAAGCAAAUUCAACAAAAUAGCUAUCACAUAAAAUAUUUUCAACACGAUCCACAUGCAUGCAAAGUUGACACUCUUCCGAAAUAGUGGGAUUAUCAUUAACUAAAGUCAUGACCUCUCCAAACCCACUUUUAUCAAAAAUUUCAUAAGAUUGAAUAUUCUCCAAAUAUGUGGGAUCUAAAGUUGACACUCUUCCAAACCCACUUUCAAUAUUAUUGCAAACAAUAUUAUCAAUCUCAUAUUCAUCAUGGGGAUUAAAUAAAUUUUCAAGAUCAUAAGAAGAAUCACCCCAAUCAUGAUCAUUGCAACAAGUAGUAGACAUAGCAAAACUAGCAUCCCCAAGCUUAGGGUUUUGCAUAUUAUUAGCACAAUUGACAUCAAGAGAAUUUAUAGUAAAAUCAUUGAAAUCAUGCUUUUCAUCGAGGGAACAAUCAAGCAUGGGUGCAAUAGCAAAAAUCUUAUUUUUAACAUAAGGAACUAUAGCAAAUUCGUCUUCAUAAAUAUUGGCAUCAUGGCCACAAGAAUAGCAAGCAUCAUGUUCAUCAAGGGAUAUUUCAACCAAAUCAUCAGAAUCAUCAUUAUCUAUAGAUUCAUGCAUAUCAUUAUUUUCUUCCAAAGCAACGGUCAUUCUUUCAAUAAAUUCUUGGACAUAGACAUUAUGGGCACAGUUUUCAUUGCAAUAUUUAAGUAUGACGGAAUUUUCAGAUUUGUUGAGAGCAAAAUCAUACUUUUCAAUCAAAGAAGCAACUUCAUGAGCACCCUUAAAAACGACAAAUUCUUCAAUUUGUUCGAUAUCAUAGUAACUAUAAACACCCUUUGCAUAAGAAGAUAAGAUUUCAUUAUCAUUGAACUCACAUAGGUAGGGAAGGUGUUUUUUAGGGUUCUUAGAGCAACAAGUAAAAUCACACAUUUCACAAAGAUUCCAACCAUAGCAUAGCAAACUAUUUAUAUGAUACCAUAAGAGCUUCCCUUUUUCAGACAAACAAUGAAGCACAAAAUGAGCAUGCUCAUCUAAAGAUUUCCCAUCAACUAGGCUAGUUGGGGUUUCAGCACGAGCGCAUAAGGAUCAAAUAUGAUCCAAGUAGAAUACUUUAAGUGGAUCCAUAUCAAUAGAUUUUCAGCAAGCGAAGAUGCAAGCAUAUGGAAGGCACAUGGCAACACGAGCAAACAAAAGGACGAACGAAAAAGAGAGGGCAAAUAAAACGGCAAGGGUGAAGUGGGGGAGAGGAAAACGAGAGGCAAAUGGCAAAUAAUGUAAUGCGGGAGAUAAGGGUUUGUGAUGGGUACUUGGUAUGUUGACUUUUGCGUAGACCUCCCCGGCAACGGCGCCAGAAAUCCUUCUUGCUACCUCUUGAGCACUGCGUUGGUUUUCCCUUGAAGAGGAAAGGGUGAUGCAGCAAAGUAGCGUAAGUAUUUCCCUCAGUUUUUGAGAACCAAGGUAUCAAUCCAGUAGGAGGCUACGCGCGAGUCCCUCGCACCUACACAAAACAAAUAAAUCCUCACAACCAACGCGAUAAGGGGUUGUCAAUCCCUUCACGGUCACUUACGAGAGUGAGAUCUGAUAGAUAAGAUAGGAUAAUAUUUUUGGUAUUUUAUGAUAAAGAUGCAAAGUAAAAUAAAAGCAAAGUAAAAAGCAAAGGAAAUAACUAAGUAUCGGAAGAUUGAUAUGAUGAAGAUAGACCCGGGGGCCAUAGGUUUCACUAAUGGCUUCUCUCAAGAGCAUAAGUAUUUUACGGUGGGUGAACGAAUUACUGUUGAGCAAUUGACAGAAUUGAGCAUAGUUAUGAGAAUAUCUAGGUAUGAUCAUGUAUAUAGGCAUCACGUCCGAGACAAGUAGACCGACUCCUGCCUGCAUCUACUACUAUUACUCCACUCAUCGACCGCUAUCCAGCAUGCAUCUAGAGUAUUAAGUUCAUGAAAACAGAGUAACGCCUUAAGCAAGAUGACAUGAUGUGGAGGGAUAAAUUCAUGCAAUAUGAUAAAAACCCCAUCUUGUUAUCCUCGAUGGCAACAAUACAAUACGUGCCUUGCUGCCCCUACUGUCACUGGGAAAGGACACCGCAAGAUUGAACCCAAAGCUAAGCACUUCUCCCAUUGCAAGAAAGACCAAUCUAGUAGGCCAAACCAAACUGAUAAUUCGAAGAGACUUGCAAAGAUAACCAAUCAUACAUAAAAGAAUUCAGAGAAGAUUCAAAUAUUGUUCAUAGAUAAACUUGAUCAUAAACCCACAAUUCAUCGGUCUCAACAAACACACCGCAAAAAGAAGAUUACAUCGAAUAGAUCUCCACGAGAGAGGGGGAGAACAUUGUAUUGAGAUCCAAAAAGAGAGAAGAAGCCAUCUAGCUACUAACUAUGGACCCGAAGGUCUGAGGUAAACUACUCACACUUCAUCGGAGAGGCUAUUGUAUUGAUGUAGAAGCCCUCCGUGAUGGAUGCCCCCUCCGGCGGAGCUCCGGAACAGGCCCCAAGAUGGGAUCUCGUGGGUACAGAAGGUUGCGGCGGUGGAAUUAGGUUUUUGGCUCCGUCCCUUAUCGUUUGGGGGUACGUAGGUAUAUAUAGGAGGAAGGAGUACGUCGGUGGAGCAACAAGGGGCCCACGAGGGUGGAGGGCGCGCCCCCUACCUCAUGGCCUCCUCCUUUGUUUCUUGAUGUAGGGUCCAAGUCUCCUGGAUCUUGUUAGUUCCAAAAAUCAUGCUCCCAAAGGUUUCAUUGCGUUUGGACUCCGUUUGAUAUUCUUUUUCUGCGAAACUCUGAAAUAGGCAAAAAACAACGAUUCUGGGUUGGGCCUCUGAUUAAUAGGUUAGUCCCAAAAAUAAUAUAAAAGUGAAUAAUAAAGCCCAAUAAUGUCCAAAACAGUAGAUAAUAUAGCAUGGAGCAAUCAAAAAUUAUAGAUACGUUGGAGACGUAUCACGCAGCAGCUCCCGCGCAAGGCUAACCUUUUUUGAACUGUCUUGGAAGUGGUCUUGGUUUAGUACUAUUUUGUUAUGCUGCAAUGGCGCCCAGUUUUUGUAAUCUGCUUCUUCGUUGCACUUUAUGAUCACUGGUAGCGAACUUCGAUGCCCAGUGGAUGUAAUAUACCAUAAAUCCUUUAUUGUAUAGUGUAGGUUUAUUCAAAGUUACUAUGCCGUAAUUUCUUUAUUGUAUAGAGUAGGUUUGUUCUUAAUUCCUACUAGUUACCGUAUAUGCCAUCAUUCGCUAUCCGACAAAAAAAUGGUGAAAAUCCGAUGUAGUCGAGCGGGCCGAAACAUUCACCUCUAACGGGCCUGCAUUUUAGCAGGCCACAAUUGUGCCGGCCCGCAACUUUCUUGGGCCUGCGCUGCCUGGCCAUUGGGGCCCUUCAUGUACAUUGUGCGCCAGGCCCACAACUUACAUGGUCCUUCAUUGGGCCCAAAGUUUAGUUAGGCCUUUAGUGGACCCAGCGCUUAGUUUGGCCCAUGUAGCUUUGGACCAUUAACAGGCUAAAUAUUUUGUUGGCUUGUUACGACCCAGAAGAUACCAUGGGCCUUUAGCAGGACAAAAUGCAUGUUGGGCCUCAAUUUUCAAUAGUUGUCCACGGGCCUUUAGCAGGCUAAAAUGUAGAUCGGGCCAUUAUUGGCCCAGUUAUAUGAUGGGUUGUUACCAGGCCGAAGAAACAUAUCACGGGCCUUUGUUGGCCCACUGAUAUCAUGGACCUUUAAGAGGCCGAAAGCUUAGUAGACGCAUCAAUGGGUCGAAUUAUAUGACAAGCAUAUAAUAGGCCCAAAGUCACGUUGGGCUGAACUGUUGCCACCUUGAUCACGGGCUGUUAGUGGGGCGGAUGUGCGUCGGACCAUAUAUAGCCCAUGGGCAGCAUGGGCUAUUCCCAGGCCGAAAGACACACCUAGCUGAAAUGGACCCAUGUCUACAUCGGGCCUCUAACAUGCCGAAAUCUCAUUGGGCCGUAAUUGGGGCCAAAUACUCGGCGAACAAUUAACGGGCCAGAUCUGGCAUUGGGCCGCAAAUGGGCAUGUUUAACCAGGCCAUUAGUGGGCCGGCCCACUAGUACCUAAGUAAAUCAAACGGGCCUUUGACUGGGUCGGCCUUUUUAACCUAUAUGGGCCUCUGUUGGGCCCUUCCAUGUGUCGACGUAUCAUAGGCAUGUCUCCUCCAUUGAAUGGACGACUUCUGGCCCACCGCGGAGGCGACAUGUGUUUCCUCCGGCCAAUGAUAAUUUUACACGUGGAAAAUCCCCAUUGGUUCGGGCUGUUAACGGGUUAUCAGAUCCAAACCGGAACCCGAUAGCUUAACAACGACCCGUUAUGGUGGAUGCCACGUGUCGGUUACCCUUGACAAAAGCACUUCCAUGACGCGCCAUUUAUCGUCAUGGAAGUGGACACUUUUAUGAUGGUAAUUUUGGUAUUGUCAUGGAACACUUCUACGACAUCACAGGUAUGACUAUCUUGAUUCUGUCAUAACAUCGUCAUGGAUGUACAUGCAUGACAGAAAACGUGGCCUACUGUGACAAACACGUAUCAUCACGAAAGUGGUUCUUUUUUGUAGUGCCAACCUAGGCCUAUUUGUUUUCUCCAACUUACUAGGCUAUAAAUCUAUCAAGACGAGGAGAGUUGCAUUCGGCCUGGCCAGAAUAUGGGCAGUAAAUCUUAAAAGUAAUAUGAAAUGGGCUGCAAAUUCCAAGAAAAAUAGUAAACGGGCAAUUAGUUUUGUUGUUUAUGUUCUUCACUGAGAUUUUAUAUUUCAUUGAUUUUAACAUAAUAUUAAUUUAUUUUAAAAUUAGUUUUUAAUAUGGCUCCUAAUUUGGGGAUUAAAAAUAUUUAGUACCCCAGCAAAAAUAUGCAAAAUUUUGAAAAUUUUGCAUAUUUUUAGUUCCAACUUUUAACCCUCGUCCUGACCAGAAAAUGGCAGCAAUUCCAAAAGUACAAAAUCGGCUGCAAUAAAUUCCAUAUGAAUUAGCAAAUGGGCUGUAAAUUAUAAAAAUAAUAGCAAAUGGGUUGUACACGCCACAGAUUUCGAGGCUGACUUAUUUACGCAAGGCUUUGUCAAGUUAUAGUCAACACACGAUUCUAGCAGCAGUGACUGUUGGAUGUCCAUUCAACAGCCGUCGUGCUUCUUCAAUCUCUGAUCUUCCUGCUCUAGCUGCCUAAACCAGUGCCGGCGGGACUGCCUGCUCCCUCCUCCCAUGGUCGGCUGUGAUGUGGCGCAGGCUUCACCGGCCCACCCUACUCCCUCCGCUAGCUUGGCCAUCCCUCAACAUGGCCAUCAAACGGUAGCCAUCGGAAUAGGGAUGUAGUGGAGAGGCUGACAGUAGGGACCCCCAUGGUCCAUGGCCGAACGCAAACAAGUGCCUCCUUAUUACGCGAAAAAAUGAUUCCUCCUUUUGACAUGUGGGGCCCACUAGAUUUAUCUUAACAUGAAAGGAAUUGCCUCCUUAUUACGUGAAAAAAUGAUUCCUCCCCAUGACAGCUAGGAGUCACCUGAUUCGGAGGCUGACAUGUGGGCCUACUAAGUUGACGCGUACGCAUGGCUUUGUCAACUCAGUCAAAAAACGAUUCUAGCAACAGUGAUCGUUGGAUGUUAAUCGAACGGUCGUGUUGCUUCUUCAAUCUCUGAUCUUCUUGCGACAACCGCCCAAACCAGCGCCGGUGGGACCGCCUGCUCCUGCCUCCCAUGGUUGGUUGUGCUGUCGCGCAGGCCUCGCCGCCCCACCCUACUCCCACCGUUGGUCAGGCCUUCCCUCUACACACCUAAACCCCAUGUUAUUCUCCGGCGGUGGCAGCCUCAAACCGCAGCCGAACCGGUCAACCCUCGUACUCCCCUCCGUGUGGGCAUCCACAGUCGCGACUUCCCCGGCUCCAUGUCGUUUCCUUCCUAGGUCGCGCCAUCGUCCACCACCUUGGUGAUCUCGGUACGACAUCGUCAAUGUGGUCAACGAACGACAACCAUCCGAAGAGUACUGUACGUGGAGAGGCUGACAGCUGGGUCCAUGGCCACAUGCAAGGAAGUGCCUCCUUAUUACUCGCAAAACAAUGAUUCCUCCACUUGACAGCUCGGACCCACCGGAAGAGCCUCUGUAUUUCGCAAAAAAACGUCCCCCUGACAGCUGGGACCCACCGGCUUUACCUUCACACGCAAGGAAGUGCCUCCUAACUGCGUGCAAAAAAUUGAUGACCCCCGACAGCUGGGACCCACCAGGUCGAUGCGUAUGUACUGUUAUUGAUAUGUCUCCAACGUAUCUAUAAUUUUUUAUUGUUCCAUUUUAUUAUAUUAUCAUUCUUGGAUGUUUUACAUUCAUUUUAUAGCAACUUUAUAUUAUUUUUUGGACUAACCUAUUGACAUAGUGCCCAGUGCUAGUUGCUAUUUUUGCUUGUUUUUUACUUCGCAUAAUAUCAGUACCAAACGGUGUCCAAAUGCCCCGAAACAUUUUGGAGAUUUUUUUGGACCAGAAGACAACUUGGGAGCCAAGGAAGCACCAGAGGUGAGGCCCGUGGGGCCCACAACCCACCAGGGCGUGCCAGAGGCCCCUGGCGUACCCAGGCGGGUGGAGGAGCCCACGGGAGUCCUUUCCACCACCUGUCAGCUCUAUAAAUACCCAAAUAUUCCAGAAACCCUAGGGGAAUCGACGAAACACAAUUCCAGCCGCCGCAAGUUCCAGGACCAUGAGAUCCAAUCUAGAGCCCUAUUCCGGCACCUUGCCGAAGGGGAACAUGAUCACGGAGGGGUUCAUCAUCCUCAUUGGUGCUCCUCAGAUGAUGCGUGAGUAGUUCACCAUAGACCUACGGGUCCGUAGGCAGUAGCUACAUGGCUUCUUCUCUCUUUUUGAUUCUCAAUACAAUGUUCUCGUCGAUGUUCUUGGAGAUCUAUUUGAUGUAAUGACUUUUUGCGGUGUGUUUGUUGGGAUCCGAUGAAGUGCGAGUUUAUGACCAGAUCUAUCUAUGAAUAUUAUUUGGGUUUUCUUUGAUCUCUUAUAUGCAUGAUUGUUAUAGCCUCGUAUUUCUUCUUCGAAUCUUUGGUUUAGUUAGGCCAAAUUGAUUGAGUUUUCUUACAAUGGGAAGAGGUGCUUUGUGAUGGCUUCGAUCUUGUGGUGUCCUCACCAAGUGAUAGAAGGGGUAGCGAGGCACACAUGUAUCAUUGCUAUUAAGGAUAAAAAGAUGCGGUAUAUUCCUACAUGAAUAGACACUACUGCAGGAUGCUGCUAACGCGGCACCACGAUCAGAGACCCUUCGACGAAACUGUGUGUGAUGCAAUAAUCGCAAACGGUGGUGUAAAAAAACCGUCAAAAAAGGUGCAAAACGUUUGCGAUGAUGGAUGCAUCAAACACAGUUCAGAUUUUAGUUGCGUGUGCGAUGCAGGGCAUAUGGUUCAGUUCAAUUAACUGUUUGCGAUGAGGGGGAAUAAAAGAAACAGGCAGCCGGAUGAAGGUGUGUGCAAUAUACAGCAUACAGUUCACUCGGAUGAACUGUUUGUGAUUAGGCAACACAAAAGACACGGUCAGCCAGGUCAAGGUGUGUGCGAUAUACGGCAUGCGGUUCACUCGGAUGAACUGUUUGCGUUGAGACAAGAGAACGGAAAUGGUUCAAUAUAACAAGAUGUGUGUGAUACACGGCAAAUAGGUCUGUAAUCAGAAAUGUGUGCGAAGACCGAUAAUAACAUAGACGAUUGCUGCUAAUAAGACACGUGUGUUGUGCGAUGGGAUUGCAUACAGAACAACAACAUAUAUAUAUAUAUACACACUUAUAAGGACAUGGUUGCAUAACCAAAUUAAACAUCCACUUACAUAGGUGGCUACUACAACCAUGGCAUUUGCGCACACCGAAGUAAACUAUUACAUGCAUAAUUACAUAGGUGGCUACUACACACAUGACAUUUCCACACACCAAAGUAAACUAUAUAUUACAUGCAUGAUUAACUAGGAUAAACGAUCAUCUGAUCAUCUUGUGGCUCGAUCCGGCCUUGUCGAGGGUAACGAGGCACUUCCUCAUGUCAACGAUCCGCCUGUGCAUCUCGUAGCAUGUGUACAAGCUCUUGGCGGCUAACCUGAGGUGAUGUUCAUCCAGUUGCCGCAUCCAGGCCUCGUGCCAGGAUACGGGACGUGUUCUGUUGGCAUCCUGCUUCAUCUUGUCGUAGUAUGGGUCGAUGAUGGCCGAGGCGAGUUCAACCAAGGAGUCCUUCUUCGUGCUGCCCUAGACCCUGUAGUGCUCACAGAUUUCGGCAAGGUUCUUGCAGGCCAAGCCCGUAACCCUGAGCGCUUUUACAUCAUCGGUGGUUUCCACCCUAGCGAACUUGUAGUCGGUGCUGUUGACAAACCUGGCGAAACGGUCGGAAGGCUCUGUCGCCAUGCAGUAGUGGUAGAUGAGGACAUGACGGCGCACGCACAACUGGGUGAUGGCAACCUUUUAAUCUAUGUUGGGAUGACCGGCGGUGUACUGGAGGUCGAUGUCGACCACCUUGUACUUGUCUCGAGCAAGCAACUGCUCAACGGUGUUGAUGUAGUCAUCCACCAAGGCCGGGUCGAUGGUGUACACCACCGAGAGAUCUGUCUCCCUCGCGUGGGUCUCCACUUUAUGCUCGACGAACGCCAUUGGAGCGCCGCUAGACAUCCCCUCUCUAUGUGUCAUCGUGGGUGUGCUUGUUGUGUUGUGGGGCGCGAUCGAAAGGUCGAAGAGACUAAGGUUAUAAUGGCCGCAGGAAUUAAAGGGGAAGCCAGACGGACUGGAAUAUCGGCACGCCCUGAUGGCAGUUCUAAUUCACUGUGUGUAAGUCCAUCGUGCCGCACGUAACUGCAUCGCAUGGUAACGUGCGCGAUGCAACCGCAUUCAUAUGGGGCCCCCGACGUGAUCGUGCGCAGGCCCAACCACUGGCAGAGCGCGCGCGGAGGGACGCGAGCAGAGCGCUCUGCGCUCGCCUCAAUGGCGAGCAACCAUAUAUAUGCAUAUAGCAGUUGAACACGCAAGGAAAAGCUGUCCACAAGCCGAGCGCGCCGACGGAUGCGAGCAAAGCGUGCCGCGGCGCCUAAUGGCGAGCAUAGCGCGAUGCGGCACCUAACGGCGAGCAGAGCUUGCCGAGGGACGCGAGCAGAGGCCGGCAUAGUGAUACGUGGCAAAUAAGAUGAACUGUGUGAGCGAUGUUCGAGACGUCAAGCACAAAUCAGAUUAGAGUUGCAUGUGCGAUAUGUGGCAUGCAGUUGAUCCAUCCGAGAUGUUUGUGAUGGAAUAAGCCGUGUGUGUUGUGGGCAAACACUUGCUGGUAUAUAACUUUAAAUUUAACCAACAAAAUGUUAAUGCAUGUUACAAAAAUUAUAUAACUCAAAACUAUGUUCAAAUACUAAUCCAACGAUAUAAUCUUUGGCGACAUGAAUUCGUACUUUAUUAGUUAAAUCCUACUUAUAAACCAGGACGGGGGUAUAGUAGGUAAUUAAAUCGCAAAGGUUUUUUAUUAAACGUAUGUGUACGUGUCCUUUCGUCCUCCUCUCGCAUGUCUUGUCACCCCGCUGCCGCGGACGGCUUCGAGCACAAGCUUGAGCAGCGCGCGGGUGCGUUCUUUUUGCCAAACAGUGGUGAGCCUAUUCCCACACAACCGCGCAGGUUCCAACGCAAGCUUCCCGCCCGACUUGGUGAAAUCCCCCAAAAUCCCAAUGCUUACUAGCCUACUAUAUAAACCCUCACAGCCGGCGAGUCCUGUGUCGUAUUUUCCCCUCCCUCCCUGUAGCUUAUCUCGUCUGCUUCUCCCACAAUCACCAAUGGCACCGGUCCGUCAUCGUCGCUCUGCCACUCCGCCGUAAUCAGAGGAUAGCUCCAGCUGGGAGGCUACACCGCGGCGGCGGCGCAGUCCCCGGCGUAGUGUAGUGCGUGUGGCGUCCCUGUUGGGUGUGCGCGGAACACCCACCACAUGCUCCGCCACCGCUGCCCGUCGGCAGCUGUUGCCAGCCACCGUUGCCGCCACACCACCGUCGAAAGCCAGGGCCAUCGCCCGCUAUGUCUCCGCGGUCCAAAGGCGGGAGGUGGCCAUCGUGGCCGCCACCCCACUGCCGGCCACCGUGGCCAUCACCCGCUCUGCCAUCACGGCCCGAAGGCGGGAGGUGCUGGUCGUUGAUGCCACCCCAUCGUCGGUCGUCGUGGCCGCCAGCCCACCGUCGACCGCCGGGAUCAUCACCCGCUCCGCCACCGCCGCCCGAAGGAAGGAGGCGGAGGUGGAGGCCCGCAUGUGCGUCAGCGACCUUGCACACUACAUCAAGUUCCUGCGGGAGGAGGAGGAGCGCCUCAUCGAGCACGCAAAGAGCCGUACCGCAGCCGUGGCCGCAACACACGCUAACGUAGAGGCGAGGAAUCAGGAGAUCUAUGAGCAGUCCGGCCGCUUCGAGAGGGGUCGCCCAGAGCGGCAGAGGGCGUUCGAGGUGAGCGUCGCUGAAGGUGCAGCAGUGGCAGGCACCAUAUUGCAGUUGUCCAGCUCGUCGGUAGGCUCCUCCCCCUCUUCCUCUUACUGAGCGCGCUCGGCAAAGGAGAGGCUGCCGGAAGUAGUACAAAGCCCCUCCAUAGUAGUAGUAGUAGUAUUUAGGGGCUAUUUUGUUCAGUUCAUCUGACUAUAGAUGUGGUGGAACUGUACAAUGCACUUAAAAUUAGCUAGUAUAUAUAGUUGAGCUAGCUAUUUCAGUACGUGGUUGACAACAAUUGGGGAAAAGUUUGGUCAUUUCAGCUGUCGAGUUGAACUGUUUGUAUAAAUUAAGAACGACUGCUUAAUCUAUGAAUGAAAUCUAUGCUUAAUUACUGAAUUUUAGUUGCACAAAUUAGAUAGUGCUAGUGAUUUUUAGCUGCAUAUUUUGACAAAUCGCAAUGUCAUAAGGAUUGACAAAUGGCAAUGUUACUAGAUCAACAAAUGUCAAUCUUUCCAGUUUGACAAAUGGCAAUAUACCCAAUAUGAUAGAUGCAAAUCUUACCAAAUUGUCUGUACGUGGUUGCACACGGGUCAUCUGGAAAAACCAUGCCAAAUUUUCUAUUGGCUUAGCGCUGAAGUCUCGCUUUGCAUAGAUUAUUCAAUCUGAAUCGUUUGCGUUGAAGAGAUGCACAAAUCCUGUGCGGCAAAUUUUCCCUUGGCUUACUGCAGAAGACCAUAGCUCUCACUUUGCAUAUAGGUGUUCUAUCUAAAACAUUUGCGAUGAAGAGCUGCACAAAUCUUGCUCGGCACAUUUUCCCUUGGCUUACUAGGGAAGCUGUCCGUUUACAUAUGGGUGUUCUACCUAAAAUGGUUGCGAUGUUAGAGUGGCAGCUAUUUGUUUCAAAAUGCCUUUGUUUGUUGUUAUUCAAGUGCGCCUUCUCUAAAAAUGGACACAAAAAUACCACAGCAUGUCGGGUGCCAUUCCAUGAUAGCAUGCCAAGUUUCAUGAAUUUCAAAUGAGUUUUUGAUUUACUAGAAUUUAAAAACAAAGUAUCUCAACAUUUUGCUGGCAAUCAACAGUGCCCUGGUGUUUGAAAUCCAUUCCCAUUUCUUGCAUGGGACCUAAGCAUGCACCCAAGGACACAGAUUUGAUUUUUUUCAACCAACUUAUAUGCACUGGAGCAUGUGCAUGUAGUUCAAAUUUGAAUUAUGGACAUAAAAUGCCUAGAAAACCCAGUUAAUGUAUAAAAAUGUCCAAACGAACCCCGAAAAAUUUCAAAAUUUAACACAACACUCCUGUUGUUCUAUGUUGACACUAGAAAAUUUUUGAAAGCAGUAAGAGGCAACGGAUAUCGUUUCGUCCCCAAAGGUGGCACGUUCCCAACUGAAACCACCAAGGUUGUUGUGAGAAGCCCUGGUUUGUGAGAAGCUUAUACCCAAACCUGCCCCAAAUGGGACAAAAAAUUUACCACGGCAUGUUGAUGCCGCUCCAUGAUAGCAUGCCAAGUUUCAUGAAUUUCAGACGAGUUUUGGAUUUACUAGAAUUAAAAAACCAAGUAUCUCAAUGUUUGCGGCCGAGUGACGAUGGCAGGGUGUUUGACAUUCAUUCCCAUUUCUUGCAUGGGACCUAAGCAUGCAACCAAGGACACAGAUUUGAAUUUUCAACCAAUUUAUAUGCAUUAGAGCAUGUGCCUGUAGUUUAAAUUUGAAUUAUGCACAUAAAUGCACUGAAAACUCAAUUAAUGUAUAAAAGUGUCCAAACAAACCCCAAAAAAUUCCAAAAUUUAACACAACACUCCUGUUGUUCUAUGUUGACACUAGAGGAAAAAAAUUGAAAUCAAAAGAGGCAACAGAUAUCGUUUCGUCCAGAAAGAUGAAAUGUUCCCUACCGAAACCAUCAGGCUUGUUGUGAGAAGCUCUGGUUUGUGAGAAGCUUAUACCCAAACCUGCCCCAAAUGGGACAAAAAAUUUACCACGACAUGUUGAUGUCGCUCCAUGAUAGCAUGCCAUGUUUCAUGAAUUUCAGACGAGUUUUGGAUUUACUAGAAUUUAAAAACCAGGUAUCUCAAUGUUUGCGGCCGAGUGACGGUGGCAGGGUGUUUGACAUCCAUUCCCAUUUCUUGCAUGGGACCUAAGCAUGCAACCAAGGACACAUAUUUGAAUUUUCAACCAAUUUAUAUGCAUUAGAGCAUGUGCCUAUAGUUAAAAUUUGAAUUAUGCACAUAAAUGCCUUGAAAACUCAAUUAAUGUAUUAAAAUGUCCAAACGAACCCUGAAAAAUUCCAAAGUCUAACACAACACUCCUGUUGUUCUAUGUAGACACUAGAGAAAAAAUUGAAAUCAAGAAGAGGCAACGGAUAUCGUUUCGUCAUGAAAGGUGAAACGUUCCCUACCGUAACCAUGAGGCUUGUUGCGAGAAGCUCUAGUUUGUGAGAAGCUUAUACCCCAACCUGCCCCAAAUCUGACAAUAUUUUUACCACUGCAUGUUGAUGUUGUUCCAUGAUAGCAUGUCAAGUUUCAUGAAUUUUAGACGAGUUUUCGAUUUACUAGAAUUUUAAAACCAUGUAUCUCAAUGUUAGCAGCCGAGCAACGGUGGCAAAGGUGUUUGACGUUCAUUCCUAUUUCUUGCAUGGGACCUAAGGUUGCAACCAAGGACACACAUUUGAUUUUUCAACCGUUUAUAUGCACUGGAGCAUGUGCAUGUAGUUCAAAUUUGAAUUAUGCACAUGAAUGCAUAGAAAACUCAGUUAAUGUAUAAAAAUGUCCAAGCGAACCCCGAAAAAUCCCAAAAAUUGCACAGCACUCCUGUUGUUCUAUGUUGACACGAGAAAAAAUUUGAAAGUAAGAAGAGGCAACAGAUAUCGUUUCGUCCCCCAAGGUGGCACGUUCCCUACCGAAACCAUCAGGCUUGUUGUGAGAGAAGCUCUGGUUUGCGAGAAGCUUAUACCAUAACCUGCCCCAAAUGGGACAAUAUUUUUUUACCCCAGCAUGUUGAUGCCGUUCCAGGAUAGCAUGCCAAGGUUCAUGAAUUUUAGACGAGUUUUCUAUUUACUACAAUUACAAGAGCAAGCACCUCAACGUUUGCCGGAGAGCCACGGUGCCGUGGUGUUUGAAAUUCAUCCCCAUUUCUUCAAUGGGACAUAAGCAUGGACCCAUGGAGAAAUAUAUCAUUUUACAACCCAUUUUGGUGCACCGGAGCAUGUGCAUAUAGUUUAAUUUUUAAUUGUGCACCUAAAAUGCCCAGUAAACCAAGUUAAUGUAUAAAAAUGUCCAAACGAACCCUGAAUAAUUCCAAUUUUUUUGACGACACACCUAUAGUUGCAUGUUAACUGCAAAUAAAAGUUCUAGCAAUUCAAACACUAUCCUUUGCAACUUUGACCCCAUUAUGUAAUUCAAAUCAAGACGAAAAAUCAAGUAGAUCGCACACGGUUUAUUAUCACCAACUGUGUGAGAUGCAGUACAAAAUAUCCUGGAGCACCGUCGGUGUAUAGUAUGCAUACGCCUUACGCGAGAAGGUGCAUCGGCUAUAGUCCACAGCCGGCGUGUCAAGCACACUAGCUCGCUCCUCAAAUAUCAUUUCACAGUUCAAUUGUCGCCGGUGAAAGAUGGGGACGUGGACCCGCUUCGUGAGGACAACUUCGGCGGCCCACUCUGGCGAGAGCGUCGCCGCAGCCGCGAGGCGCGUGCUAAGAAGCUUUGUGAGCGCGGCCGCAAUCUGUGACCGGGCGGCCAAGGCAGCCCAAACGGCCGUUGUUGCUUCUCAGGUGGCGGCAGCAACAUCUGCCUCGGGGAUAGCAACUGGUGAGAGCGGCACAACAGCUGUCCGUUCCGCAGCGGCAGCCUUAGCCCUGUUGGAGGCUGCCCACGACCAUGUUUAGGCCACCCACGCCCAGCUCAUGGCGGUCACCACACAAAUCGAACGAAGCUUCUGCGACAAUGGUCGGCAACCCACGGCCGAAGACUUGGCAAUCGCCAAGAGCGUUCGAGCAGCCCUCCGUUCCUGUGCGGCAUACCUUGCCACGACGGAGCCCGCCCAAGCCAAGAUCGCGGCCGCCCACGCCAAGCUCGUGGCGGCCUAUUCCAAAGAUAUGGCGGAUGUGGAUGGCGAGAUGCUUGUCGAGUAUGGUGUGAUGGAUGCCAUGGAGCCCCUUCCCCAGGAGAUCGUCAGGCGCGAGCUGGACAUGGAGGAGGCGGCGGAGAUCGACGAGCACCAGCCGUAGUAGUACUCUUUGUUUUGUUUAAUUAAGAGUGACGGUCUUUAAUUUGUUAGAGUAAUGUUUAGGUCAGCUAGCUCUGUUUAAUUGCUGAAAUUUCUCGAUUAAGAAGUGUGGGGGUGUUGUAGUCUCCUUUGUGUACGCAAAUUAUGCAAUGACGUGGAUGACCACUGUAACCAGGGAAAUUCGAACCAAAAUUUUUUACGUUCAAACUCAUCACACACGGGUUAAGCUAUCUGAAUCGUUUGUGAUGUUCACAUAUCAUACACAGUGCUGAAUAAGGGACCGUGUCUGAUGACACUUUGCGCGCCAGUUUUUUCGCUGAACCGAUUCAAAAAAAUUGGCUUCCGCAGAAAUAUCUACCUCCCCGCCCCCUCCCCCUUACCAAAAGCCACAUUUCCCCUGUUUCCACCUUCCUUUCCAAGUUGAAACCUUCACUCCUUGCUUGCAGCGCCACCUCCUUGCCGGCGACCCUCCUUCACGCUGCUCGGCCUCGUCUAUCCAGGCAGGUAAUCCACACCCGACCCCUAUCCUCCUCCUCCUUCCACAUCCCACAUGCCCCGACCGCCGGCGCAACACCUUCCACCCAAAUCACCGACCCCUCCACCAAAUAAGCUCCGCCCUAAGCCAUGGUGCACAAAGUAUAGCCAGGAGCUCAAGGAGCAUUUGGCAGCAGAGAAGCAAAUCGCGGCCGCACGCGCGGAUGAGGUCGCGAUGGCUGCCAUUUGUGCCGACCCCCAGAUCAUGGAGGAGCACCUCGCCAUCGAGGCCACCAUCGAUGCCUCACGCGCUGACGCCGCGACACGGUUGGCUACUUUAAACAAUAGUUCGUGGCGUUUUCUCGAGGCCACCCUCGGUGCCUUCGACGAAGACUACGAGGUGUUUUCUCAGCAUGCACGUGCUUACCUCAACUCGAGAGCCAGUAGGUUGAUGCCCGGAGCGGCUCAGGCAACUCACCACUAAGACGAGGCCACCCACGAUGCGGAGGCCUCGCCCUCUUUCAUGUCCAAGGAGCCAAUCGUCAUCGAUAUCUCUGACAAUGAGGACUAGCUUGUCUUAUUAGCUCACUAUAAGGACCCAUGUUCAGUUUGCUAGCUACUGCCUUUCCUUAACAAAUUCUAGUGAAUUGUGCUAUCUAUUUUUACCAUGCAAUUUAUUGCUCUAGUGUGUAUGUUUUAUAUGUCGUGCAAUAUGGUGCUCACUUAUUGACUGUUUGGUUAAUUAGUUGUCGUGUUUAGUUAACUGUUUGGUUUAAUUCUGCUAAUGUGAUGUUCAAUUCUUCAGGGUGCAAUUUUGUAUUGUCUUCCAUGUGAGAAAUAAAUCAAAUUUUCCUUUACAAAAUACAUGAGAAACAAAUACAAUUGCUAUAUUUCCAAGUUGUCAAGCAUGCUUGGUUUGGUUAACUGUCUGAUCUUCUAGUAUGUUAUACAUUGUGCAAUGGGUGCUCAGUUAACGUUUAGUUCAUUUGUUGUGGUGUUUAGUUAACUAUUUGGUUCAAGUCUGCAAUGCAAUAUUCAAUUGUUGUGGGUGCAUUCUGUUAUUGUAUACCAUGUGAGAAAUAAAUCGAAUUUGGCUGUACUAAAUACAUGAGAAACAAAUACAAUUGCUAUAUUUCCAAGUUGUUAAGCAUGCUUGGUUUGGUUAACUGUCUGAUCUUCUAUUAGGAGUAUGUUAUAUUGUGCAAUGUGGUGCUCAGUUAAUGUUUGGUUCAUUUGUUGUGGUGUUUAGUUAACUGCUUGGUUCAAUUCUACAAUGCGAUGUCCAAUUGUCGUGGGUAGAAUUUUGUAUAAUUGUGCACGUGAGGAAUAAUUGAAUUUGGCUGCACUUAAUACAUGAGAAACAUAUACAAUUGCUAUAUUUACUAGUUCUUAAUCAUGCUUGGUUUGGAUAAAUGGGUUUUCCAUGUGGCUUGAAUUAAUCUGAUGAAUCUGCAAUCUGCUUAUUUUUCAUCAACAUAUUUUACUAAUAGCAUGCGAACCCUCACUUAACCUGAUCACUAACUCCUUAUAUGUGUUGCAGGGAAACAAUGGGAAGCACUGAGGUUUACAAUCGAGGUUUGCACAUGCAUGGUCCUUUGUCUAAUAGCACAUUAUUGUGCAAUUGCAGGAACCAUUCUAAUAUUUAGGUUUUUAACAAUUUGGUCUUGCACAUGUAGGUCCUACAGUUAGAGGUUUUGACCCACUGUUCGACCCUUUUUGCAUAUGGGGAAAUGAGUUGUCCAUGAAUAUCAGUCAAGUCAAGAAACUCAGAAAGAUUGUUAGGAUAAAGAAAUUAGCGACAAAAAACAACAAGAUCUUUGUCUGCACAAUGAAGAAGACAUCAGUUCACUACAGGAUGGUACUAACUAUUAUACCUUGCCUUCUUAUUCUUUGCCCCAUUUCCAAUAUAGAGAAGAUAUUUAUGCACAUCCUUGUUUUCAGGCCUUUCCAAAGCAGUUCACUGAUGAUUACCUCUCAAACCACCUGUAUGGUCAGGAGGCGAGGAAGGUAUUCAUACAACACCCACAGUUCAAUAUUGAAGUGUUCCUGAAGAGGAUGAAGGAUGGACGGUCAAUCAUCCACAGGCACUGGCCUAAAGUUGUAAAGACCUUCAACAUCAAUGAAGGCUCAAUAUUCGCCUUCUGCUUCAGCAGUUUUCCAGAUGAGAUACAUCUGUCUAUGUACCGUCUAUGAUGCUAAUUUUGAAAGGUUAUAGAUGUUGCAUGUGCAACUUGGUGCUGGUACAGUUGUGUAAUGGGGUAGCAAAGUGCUGAAGCUAUAUGAUGUUGUACUCUAAUGUAUUUCAAUUAUGAAAAUGAAAUAUAUUGUGUGCUUAAUAUGAAAUGUCAAUUAGAUUAAUAAAUGGAUUAUUAAUAAUAGGAUAAUUAGCCUGCUAAUUGGGUUUUCUAUUGCAAACGGUUAUUGAGAAAACACCAUGGGCGAUGACCUCAGGCAACACACACAGUUUCUAGGAAUAAACCGUGUUGGAUUAAUGAACAAUCACACAUACAUCCUCUUGAAAACUGUUUGCGUUAGGCCACCUGGCGCAAACGUUUACCACAUAAAAACUAUGUGUGAUGGGCAGCCUUUCACACAGUUUCUUCUACGCACCGUGUGUGAUGCAUUCAAUAAUGCAAAAGAUAAAAUUGUUAAUACUGUGUGCAAUGGAAACACUAUCCCAAACGAUUUAAUGGGGAAAAUUGUGUGUGACGUACCUGUGAACAGAAACGUUUUCCUUGGAGUGACUGUGUGGGAUGUAUAUACGAACGGAAACGUUUAGCGGGGACUGACUGUGUGGGAUGAAUUUACGACCGGAAACGAUUUCGCCUGCAUAAUUGAAUUUUUUUAGCACUACUAUACGUAUAACCGUAUUUGAUCGCUCGUCGGUCGCACACGACCUCAUUUUGCCGAGCGUGUGUGCCAGGAGGGCAUAUCCCCGGCGGUUUCUGGGUCAUGUGGGAAGGAACCCCCAAUCGCAGCCACUAACUAGGCGACGGUUCCAAAUGCCGUCGCGGAAAGGGGUUAAAAACCGUUUGUAUAGCACCUCGUUGUACUAGUGAGAUCUUGUCUACAUCAUGUCAUCGUUCUUAUUCCAUUACUUUGUUUCUCCAUGAACUUAAUACACUAGAUGCAUGCUGGAUAGCGGUUGAUGUGUGGAGUAAUAGUAGUAGAUGCAGGCAGGAGUCGGUCUACUAAUCUUGGAUGUGAUGCCUAUAUGCACGAUCAUUGCCUUGGAUAUCAUCGUAAUUAUUUGCUCUUCUAUCAAUUACCCAAAAGUAAUUUGUUUACCCACCAUAUGCUAUUUUCUCGAGAGAAGCCACUAGUGAAAUCUAUGGCCCCCUGGUCUAUCUUUUAUCAUAUUGUUUUCAGAUAUAUUAUUCCAAAAACUCAAAAAUACCUCGUUGCAAUUUUUCUUUACUUAUUUUAUUUUGUGUUUUAGUCAGAUCUAUUUAUCCAAUCUCAUACAUUUUAAUCUAUCUUUUUACCGUGGAGGUAUUGACAACCCCUCUUACGCGUUGGGUUGCAAGUAUUUGUUCUUUGUGUGCAGGUACCGUUUACAUAGUGUUGAUUGGUUCUCCUACUGGAUUGAUAACAUCGGUUUCAUAACUGAGGGAAAUACUUGCCGUAGCUGUGUUGCAUCAUCCCUUCCUCUUUGGGGAAAUACCAACGCAGAUUCAAGCUACCGUCAAAGAAUUUCUGGUGCCGUUGCCGGGGAGACAUCAUCAACAUCUAUCAGGUUCCUAAUAACAAACCUCAUCUCCUUGCAAUUUACAUUAUUUGCCAUUUGCCUCUCGUUUUCAUCUCCCCUACUUCACAAAAAAAUUGCCUUUUUCUUUGCCUUCUUUUUCGUUCGGUUUUUUCUCUUCUGAUCUUUUAUUUUCGUGUUGUCUUGCUUGCCUACUUUAUCAUUAUGGCUAGUUCCUCCUCUAUUCAGUGUACCCUCAAGAAUGAGAUUCUUAACUUUAAACAAGGGGAGUGGAGAAUCUAAAAGAUGCUUUCUAUAGAAUUUGCAAUGCUCAUAAUAGAUCUAUUUGUAAGCAAUCUACCGUUGUUCUUCUUCGCAGUUUCUAUGUGGGCAUUACCACUUGGUAUAGAUUUGUCCUUGAUACGAUUACCGUUCGAAAUUUCUUGAUGUGUCCAUCUUUGGAUGCUUUUAAUGCUAUGGGAGAUCUAGUGGGUGCACCACCUAUCAUUAUUAAUGAAACAAUCUUAACUCUUGAGCAUGUUAUGCAAACAUUAGAUGCUAUUGAAAAGAAGAUGAUCACUGAAGAACAAAUUGAAAAUUUUGAUAAAAGGAUGCAUAAUCUUGCUAAUAAAAUUGGGUGAAAAGCGGGAGAUGCUCUUAAAUUACUGAGGGAAAAGGAAAUCGUAGUUAAUGAAAGAAUAGAAGAAAGUCCCUCUCGGAUUGAUAAGUUGGAAGAAAUUUUUAGUAACUUAAGCUCAGCCUUUUGUUCUGUUAACACUACUGAAAAAAAUCCCGUAAAAAUUUGCAAGUCUACACACGUCACUAAGAACAAGGGUGGCACUUCUAAUAGCAACAAGGAAGAUCUUAAAAUGAUUAGUAUUCAUCCCAAUUUUGUUGAAGUGGUAAAAGGCCCUACUUGCAAAAUGGAUUCUUCAAUCUUAUUCCUAGAAGUAUUGUUAUUGCGAAUAUGCAUGCUAAAUCCUUGAAGAAUUCUAGUUGUGUGAUUGAGGAGUUGGAAACCAAAGAUGACAAUACUUGAAUCUAUCCAUUAUGCUUAGCGAGGGGCAUAAAACGAUAGCGCUUGUUGGGAGGCUACCCAAUGAAUAAAAUUUAUUUUUGCCUUUGUAUUUCUGUUCUUGAGUGUUUGCAUAAUUAUGCUACUGUUAUGAUUGUGCUUUUUAUGUUUUAGUUAGUGUUUGUUCCAAGUAAAGCCUUUGGGAUCAUGUUGGGUGAUAGUAGAUUUCAUCUUGUUGAAAAAUGGAAACUUUUGCGUCCAGUAGAAGAAUUUUAGAAAAUCACAAAAAGGACGAAAAUUUCUGAAUUUUUUACACAAGAUUGAUAUACAAAUUUCCUACGUUGUCCUAAUAUUUCAGAAUUUUUGGAGUUACAGAAGUAUGGUUAAAGUCUAGAUUACUACAGACUAUUCUGUUUUUGAUAGAUUAUGUUUCCGUUGCAUCGUGUGCUUAUUUUGAUGAAUCUAUGGAUUGUAUCGGGGGGUAUAAGCCAUGUUAAAGUUAGAAUAGAGUAGGUAUAAUGCAAUAAUAAAAUAUGAAAGGGUUUGCAACAAUACUUAGAGUGGCGAUUUGCUUUAUUAUACUAACAGAUCUCACAAAGGUUUUUGUUGAGUUUUGUGUGAUUGAAAUUUUCAUAUUUUGGGUGAGAUCACGAUGGAUGAAGGAAUAAGGAGUGCAAAGAGCCUAAGCUUGGGGAUGCCCAUGGAACCCCAAGUUAAUAUUCAAGGAGAACCAAGCAACUAAACUUGGGGAUGCCCUGGAAGGCAUCCCCUCUUUCUUCUGACAACCAUCGGUAAUUUUACUUGGAGCUAUACUUUUAUUCGUCACAUAUCAUGAGUUCCGCUUGGAGCGUCUUCUAUUAUAUGAGUCUUUGCUUGUUUUGCUUUUUAGUUUCUCACAAUUAUCCUUGUUGGACACACCUAUUUGAGAGAGCUAAAAUUAUGCUAUGAUUUGUUAGAAUUGCUCUAUGUGCUUCACUUAAAAAAAAUUGAGCUAUGGAAUUGCUCUAGUGCUUCACUUAUAUCUUUUUUUAGCACGGUGGUGCUUUAAUUUUUGAAUAAAUACUCUCAUGCUUCACUUAGAUUUAUUUGAGACUUAGAAAAUUUCUUUAAGAAAUUAUCCCAUGCUUCACUUAUAUUAUUUUGAGAGACGAAAAAAUUUAUGCUCAUGAUCUUCACUUAAAUUUGUUUGAGCUUGUCGAAAGCAAUUGCAAUAUAUGAGAUUAGUCCCAAAGUGAUAGAUAUUCAAGAGGGAUAUAAUAAAAACUUUCAUGAAGAUCAUUGGACAAAAUAAACUUGAUUCUUUGUAAUAGUUUUGAGAUAGGAUGAUGGUAAUAUAUGAGUCAUGUUGGUGAGCAAUUAUGCUUUAGUAAGAAUAUUGGUGUCAAGGUUUGUGAUUCCCUAUGCAAGCACAAAAGUCAAUAGUUAUGCAAUGAAAUUACAUCUUGCUUGUGGUGCAUUAUUCGGUGUUAGUUAUGUUUAAUGCUCAUUUAUGAGAAUUUUCAUUUCUUGGUUGGUUGCUUCUCAAUCUAUUUGCUAGCCUCCAUUUGUACUAAGUGGCAAUACUACUUGUGCAUCCAAAAUCCUUAAACCAAGUUUUGACAUAUGAGUCCAUCGUACCUACCUAUAUGAGGUAUUUCCAUGCCGUUCUAAGUAAAUUUGUAUGUGCCCAAUAUAAUUUUCAAACUGAACUUCCUUUUUGUGUGCCCGUGCCGCUCAUGAAGCGGCUGGGGGUGUCCAAUAUUUUUCCAUGCUAGAUGUGUUAUUCUCAAGAUGAGUGUUUAUUCACUUGUCAUUGCACGAGAGUGUGGCGGUAAUAGGGAUGCCCAGUCCCAAAAUGAAAAAGAAAUUUACUUUGUGUUGUCAAUAAUAAAUAGUGUUGGUAUGGAAGGCACCCGUGAAUACGGCUAGCCAUGGAUUGUGAAAGAAUGGUGGAAAAAGGAAUAAGCUUUAUUUUAUGUUUGGGAACUGCCUGUGAUGUAUCUAGCAUGGAAUGUAUUGGGAAUUACUCGGUCAUUUUCGUUGACGGGAAAAGCAUGCCUCUCGAAAUAUUUUUAUCUCUCAAUAUGUGAUGAACAUGUUAGCCAUCAUUCCACAUCAAAUAUUCUAUUUUUAUCAUUUACCUACUCGAGGACGAGCAGGAAUUAAGCUUGGGGAUGCUGAUACGUCUCCAACAUAUCUGUAAUUUUUUAUUGUUCCAUGCUGUUAUAUUAUCAUUUUUGGAUGUUUUACAUUCAUUUUAUAGCAACUUUAUAUCAUUUUGGGACUAACCUAUUGACAUAGUGCCCAGUUCCAGUUGUUGUUUUUUGCUUGUUUUUUACUUUGCACAAUAUCAGUAGCAAACAGAGUCCAAAUGCCACGAAACUAAGUCUAAGAUCGAACCCACCAAGGCGUGCCAGAGACUCCUCGCGCACCCAGGUGGGUGGUGGGGCCCACGGGAGUCCUUUCCAUCGCCUCCCAGCUCUAUAAAUACCCAAAUUUUCCAGAAACCCUAGGGGGUCGACGAAACACAAUUCCAGUCGCCGCAAGUUUCAGAACCACGAGAUCCAAUCUAGAGACCUAUUCCGGCACCUUGCCGGAGGGGAACACGAUCAAGGAGGGGUCCAUCAUCCUCAUUGGUGCUCCUCCGAUGAUGCGCGAGUAGUUCACCAUAGACCUACGGGUCCAUGGGCAGUAGCUGGAUGGCUUCUUCUCUCUUUUGGAUUCUCAAUACAAUGUUAUCCUCGAUGUUCUUGGAGAUCUAUUUGAUGCUAUGACUUUUUGCGCUGUGUUUGUUGGGAUCCGAUGAACUGCGAGUUUAUGAUCAGAUCUAUCUAUGAAUAUUAUUUGAGUUUUCUUUGAUCUCUUAUAUGCAUGAUUGUUAUAGCCUCGAAUUUCUUCUCCGGAUCUUUGGUUUAGUUAGGCCAACUAGAUUGAUUUUUCUUGCAAUGGGAAGAGGUGCUUUGUGAUGGGUUCGAUCUUGUGGUCUCCUCACCCAGUGACAGGAGGAGUAGCGAGGCACGCAUGUAUCGUUGCUAUUAAGAAUAAAAAGAUGGGGUCUAUUCCUACAUGAAUAGAUCUUGUCUACAUCAUGUCAUCGCUCUUAUUGCAUUACUCCGUUUCUCCAUGAACUUAAUACACUAGAUGCAUGCUGGAUAGCAGUCGAUGUGUGGAGUAAUAGUAGUAGAUGCAGGCAGGAGUCGGUCUAAAAAUCUUGGACGUGAUGCCUAUAUGCACAAUCAUUGCCUUGGAUAUCAUCAUAAUUAUUUGCUCUUCUAUCAAUUGCCCAACAGUAGUUUGAUUACCCACCGUAUGCUAUUUUCUCGAGAGAAGCCACUAGUGAAAUCUACGGCCCCCGGGUCUAUCUUUUAUCAUAUUGUUUUCAGAUCUAUUAUUCCAAAAACCCAAAAAUACCUUGCUGCACUUUUCCUUUACUUAUUUUAUUUUUUGUUUUAGUCAGAUCUAUUUAUCCAAUCUCAUACAAUUUAAUCUAUCUUUUUACCAUGGAGGGAUUGACAACCCCUCUUACGCGUUGGGUUGCAAGUUUUGUUCUUUGUGUGCAGGUACCAUUUACAUAGUGUUGCUUGGUUCUCCUACUGGAUUGAUAACCUUGAUUUCAUAACUGAGGGAAAUACUUGUCGUAGUUGUGUUGCAUCGUCCUUCCUCUUUGGGGAAAUACCAACGCAGAUUCAAGCUACCGUCAGUUAUCUGUCUGGUCACGAAAGUGUACGCACAUAGCGGUCGAUAGGUCUCUCCGCAGCGAUGAACCAUGGCCGGGUAAGGAGUGACACAUGGCGUUAGGGCUGAAAAUGGAGUGGAAAGUUUCGGCUUUUCCGGAGGAAAAAUGAAACAAAGAGGAAAUAUGAAAACGGAAACGGAAGUUUGCAAAACGGAAAUGGAAAUGGAAUUUUUUAAUGCGGAAAUGGAAACAAAAAUGGAAUGGUGUUUACCGGUGGAACACACGUCGAAACGGAACUUUCCGUUUCCGUUAAUAUGGAAUUUUCGUUUCAACUAUAGGCCCAUGGCUGCUUUGUAGCCCAACUACGAAGCAACACACAAUGACACAAUGAGUAGAAUGAGCAGAAUGUAUCAUUUGAGUACCAUAUUUUACUACCACACACAUACUUAACUAGACCCUGUAUGGAAUUGUCAUUUACUACUAUAAUACUACCCAAUGUUACCAACGCAACCAUAUUAUUUUGUAGCCAUGUUAACAAUUCCAUCAAUUUGUUUGUUUUUGUUUGUAUUGUCUAUGAUUCAACAGUGUUUUAAGUUCCAUCAAGACACAGUUUUGUUUUCGUGUCUGCUCCUAUAUUCGUUAUGUGUUUGUUUCCGAUAGUAUCUGUUUCCGUAUUCGUUUCUGACGUUUCUGUAUUCAUUUCCGCUUCUGCCAAAAAAUAUGAAAACAAAUUUGGUAGCAUCCAGUUCCGUCCGUUUCCGUGCUGUUUCAUCCCCACAUUUCGUAGUAGAGCCGCCAAUGUAGCAUGUCACGCAGUCCCGUCUAUAUCGUGUACAUGUACGUAUAGACACACUGCAAGAAAGUAAAUAUUGUUACUUACGUACUGAUACGUCUUCAAUGUAUCUAUAAUUUUUUAUUGUUCCACGUUGUUAUAUUAUCAUUCUUGGAUGUUUUAUAUUCAUUUUAUAGCAACUUUAUAUCAUUUUUUGGGACUAACCUACUGACAUAGUGCCCAGUGCCAGUUGCUAUUUUUUGCCUCGCAGAAUAUCCAUAUUAAACAGAGUCCAAACACAGCGAAACUUUUUGGAGAUUUUUUCUGCCCACAAGACUACUUGGGAGCCAAGGAAGUGCAAGAGGGGAGGCCCGUGGGGCCCACAAGGCACCAGGGCGCGCCAGAGGCCCCUGGCGUGCCCUGGUGGGUAGUGGAGCCCACGGGAGUCCUUUCCACAACCUCUCAGCUUUGUAAAUACCCAAAUAUUUCAGAAACCCUAGGGAAGUCAACGAAACACAAUUCUAGCUGCCGCAAGUUUUAGAACCACAAGAUCCAAUCUAGAGUCCUAUUCCGGCACCUUGCCGGAGGGGAACACGAUCACGCAGGAGUUCAUCAUCCUCAUCAUUGGUGCUCCUCUGAUGAUGCGUGAGUAGUUUACCACAGACCUACGGGUUUGUAGGUAGUAGCUAGAUGGCUUCUUCUCUCUUUUUGAUUCUCAAUACAAUGUUCUCCUCGAUGUUCUUGGAGAUCUAUUUGAGAGCUUGUUAUAAGCAAUGGUAAUAUAUGAAACUAGUCCCAAACUGAUAGAUAUUCAAGAGGGAUAUAAUAAAAACUUUCAUGAAGAUCAUCAGAUAUUAUAAACUUGAUUCUUUGUAAUAGUUUUGAGAUAUGAUGAUAGUAAUAUGUGAGUCAUGUUGGUGAGUAAUUAUGCUCUAGUAAGAAUAUUGGUGUUAAGGUUUGAGAUUCCCUAUGCAAGCACGAAUGUCAAUAGUUGUGUAAUGAAGUUACAUCCUACUUGUGGUGCAUUAUUCGGUGUUACUUAUGCUUAAUUCUUAUUUAUGGUUGUUUUCGUUUCUUGGUUGGUUGCUUCUCAAUCUAUUUGCUAGCCUUUCCUUGUACUAAGUGGGAAUACUACUUGUGCAUCUAAAAUCCUUAAACCAAGUUGUGCGAAAUGAGUCCACCAUACCUACCUAUAUGCGGUAUUUCCAUGUCGUUCCAAGUAAAUUUGUAUGUGCCAACUCUAAUUUCAAAAUGAAUUUCCUUUUUGUGUGCCCGUACCGCUCAUGAAGCGGCAGGGGGUGGCCAAUAGUUUUCCAUGCUAGAUGUCUUAUUCUCAAGAUGAGUGUUUAUCCACAUGUCAUUGCACGAGAGUGUGGCGGUAAUAGGGAUGCCCAGUCCCGAUAUGAAAAAGAAAUUUACUUUAUGUUGUCAAAUAAUAAAUUCCUUUGAAAGUGUUGGUAUGGAAUGCACCCGUGGACACGGCUAGCCAUGGAUUAUGAAAGAAUGGUGGAAAAAGGAAUAAACUUUAUUUUAUGUUUGAGAACCACCUAUGAUGUAUCUAGCAUGGAAAGUAUUGGGAAUUCUCGGUCAUUUUCGUUGACGGGAAAAGUAUGCCUCUAAAAAUAUUUUUAUCUCUCAAUUUAAGCUUUGAGCUCUGGCACCUCUACGAAUCUCAUCUUCCCUCUGCGAAGGGCCUAUCUAUUUACUUUAUGCAAUUUUUAUUUUUAUUUGAGUCUCCAUCUUCUCUUAUAAAACACCAGCGAGGGAGCACUAUGAUCAUACAUGUGCAUUGGAUGUAGCUAAUAUUCGAGUGUGUUUCAUGAAUGGAUCAAUGAUUGAGCAUGAUGGGCUAGGGAUAGCUUUCUUUAGUGUUGAUAUUUUGAAAGAUGGCUGCUUGUUGAUAUGCUUGAGUAUUGAAAACUUCAUGUCAAAUAUAGACUAUUGCUUUGAAUCGUCUAAAAGUCCAAAUGUCCAUGUUACAAAAGAAAAGAAUAUGUGAUGAACAUGUUAGGCACCAUUCCACAUCAAAAAAAUCUGUUUUUUUAUCAUUUGCCUACUCGAGGACGAGCACGAAUUAAGCUUGGGCAUGUUGAUACGUUUCUAACGUAUCUAUAAUUUUUUAUUGUUCCAUGUUGUUAUAUUAUCAUUCUUGGAUGUUUUAUAAUCAUUUUAUAACAACUUUAUAUCAUUUUUGGGAUAACCUAUCGACAUAGUGCCCAGUGCUAGUUGUUGUUUUUUGCUUGUUUUUUAUUUCCCUGAAUAUCCAUAUCAAACGGAGUCCAAAUGCAGCGAAACUUUUUCGAGAUUUUUUCUGCCCAGAAGACAACUUGGGAGCCAAGGAAGUGCAAGAGGGGAGGCCCGUGGGGCCCACAAGGAACCAGGGCGCGCGAGAGGCCCCAGGCGUGCCCUGGUGGGUAGUGGAGCCCAUGGGUGUACUAUCUGCCGCCUCUCAGCUCUAUAAAUACCCAAAUAAUCCGGAAACCCUAGGGAAGUCGACGAAACACAAUUCUAGCCGCCACAAGUUCCAGAACCAUGAGAUCCAAUCUAGAGCCCUUUUCCGGCACCUUGCCAGAGGGGAACACGAUCACGCAGGGGUUCAUCAUCCUCAUUGGUGCUCCUCCGAUGAUGCGUGAGUAGUUUACCACAGACCUACGGGUCCGUAGGCAGUAGCUAGAUGGCUUCUUCUCUCUUUUGGAUUCUCAAUAUAAUGUUCUCCUCGAUGUUCCUGGGGAUCUAUUUGAUGUAAUGACUUUUUGCGGUGUGUUUGUUGGGAUCCGAUGAAUUGCGAGUUUAUGAUCAGUUCUAUCUAUGAAUAUCAUUUGAGUCUUCUUUGAUCUCUUAUAUGCAUGAUUAGUAUAGCCUCGUAUUUCUUCGCCGAAACUUUGGUUUGGUUUGGCCAACUAGAUUGUUUUUUCUUGCAAUGGGAAGAGGUGCUUUGUGAUGGGUUCAAUCUGUCGGUAUCCUCACCCAGUGACAGGAGCGGUAGCGAGGCACGCAUGUAUCAUUGCUAUUAUGGAUAAAUAGAUGGGGUCUAUUCCUACAUGAAAAGAUCUUGUCUACAUCAUGUCAUCGUUCUUAUUGCAUUACUCUAUUUCUCCAUGAACUUAAUACACUAGAUGCAUGUUGGACAGUAGUCGAUGUUUGGAGUAAUAGUAGUAGAUGCAGGCAGGAGUCGGUUUACUAAUAUUGGGCGUGAUGCCUAUAUACAUGAUCAUUGCCUUGGAUAUCGUCAUAAUUAUUUGUUCUUCUAUCAAUUGCCCAACAGUAAAAAAAAAUCCACCGUAUGCUAUUUUCUCGAGAGAGGCCACUAGUGAAAUCUAUGGCCCCCGGGUCUAUUUCCUAUCAUAUUGUUUUCAUAUCUAUUAUUCCAAAAACCCAAAAAUACCUUGCUGCACUUUUUAUUUAUUUAUUUCAUUUUGUGAUUUUGUCGGAUCUAUUUAUCAAAUCUCAUGCAAUUUAAUCUAUCUCAAUACUGAGGAGGGAUUGACAACCCAUCUUACGCGUUGGGUAGCAAGUAUUUGUUAUUUGUGUACAGGUGUCGUUUACAUAGUGUUGCUUGGUUCUCCUACUGGAUUGAUAACCUUGGUUUCAUAACUGAGGGAAAUACUUACCGUUGUUGUGCUGCAUCAUCCUCUCCUCUUCGAGGAAAUACCAAUGCAAAUACAAGCAAUCACGUACAGACAGGUAGGGUAUCGAACACAUACAACGAUGGUGUCAUGUUCAUCGGCAGCCAAGUAGCUAGGUCGGAAUGGAGGAAAUAGCGUCGUGUUCACUGGAGCCAAGCAGCUGGGUCAGAACGCGUCCUGUUCAUCGGGAGCCAACCGACUUGAACGAAACAGCUGAAACAAGAUCUGGCUUACCGCAAAACGGAGGAAACGGACUUGUCACAAACCUCCUACGAUCAAAAUGGGGUCCUAUUGAUCGAGAGGGGUCUGGCGUACCGCAAAACAGAGGAAACAGACUUCAGUUCGAGUGCCUAUGGUCGAAUCUGGGUCCUGUUCAUCGGGAGGGGUGUGGCGUACCACAAAACGGGACUCCACACGCUAUUGUCCAUCCACCGUCUACUGCCUUGCUCCAGCAUCCACGGGGCUACUGUUCAUCCAUCUUCGACUUCCGCUAGCCUCCACGGGCUACUGUUCAUCCACCCUCGACUUCCUCCAGCCUCCACCUGCUAUUGUUCAUCCACCAUGACUUCCUCCACCCUCCACGAGCUACUGUUCAUCCAGCCUCCGCCAGCUAUUGUUCAUCCGGCCUCCACCUGCUACUACUCAUCCAGCCUCCACAUGGGGUCCUAUUCAUCCACCCCCAACCGGCUGGGGUGUGGCGGCCUCCUCGGGGUCCUGUUCAUCCAGCGGCAACCCUAGGGUCCUAUUCAUCCAACCUCCACCGGGAACUGUUCAUCCAAAACCAACCAACCGUCUCGACUAGUUCUACGUAUCGCACACGCGGUAGCUGUCGUGGGAACUAGUCUGGCAGUAAGAAUAGCGGGUACGUAGGAGGAGGCAAGAUCCUAGCUAUGACGAGGUUGUGCAUGCAAGAUUUACGAGUUCAGGCCCUUCUCGGAGGAAGUAAAAGCCCUACGUCUCCGUGCCCGGAGGCUUGGUCAACUGGAUUAUGCAUGAGAGUUACAGGGGGUGUGAACCCUUGUGCCAGUGGAGGGGGUGGCUUAUAUAGAGUGCGCCAGGACCCCAGCCAUCCCACGUUACAUAGGGUUCAAUAUACAUUAAGACAGGGCGUUACUGGUAACGCUAGCUAUAAAGAGCUAUAAAUGAUCUUUAAGACUACAGAGUGAACGCCUGACCGUUGCCAUCCUGAGUGAAUUUAGGUCUUCUGUACUCCGAGUGGUUUCUUGUAUGGUCGAGUGACUUCAUCUUGGUCAAAUGGAAUUGGGGUAUCCGAGUGAAUAACUGGUCGAGUGCAUAACACUCCAAGGUCACUUCAGUCGGUAUCCUUUGUUGUACUUUGAAUGUCUUUGACUCUAGGGAAGUGUCCUUGGGAAGGGCAUCUAGGUCAGGCCUAUUACCCUACCUUAGGUACAUGUCAUCAUCAUUAGCCCCCGAAUGGAUUGAGGUCCGAGUGAAGAAGGGUUGAAGUUGAUCUCGACCCGAUUCUUAUGCUUCAGAGGCUUUUUACCUAAGUCUGGGAAUCAUGCUGAAACUUCAACUUUAUUUUAGUCGCCUUGAUCGAUUUAGAGGUUAUCGAGUGAACUAUACUGAUAAGCUUUGAGUGUUGAUAUGGUAUGAAGUGCGAUUGGUUACUCUGCGGUUCCCAGAUCUCACGGGAUUCAAAAAUUUUGGAGAAGCAUGCGGGCCGGGGCGUGCCGCAGUCAUCGGAGUGGAUAGACAGAGGCGCCUCGAUCUUCGUGCCGCCUUUUUCGCCAUGUAUCGGGCGAGCGCCUGCUGCGGGAUAUGAUAAGAUCGCUCGAGCCCACUCGUCAGCCCCUCGGAAGUGGUCUCAUAAAUAGCGCCCGGGUCGAUGCAACGCACAGUGCGUCCCAAUCGUCCUCUUCCUGCUCUGCUUCUCCACCGCGCUCUCCACCAUCUUCGUCGUCUCCGCUCGCCCGUGCGCACUCUGCCACCAUGGGAAAGGACAAGACGACGGCCCUGGAGCGCUCGAAGAAGGCGGCGAAGGGCAAGAAGAUGAGUUGGGGUUCGUCGUCGAGGUCUGGUUUGCUGCCUGGUUGGAUCCAGGGGACUGGAUUCGAUCCACGAUACAGAAAGAAGACUUGGAGGAUCUGGCCAGUGGAGGCUUGAUUGCUCAUGGGUCUUGGAGGUUGCCGGGGAACGAGACCGAGGCUCGGCCGCAGGAGGGUGAGUGCGUCCUCCUUGCUACCCAUGUCGACCGUUGUUUCACUCUACCUCCGCAUCCUUUUUUCCGGGGUUUCUUGAACUUUUUUGGUGCCCAACUUCAUCAUUUCUCUCCCAACACAAUCACAUAUCUCGCUGCGUAUGUCUCUCUAUGUGAAAACUUCUUGGGUUGUCGACCGCAUUGGGGUCUAUUCAAACACAUCUUCACCUGCCAUUCUUAAACUGUGAAGAAGGCAAAUCCGACUGAUGAAAAGACGCACGUGAUCCAAAUGUGUGGGGGUUUAGGGAUCCUGACGAGGGGUAGGAGUACUUUUCCUCCUAUGACUCUUCCCGAGUCGGUUAGGGGGUGGCAGUCGACCUGGUUCUAUUGCCAAGAUGUUCUGACCCCUGGUCAGUCGACUGGUCUUCCCCCCUUCACCAUGGAGCGAGUCUGCCAACCCUCUUCAUUGACCGUGACUCCAGCAGAGAAAGUAGAGGUGUCCAUGCUAGUCGACCGGGUAGUUCAAUUAGUCCAUGAUGGUGUGACUGGCAUGGAUUUGUUGCAGGUGUUUCUCAGUCGACGCAUCAAGCCUCUCCAAGCCCGCGAUCAUCCAAUGUGGAUGUACUCAGGCACUAAUGACACCGCUCGGGUCCACCCGGAGGAGGUCACCAAGGAGACGGUGGCACAGUGGCUGCGGAGCAACACUGGAAACAAAGACAAACCCAGGGGGUCUAGAAGAGUUGCACCAUUCGACGCCGACAAUGAGCCGGACAAGGUCUGACCUUUGUUACCGAGUGUCUUUUUAUUCUGAUUUGUAACUGUCCUUGAAUCUGAUUGAUGCUUGUUUAACCCCUUGCCUUGCAGAUUUAUAUUGAGAUGUACUCGAUGCCAAAUGGAGAGCAAGUCCAGGAGGGAAUGGAGAGCGAAGGCAAGGGCGUCGACUAGAAAUCCGACGAUGAAAGCGACGAAGAAAGUGAGGACUCAAGCAGCAGCAAGGAAGUCGACUCACCACCUCAUUCUGAAAGACGCUCCAAGCAGACACAUGAUCAAUAGGUGGACGUAGCAAAGCAGUUCCGCCAAGUACGCAGGCAUUGAAGCGCACUCGGACAUCCACUCCCGAUCCGACAGAGAAGGCCCCGAAGUAGCUCAAGGUUGCGCCUACAAAGCCUCGGAAGGCCCUGCCUAAGAUCAAGGUGGAUGUUCCUGUUGCCUCCCUGUAAGUGUUUCUCCUCCUUGUUUUUCUUUUGCUCAAGAACUCCUAUGUUUGUUGUCGACUCAUUCGCUUGUUUGACCGAGUGAAUUCUGAAACUUUCAGUGCUGCUACUUCUGGGACCUCCAUGGACAUUUACAAGGAUCAAGAUGAUGAAGAAACUGAAGACGCGGCGACUUCCAAAGUGGGUACAACUCUACAAUCUUGCCCUCACUUUGUCAAUUGAACUGUCGAUCGACUGAACUCUUACGGUCGAGUCUUUUGCAGCACCACCAAAUGUCAUUGAACUUCCAGACGACGAUGAUCAUGAAGAUGUGCCUCAGAAGACCACGGGAAGAAAGGGAAGGACUUCGAGCAGGAGGGUGCCUGCCAGCAAGGUACCUCAGUCAACUUCAGUGCCAGAACCAGUGAUCCAGCAAUCCGGAGAUCCAAUUCGGGCUUCUGUUUCUUUUGCCGACCCUGUUCGACUGAUCGUCCUUCGGCGUCGACCGCCCAAGUCCUUGCUCCGUCCGUGCAACUCCAUGCCUCAGAUCCCCUGGCUGCUUUGACUGUUCCACCAACUCCACUCUUUGUUACCCAUCAUGUCCCAGAGGACCAAGUGAGUGCUACCUCUUGAGCAUGCGUUGGUUUUUCCCUUGAAGAGGAAAGGGUGAUGCAGCAAAGUAGCAUAAGUAUUUCCCUCAGUUUUUGAGAACCAAGGUAUCAAUCCAGUAGGAGGCCACACGCAAGUCCUUCGUACCUACACAAACAAAUAAGAACCUUGCAACCAACGCGAUAAAGGGGUUGUCAAUCCCUUCACGGCCACUUGCAAAAGUGAGAUUUGAUAGAGACGAUAAGAUAAUAUUUUUGGUAUUUUUAUGAUAAAGAUUGAAAGUAAAGAUUGCAAAAUAAACGGUGAUAGAAAUAGAUAGUUGACGGGAGAUUAAUAUGAUGUAAAAUAGACCCGGGGCCAUAGGUUUCACUAGUGGCUUCUCUCAAGAUAGCAAGUAUUACGGUGGGUGAACAAAUUACUGUCGAACAAUUGAUAGAAAAGUGCAUAAUUAUGAGAAUAUCUAGGCAUGAUCAUGUAUAUAGGCAUCACGUCCGUGACAAGUAGACCGACUCCUGCUUGCAUCUACUACAAUUACUAAACACAGCGACCGCUAUCCAGCAUGCAUCUAGAGUAUUAAGUUCAUAAGAACAGAGUAACGCAUUAGGUAAGAUGACAUGAUGUAGAGGGAUAAACUCAAGCAAUAUGAUAUAAACCCCAUCUUUUUAUCCUCGAUGGAAACAAUAGAAUACGUGUCGUUUCCCCUACUGUCACUGGGAUCGAGCACCGCAAGAUUGAACCCAAAGCUAAGCACUUCUCUCAUUGCAAAAAAGAUCAAUCUAGUAGGCCAAACCAAACUGAUAAUUUGAAGAGACUUGCAAAGAUAACCAAUCAUACAUAAAAGAAUUCAGAGAAGAUUCAAAUAUUGUUCAUAGAUAAUCUUGAUCAUAAACCCACAAUUCAUCGGAUCUCGACAAACACAUCGCAAAAAGAGUUACAUCGAAUAGAACUCCAAGAAGAUCGAGGAGAAGUUUGUAUUGAGAUCCAAAGAGAGAGAAGAAGCCAUCUAGCUAAUAACUAUGGACCCGAAGGUCUGUGGUAAACUACUCACACAUCAUCGGAGAGGCCAUGGUGUUGAUGUAGAAGCCCUCCAUGAUCGAUGCCCCCUCCGGCAGAGCACCGGAAAAGGCCCCAAGAUGGGAUCUCAAGGGUACAGAAGGUUGCGGCGGUGGAAUUAGGCUUUCGUGGUGCUCCUCGAUGGUUUUGGGGUACGUAGGUAUAUAUAGGAGGAAGAAGUAGGUCGGUGGAGCCACGAGGGGCCCACGAGGGUGGAGGGCGCGCCCAGGGGGGUAGGCGCGCCCCCUGCCUCAUGGCCUCCUCGUUGAUUUCUUGACGUCCACUCCAAGUCCUCUGGAUCACGUUUGUUCCAAAAAUCACGCUCCCGAAGGUUUCAUUCUGUUUGUACUCCGUUUGAUAUUCCUUUUCUGUGAAACACUGAAAUAGGCAAAAAAACAGCAAUUUGCACCGGGCCUUGGGUUAAUAGGUUAGUCCCAAAAAUAAUAUAAAAGUGUAUAAUAAAGCCCAUUAAACAUGCAAGUCAGAAUAUAUAAUAGCAUGGAGCAAUCGAAAAUUAUAGAUACGUUGGAGACGUAUCAGUGAGCGCUGCUAAGGAAGCUACACGCCAAGCAGGCCUUAUGAUGGAGCAAAUGAAGGUGGUGCACGAAACUAGCAAGGCUGCCUACGAUGCCAGCUCUGCUCUUCAAACCAAUGUCCAGGCGAGUUGAUUUCUGACUGAUCUUUCAGCUUGAUCUUUGCUCUGUUAGGAUAUGGUAGUUGAAAAACCGCUGCUUCAUUUUUCGUAAGAUGUCCGUGGAUGAGCGUUUUCAAACCUUUAAUGUGCAUAUAUCAUGAGUCUGUACCUUGCAUCCGUUCACCCACUGGGUGUUUUAACUUUUGCUGUAUAGUUCUUCCACUUGAGUCGACUAGGUCGCGUCGAGUGUACUCUUGAAUCAGUGGGGGCACGCAGAGUGCACCCACUGGGUGUAGUCCCCAAGACCGCCGUCGAAUAUUUGAUUCGGCGGGGAUCUUUGUCAAGUGUCUCUUUAUAGUUCUUCCACUCGGUCUAGACAGGUCGUACCGAGUGGGAUCCGGGCCAGUGGGGGCACGCCAAGUGCACCCACUGGGUGUAGUCCCCGAGACCGCGGUCGACUGCUGGCAGUCGGCGGUGGUCUAAGAAUAAGUGUUGCCGUUUUUUUACUCCUUCCACUCGUGCUGGGCAAAUCAUGUCUAGUGGGAAAUCGGACCAGUGGGGGCAUGCUAAGUGCACCCACUGGGUGUAGUCCCCGAGACUACUGUUGAAUGUUUGAUUCGGAAGUAGUCUUAUAACUCUUCUUGCUGUAAUAACUUGAACUUGUAUCUUAUCGCUCGGAAGCAAUCGAUCUUUGUUUCUGUCGACUGGCGUGUCUUAUUGGUUGACUGCAGAAAUCUUGUGAGCUCGGGGCCCAGUUCGCUGAAUUGGAGAGGAACAGAUCCAACUCAAUCUCGACCUAGCGUUGGCCAAGGAGAACUUGCAGAAGGCUAAGGAUGAAGCAGCUGCCAUGGGAGGUAAUAACUGGUCGACUAUUCGCCUUGUCAUCUUUUUCUUUUCGUCUUUUGAACCGAGUGACUCCACUCGAACAGAUGUGCGUAGUGAAAACAGACAACUCCAAGCUCGUCUGAAGAAUGUUAUUUCUUUAGACAAAAUGAAGCAGGCUUUGGAGCAGAAGGACCUCGACCUUGCAGCAGCGUAGAAGACGGCGCGAGAGAAAACUGAACUUGCUGACAAGAAGCUGGCUUCAGUCGGCAAGUUGGAAGAAGAACACGCCAAGCUGAAAACUACCAUUGAUGAAGCCAACAAAGAAAUCGUGCAGCUGAAGAAGGAUAAGGUGGCCCUGACCGACAAGGUCGGAGAUCUCACUCGGAAGAGAGACGAACUGGAGGCUUAUCUGGGAUUACUCGCCAAGAAGAUGUUCCUUAUGCUUGAAGGUACUUUCCCUUGUCCGACUGAUUUGCAACUACUGAUUCAUCGUACAACUAUCGACACACCAUUUUUCUGUGUGUGUGUGUGCAGAAUUCUGUCAAAAUUUCGAGGAAGAGGCUGGGCGGAUUGAGAUGAAUCUGGGCCCCAUAAACUCUCCUGUCAAGGAUGAAGCUGCGAUGAACGUGCUGUGACUGGAAUCUCGCCUCGCUAGUGUUAUGGAUUAUCUUGCUCGUCUGAAAGUGGCGGUGUCACGGAUUGACACGGAGCUCUGGCCAGCUGUGACGUUCCAGAAUGAUCUCGAGUCUCUGAUGACUCGACUCAAUGAAAUCCCUGGUCGAGUGCAAGAGUAGAAGAAGUCGCCUGCUUGUUGUGGCGUUGAUGUGGCUCUGUCCCUGGUCCGAGUCCAUUGCAAGGAGGUCACAGAGGAGAAGCUAGCGGCUCUCAAGGUCGCCAACACCAAGAAACAUCAAUUCCAGUCCUUCAUGGAGACCUUCAUCGGCGCUGCCACUCGUAUCGCAGACGGAAUUGACCUGGACAAGUUCGUCAAGCCAGCUAGCCCUCCUCCCGCCGAAUGAAAAACUUAAUAUCUUGACUUUAUUUUCCUCUGAAUGCCGAAUGAUUUUGUAACCGUUAAACUCUUUCGGGCCUGACGCCCGAGUACUUCUGUUCGCGGUUCUGAACCUUGCUGGAUUUAUCCGAACUUGGUUUUUCUUUUGAAUAUGGUUGCUUUGUUUUCACCACUUUCAGAUCUCUUGACUCCGAGUGAAACUUGACUCUUCACUCGGAAUAGACGUUCUACUUGCGAGCCGGCUCCGAGUGCAACUUACUACAUUGUACUUGUGACGCAGCUCCGAGUACAACCAUAUGUUGUAUUUGUGGCGCAGCUCCGAUGAGAGGGCCGCGGAGAUGAGCACUAAGUGCCGCGCACGACCUGCACCUCGUCGCUCUUGCGGAUCGGGAAGGAGCGGACGUUGUAUUUGUGACGCAGCUCUAAGUGCAACCAUACGUUGUAUUUGUGGCGUAGCUCGGAGUGUGUGGCCAAGUUUCCGAAUGAGAAGGUUGCUCUUCACUCGGAAUAUUUUUGUAACUUAGGCGAGUACGGGAUUGCAGCUAAGUCCCCGAGUGGGAGGAUUGCUCUCCACUCGGAGUAUUUUUGUAACUUAGGCGAGUACGGGAUCGCAGCUAAGCCCCCGAGUGGGAGGAUUGCUCUCCACUCUGAGUAUUUUUGUAACUUAGGCAAGUAUGGGAUCGCAGCUAAGCCCCCGAGUGGGAGGAUUGCUCUCCACUCGGAGUAUUUUUGUAACUUAGGUGAGUACGGGAUCGCAGCUAAGCCCCCGAGUGGGAGGAUUGCUCUCCACUCGGAGUAUUUUUGUAACUUAGGCGAGUACNNNNNNNNNNNNNNNNNNNNNNNNNNNNNNNNNNNNNNNNNNNNNNNNNNNNNNNNNNNNNNNNNNNNNNNNNNNNNNNNNNNNNNNNNNNNNNNNNNNNNNNNNNNNNNNNNNNNNNNNNNNNNNNNNNNNNNNNNNNNNNNNNNNNGGUUCGCAGCUAAGCCCCCGAGUGGGAGGAUUGCUCUUCACUCAGAGUGUUUUUGAAACUUAGGUGAAUCGGGUUUGCGUCUAAGCCCCCGAGUGAGAGGGUUGCUCUUCACUUGGAGUGUUUUUGAAACUUAGGCGAAUCGGAUUCGCGGCUAAGCCCCCGAGUGGGAGGAUUGCUCUCCACUCAGAGUGUUUUUGAAACUUAGGCGAAUCGGAUUCGCGGCUAAGCCACACACUGGGGGAUUUGAACACAUAUGUUUAUGGGAUAACAAUCAUUAAGAUACCGCAAAAAUCUUAGCUUUGAUAAGCAAACUGAAGAAUUCUUAUUAUAACACGUCGAUCCGAGUGUUUAGGUAUAAAAACAGCGGAGCAGCUCCGCAUUCCACGAGCGUGGCUCGUCUUCUUUCUUGGCUACAUUGUAGAGGUGAUAUGCCCCGUUAUGGAGCACCUUGGUGAUGAUGAAGGGGCCUUCCCAGGCCGGAGCGAGUUUGCGACAUCGCUUCUAAUGCACUCAGAGCACAAGGUCUCCUUCUUGGAAUGCUUGACCUCUGACAUUACGGGCAUGGAAUCGAUGCAGGUCUUGUUGAUAGAUGGUCGACCAGAUCAGAGCCAUCUCCCGUUCUUCCUCCAGGAGAUCAACCGCAUCUUGGCGUGCCUGUUCUGCUUCUGCUUCUGAGAAGAAUUCAACUCGGGGAGCGUUGUGCGGCAAGUCACUCGGCAGCACAGCUUCAGCACCAUAUACCAUGAAGAAAGGAGUUUGGUUAGUCGACCGGUUGGGAGUUGUUCUUAGUCCCCAUAAGACAGAUGGCAAUUCAGUCACCCAGGCUCCAGCAGCAUGCUUGAGAUCGUGCAGCAGUCGGGGUUUCAGCCCUUGAAGGCUCAAACGAUUCGCCCUUUCUGCUUGCCCGUUCGACUGCGGGUGCGCAACAGAUGCGUAAUCGACCCGAGUGCCUUGGGAAGCACAAAACGCUUUGAACUCAUCAGAAUCAAAGUUGGAGCCGUUAUCUGUGAUAAUGUUGUGAGGGACUCCGUAUCUGAAUAUCAGCUCUCUGAUGAAACUGAUGGCAGUGCUUGAAUCAAGGUUCUUGAUAGGCUUGGUUUCGAUCCAUUUGGUGAAUUUGUCGACUGCUACGAGCAAAUGAGUGAAACCACUUCUGUCGGUCUUGAAAGGUCCAACCAUGUCCAAUCCCCAAACUGCAAAAGGCCAGACGAGUGGAAUAUUCUUCAAGGCAGAUGCAGGUUUGUGAGACAGGUUUGAGCAAAACUGGCAGCCUUCACACUUGUCGACUAUAUCCUUAGCCAUCUCGUUUGCACGUGGCUAGUAGAAUCCCGCUCCAUAUGCUUUGGCAAUGAUGGUCCGUGAGGACGCUGUUGGGGAACGUAGUAAUUUCAAAAAAAUUCCUACGCACACGCAAGAUCAUGGUGAUGCAUAGCAACGAGAGGGGAGAGUGUUGUCCACGUACCCUCGUAGACCGACAGCGGAAGCGUUAUCACAACGCGGUUGAUGUAGUCGUACGUCUUCACGAUCCGACCGAUCAAGUACCGAACGCACGGCACCUCCGAGUUCUACACACGUUCAGCUCGAUGACGUCCCUCGAACUCCGAUCCAGCCGAGUGUUGAGGGUGAGUUUCGUCAGCACGACGGCGUGGUGACGAUGAUGAUGUUCCACCGACGCAGGGCUUCGCCUAAGCUCCGCAACGGUAUUAUCGAGGUGUAAUAUGGUGGAGGGGGGCACCGCACACGGCUAAAAUAUCAUAUAUCAAGUGUGUCCAUGGGGUGCCCCCCUACCCCCGUAUAUAAAGGAGCAAGGGGGAGAGGGCCGGCCAAGGGGAGGUGGCGCGCCCAAGUGGGGAGUCCUACUCCCACCGGGAGUAGGACUCCUCCUUUCCUUGUGGGAGUAGGAGAAGGGAAGGGGGAAGGAGAAAGAAGGAAGGGGGCGCCCCCCCUCCCUAGUCCAAUUCGGACUAGCCCAUGGGGAGGGAUGCGGCCACUCUUUGGGGCCUUUCUCUCCUUUCCCGUAUGGCCCAUUAAGGCCCAAUACGAAUUACGUAACUCUCCGGUACUCCGAAAAAUACCCGAAUCACUCGGAACCUUUCCGAAGUCCGAAUAUAGUCGUCCAAUAUAUCGAUCUUUACGUCUCGGCUAUUUCGAGACUCCUCGUCAUGUCCCCGAUCUCAUCUGGGACUCCGAACUCCUUCGGUACAUCAACAUACAUAAACUCAUAAUAAAACUGUCAUCGUAACGUUAAGCGUGCAGACCCUACGGGUUUGAGAACUAUGUAGACAUGACCGAGACACCUCUCCGGUCAAUAACCAAUAGCGGAACCUGGAUGCUCAUAUUGGUUCCCACAUAUUCUACGAAGAUCUUUAUCGGUCAAACCGCAUAACAACAUACGUUGUUCCCUUUGUCAUCGGUAUGUUACUUGCCCGAGAUUCGAUCGUCGGUAUCUCGAUACCUAGUUCAAUCUCGUUACCGGCAAGUCUCUUUACUCGUUCCGUAAUACAUCAUCCCGCAACUAACUCAUUAGUCACAAUGCUUGCAAGGCUUAUAGUGAUGUGCAUUACCGAGUGGGCCCAGAGAUACCUCUCCGACAAUCGGAGUGACAAAUCCUAAUCUCGAAAUACGCCAACCCAACAAGUACCUUUGGAGACACCUGUAGAGCACCUUUAUAAUCACCCAUUUACGUUGUGACGUUUGGUAGCACACAAAGUGUUCCUCCGGUAAACGGGAGUUGCAUAAUCUCAUAGUCAUAGGAACAUGUAUAAGUCAUGAAGAAAGCAAUAGCAACAUACUAAACGAUCGGGUGCUAAGCUAACGGAAUGGGUCAAGUCAAUCACGUCAUUCUCCUAAUGAGGUGAUCUCGUUAAUGAAAUGACAACUCAUGUCUAUGGCUAGGAAACAUAACCAUCUUUGAUUAACGAGCUAGUCAAGUAGAGGCAUACUAGUGACACUCUGUUUGUCUAUGUAUUCACACAUGUAUUAUGUUUCCGGUUAAUACAAUUCUAGCAUGAAUAAUAAACAUUUAUCAUGAUAUAAGGAAAUAUAUAAUACUUUAUUAUUGCCUCUAGGGCAUAUUUCCUUCAGUCUCCCACUUGCACUAGAGUCAAUAAUCUAGUUCACAUCGCCAUGUGAUUUAACAUCAAUAAUUCACAUCACCAUGUGAUUAACACCCAUAGUUCACAUCUCUAUGUGACCAACACUCAAAGGGUUUACUAGAGUCAAUAAUCUAGUUCACAUCGCUAUGUGAUUAACACCCAAAGAGUACUAAGGUGUGAUCAUGUUGUGAGAUAAUUUUAGUCAACGGGUCUGUCACAUUCAGAUCCGUAAGUAUUUUGCAAAUUUCUAUGUCUACAAUGCUCUGCACGGAGCUACUCUAGCUAAUUGCUCCCACUUUCAAUAUGUAUCUAGACCGAGACUUAGAGUCAUCUAGAUUUAGUGUCAAAACUUGCAUCGAUGUAACCCUUUACGACGAACCUUUUGUCACUUCCAUAAUCGAGAAACAUAUCCUUAUUCCACUAAGGAUAAUUUUGACCGCUGUCCAGUGAUCUACUCCUAGAUCACUAUUGUACUUCCUUGCCAAAAUCAGUGUAGGGUAUACAAUAGAUCUGGUACACAGCAUGGCAUACUUUAUAGAACCUAUGGCCAAGGCCUAGGGAAUGACUUUCAUUCUCUUUCUAUCUUCUGCCGUGGUCAGGCUUUGAGUCUUACUCAAUUUCACACCUUGUAACAGAGGCAAGAACUCUUUCUUUGACUGUUCUAUUUUGAACUACUUCAAAAUCUUGUUAAGGUAUGUACUCAUUGAAAAAACUUAUCAAGCGUCUUGAUCUAUCUCUAUAGAUCUUGAUGCUCAAUAUGUAAGCAGCUUCACCGAGGUCUUUCAUUGAAAAACUCUUAUUCAAGUAUCCCUUUAUGCUAUCCAGAAAUUCUAUAUCAUUUCCAAUCAGUAAUAUGUCAUCCACAUAUAAUAUCAGAAAUGCUACAGAGCUCCCACUCACUUUCUAGUAAAUACAGGCUUCUCCAAAAGUCUGUAUAAAACCAAAUGCUUUGAUCACACUAUCAAAGCGUUUAUUCCAACUCCGAGAGGCUUGCACCAGUCCAUAAAUGGAUCGCUGGAGCAUGCACACUUUGUUAGGUCCCUUUGGAUCGACAAAACCUUCUGGUUGCAUCAUAUACAACUCUUCUUCCAGAAAUCCAAUCAGGAAUGCAGUUUUGACAUCCAUUUGCCAAAUUUCAUAAUCAUAAAAUGCGGCAAUUGCUAACAUGAUUCGGACAGACUUAAGCAUCGCUACGGGUGAGAAGGUCUCAUCGUAGUCAAUCCCUUGAACUUGUCGAAAAGCUUUCGCAACAAGUCGAGCUUUAUAGACAGUAACGUUACCAUCAGCGUCAGUCUUCUUCUUGAAGAUCCAUUUAUUUUCAAUGGCUUGCCGAUCAGUGGUCAAGUCAACCAAAGUCCAUACUUUGUUCUCAUACAUGGAUCCCAUCUCAGAUUUCAUGGGCUCAAGCCAUUUUGCGGAAUCUGGGCUCACCAUCGCUUCUUCAUAGUUCGUAGGUUCGUCAUGGUCUAGUAACAUAACUUCCAGAACAGGAUUACCGUACCGCUCUGGUGCGGAUCUUACUCUGGUUGAUCUACGAGGUUCAGUAAUAACUUGAUCUGAAGUUUCAUGAUCAUCAUCAUUAACUUCCUCACUAAUUGGUGUAGGUGUCUCAGAAACUGGUUUCUGUGAUGAACUACUUUCCAAUAAGGGAGCAGGUAUAGUUACCUCAUCAAGUUCUACUUUCCUCCCACUCACUUCUUUCGAGAGAAAACUCCUUCUCUAGAAAGAAUCCAUUCUUAGCAACGAAUGUCUUGCCUUCGGAUCUGUGAUAGAAGGUGUACCCAACUGUCUCCUUUGGGUAUUCUAUGAAGACACAUUUCUCCGAUUUGGGUUUGAGCUUAUCAGGAUGAAACUUUUUCACAUAAGCAUCGCAACCCCAAACUUUAAGAAACGACAACUUUGGUUUCUUGCCAAACCACAGUUCAUAAGGCGUCGUCUCAACGGCUUUUGAUGGUGCCCUAUUUAACGUGAAUGUAGCUGUCUCUAAUGCAUAACCCCAAAACGAUAGUGGUAAAUUGGUAAGAGACAUCAUAGAUUGCACUAUAUCCAAUAAAGUACGGUUAUGACGUUCGGACACACCAUUAUGCUGUGGUGUUCCAGGUGGCACGAAUUUGUGAAACUAUUCCACAUUGUUUUAAUUGAAGACCAAACUCGUAACUCAAAUAUUUGUCUCCGCGAUCAGAUCGUAGAAACUUUAUUUUCUUGUUACGAUGAUUUUCUACUUCACUUUGAAAUUAUAUGAACUUUUCAAAUGUUUCAGACUUCUGUUUCAUUAAGUAGAUAUACCCAUAUCUGCUCAAAUCAUCUGUGAAGGUCAGAAAAUAAUGAUACCUGCUACGAGCCUCAAUAUUCAUCGGGCCACAUACAUCUGUAUGUAUGAUUUCCAACAAAUCUGUUGCUCUCUCCAUAGUUCCAGAGAACGGCGUUUUAGUCAUCUUGCCCAUGAGGCACGGAUCGCAAGCAUCAAGUGAUUCAUAAUCAAGUGAUUCCAAAAUCCCAUCAGUAUGGAGUUUCUUCAUGCGCUUUACACCAAUAUGACCUUAACGGCAGUGCCACAAAUAAGUUGCACUAUCAUUAUUAACUUUGCAUCUUUUGGCUUCAAUAUUAUGAUUAUGUGUAUCACUACGAUCGAGAUCCAACAAACCAUUUUCGUUGGUGUGUAUGACCAUAGAAGGUUUUUAUUCAUGUAAACAGAACAACAAUUGUUCUUUAACUUAAAUGAAUAACCGUAUUGCAAUAAACAUGAUCAAAUCAUAUUCAUGCUCAACACAAACACCAAAUAACACUUAUUUAGUUUCAACACUAAUCCCGAAAGUACAGGGAGAAUGCGAUGAUGAUCAUAUCAAUCUUGGAACUACUUCCAACACACAUCGUCACCUCGCCUUUUUACUAGUCUCUAUUUAUUCUGCAACUCCCGUUUCGAGUUACUAUUCUUAGCAACUGAACCAGUAUCAAAUACCGAGGGGUUGCUAUAAACACUAGUAAAGUACACAUCAAUAACAUGUAUAUCCAAUAUACCUUUGUUCACUUUGCCAUCCUUCUUAUCCACCAAAUAGUUGGGGUAGUUCCGCUUCCAGUGACCAGUCCCUUUGCAGUAGAAGCACUUAGUCUCAGGCUUAGGACCAGACUUAGGCUUCUUCAAUUGAGCAGCAACUUGCUUGUCGUUCUUCUUGAAGUUCCCCUUCUUCCCUUUGCCCUUUUCUUGAAACUAGUGGUCUCAUCAAUCAUCAACACUUGAUGUUUUUCUUGAUUUCUACCUUCGUCGAUUUCAGCAUCACGAAGAGCUCGGGAAUUACUUUCGUCAUCCCUUGCAUACUAUAGUUCAUCACGAAGUUCUACUAACUUGGUUAUGGUGACUAGAGAAUUCUGUCAAUCACUAUUUUAUCUGGAAGAUUAACUCCCACUUGAUUCAAGCGAUUGUAGUACCCAGACAAUCUGAGCACAUGCUCACUAGUUGAGCGAUUCUCCUCCAUCUUUUAGCUAUAGAACUUGUUGGAGAUUUCAUAUCUCUCAACUCGGGUAUUUGCUUGAAAUAUCAACUUCAACUCCUGGAACAUCUCAUAUGGUCCAUGACGUUCAAAACGUCUUUGAAGUCCCGAUUCUAAGCCGUUAAGCAUGGUGCACUAAACUAUCAAGUAGUCAUCAUAUUGAGCUAGCCAAACGUUCAUAACGUCUGUAUCUGCUCCUGCAAUAGGUCUGUCACUUAGCGGUGCAUCAAGGACAUAAUUUUUCUGUGCAGCAAUGAGGAUAAUCCUCAGAUCACGGAUCCAAUCCGCAUCUUUGCUACUAACAUCUUUCAACAUAAUUUUCUCUAGGAACAUAUCAAAAAUAAAUACAGGGAAGCAACAACGCGAGCUAUUGAUCUACAACAUAAUUUGCAAAAAUACUAUCAGGACUAAGUUCAUGAUAAAUUUAAGUUCAAUUAAUCAUAUUACUUAAGAACUCCCACUUAGAUAGAUAUCCCUCUAAUCAUCUAAGUGAUUACGUGAUCCAAAUCAACUAAACCAUGUCCGAUCAUCACGUGAGAUGGAGUAGUUUCAAUGGUGAACAUCACUAUGUUGAUCAUAUCUACUAUAUGAUUCACGCUCGACCUUUCGGUCUCCGUGUUCCGAGGCCAUAUCUGCAUAUGCUAGGCUCGUCAAGUUUAACCUGAGUAUUCCGCGUGUGCAACUAUUUUGCACCCGUUGUAUUUGAACGUAGAGCCUAUCACACCCGAUCAUCACGUGGUGUCUCAGCACGAAGAACUUUUGCAACGGUGCAUACUCAGGGAGAACACUUUUAUCUUGAAAUUUUAGUGAGAGAUCAUCUUAUAAUGCUACCAUCAAUCAAAGCAAGAUAAGAUGCAUAAAGGAUUAACAUCACAUGCAAUCAAUAUAAGUGAUAUGAUAUGGCCAUCAUCAUCUUGUGCUUGUGAUCUCCAUCUCCGAAGCACCGUGCUUGUGAUCUCCAUCUCCGAAGCACCGUCAUGAUCACCAUCGUCACCGGCGCGACACCUUGAUCUCCAUCGUAGUAUCGUUGUUGUCUCGCCAACUAAUUGCUUUUACGACUAUCGCUACCGCUUAGUGAUAAAGUAAAACUAUUACAUGGCGAUUGCAUUUCAUACAAUAAAGCGACAACCAUAUGGCUCCUGCCAGUUGCCGAUAACUCGGUUACAAAACAUGAUCAUCUCAUACAACAAAUUAUAUCACAUCAUGUCUUGACCAUAUCACAUCACAACAUGCCCUGCAAAAACAAGUUAGACGUUCUCUACUUUGUUGUUACAUGUUUUACGUGGCUGCUACGGGCUUAGCAAGAACCGUUCUUACCUACGCAUCAAAACCACAACGAUAGUUUGUCAAGUUGGUGUUGUUUUAACCUUCGCAAGGACCGGGCGUAGCCACACUCGGUUCAACUAAAGUCAGAGAGACAGACACCUGGCAGUCACCUUUAAGCAACGAGUGCUCCGAACGGUGAAACCAGAAACCAGUCUCGCGUAAGCGUACGCGUAAUGUCGGUCCGAGCCGCUUCAUCUCACAAUACCGCUGAACCAAAGUAUGACAUGCUGGUAAGCAGUAUGACUUAUAUCGCCCACAACUCACUUGUGUUCUACUCGGGCAUAGCAUCAACGCAUAAAACCAGGCUCUGAUACCACUAUUGGGGAACGUAGUUAUUUCAAAAAAAUUCCUACACACACACAAGAUCAUGGUGAUGCAUAGCAACGAGAGGGGAGAGUGUUGUCCACGUACCCUCGUAGACCGACAGCGGAAGCGUUAUCACAACGCGGUUGAUGUAGUCAUACGUCUUCACGAUCCGACCGAUCAAGUACCGAACGCACGGCGCCGCCGAGUUCUACACACGUUCAGCUCGAUGACGUCCCUCAAACUUCGAUCCAGCCGAGUGUUGAGGGAGAGUUUCGUCAGCACGACGGCGUGGUGGCGAUGAUGAUGUUCCACCGACGCAGGGCUUCGCCUAAGCUCCGCAACGGUAUUAUCGACGUGUAAUAUGGUGGGGGGGCACCGCACACGGCUAAAAUAUCGUAUAUCAAGUGUGUCCAUGGGGUGCCCCCCUGCCCCCGUAUAUAAAGGAGCAAGGGGGAGAGGGCCGGCCAAGGGGAGGUGGCGCGCCCAAGUGGGGAGUCCUACUCCCACCGGGAGUAGGACUCCUCCUUUCCUUGUGGGAGUAGGAGAAGGGAAGGGGGAAGGAGAAAGAAGGAAGGGGGCGCACCCCCUCCCUAGUCCAAUUCGGACUAGCCCAUGGGGAGGGGUGCGGCCACCCUUUGGGGCCUUUCUCUCCUUUCCCGUAUGGCCCAUUAAGGCCCAAUACGAAUUACGUAACUCUCCGGUACUCCGAAAAAUACCCGAAUCACUCGGAACCUUUCCGAAGUCCGAAUAUAGUCGUCCAAUAUAUCGAUCUUUACGUCUCGGCCAUUUCGAGACUCCUCGUCAUGUCCCCGAUCUCAUCUGGGACUCCGAACUCCUUCGGUACAUCAACAUACAUAAACUCAUAAUAAAACUGUCAUCGUAACGUUAAGCGUGCGGACCCUACGGGUUUGAGAACUAUGUAGACAUGACCGAGACACCUCUCCGGUCAAUAACCAAUAGCGGAACCUGGAUGCUCAUAUUGGUUCCCACAUAUUCUACGAAGAUCUUUAUCGGUCAAACCGCAUAACAACAUACGUUGUUCCCUUUGUCAUCGGUAUGUUACUUGCCCGAGAUUCGAUCGUCGGUAUCUCGAUACCUAGUUCAAUCUCGUUACCGGCAAGUCUCUUUACUCGUUUCGUAAUACAUCAUCCCACAACUAACUCAUUAGUCACAAUGCUUGCAAGGCUUAUAGUGAUGUGCAUUACCGAGUGGGCCCAGAGAUACCUCUCCGACAAUCGGAGUGACAAAUCCUAAUCUCGAAAUACGCCAACCCAACAAGUACCUUUGGAGACACCUGUAGAGCACCUUUAUAAUCACCCAUUUACGUUGUGACGUUUGGUAGCACACAAAGUGUUCCUCCGGUAAACGGGAGUUGCAUAAUCUCAUAGUCAUAGGAACAUGUAUAAGUCAUGAAGAAAGCAAUAGCAACAUACUAAACGAUCGGGUGCUAAGCUAACGGAAUGGGUCAAGUCAAUCACGUCAUUCUCCUAAUGAGGUGAUCCCGUUAAUCAAAUGACAACUCAUGUCUAUGGCUAGGAAACAUAACCAUCUUUGAUUAACGAGCUAGUCAAGUAGAGGCAUACUAGUGACACUCUGUUUGUCUAUGUAUUCACACAUGUAUUAUGUUUCCGGUUAAUACAAUUCUAGCAUGAAUAAUAAACAUUUAUCAUGAUAUAAGGAAAUAUAUAAUACUUUAUUAUUGCCUCUAGGGCAUAUUUCCUUCAGACGCAUGGUGACCAUAAGUCCCCGAGUGGAUCUCAUUUAGAAUCAUUCGACCUUCUUCUGGAGAAAGACAACGCUGAGCAACUCCGGUAACGCUUUCCCUGUAAAGCUGUCCGCUUAUCACAGUGAACGCUUUGGAUCGACGGACGAUCUGGUGGGCCUCAUCUUCAUCCUCUGGGAGCUCCUGCCUGAGCAAGUAUGCGAUAUAUGGCACUGUCCAGUCGGGGGUGAUCACCAGAACCUCCAUGAUCAAGUCGACUAUAGUGCUGGGACUUUGAUUUCAGUCAGAUUGGUGUAACUUAUCGGUUGCAGGGGCUCCUCUGUGAAGGGAUCUUCUUGAACUGACGGGGCGUGGAGAUGCUCCAAAAACACAUUACUCGGGAUGGGUGAUAACCCACAAGUAUAGGGGAUCAAUUGUAGCCUCUUUCGAUAAGUAAGAGUGUCGAACCCAACGAGGAGCUAAAGGUAGAACAAAUAUUCCCUCAAGUUCUAUCGACCACUGAUACAACUCUACGCACGCUUAACGUUCGCUUUACCUAGAACAAGUAUGAAACUAGAAGUACUUUGUAGGUGUUGUUGGAUAGGUUUGCAAGAUAAUAAAGAGCAUGUAAAUAAAAACUAGGGGCUGUUUAGGUAAAGAAGCAAUAAAGUUAGUAUAGCGAGUGUGGAAACGUGGUGGUAGGAGUUGCGAAAUUGUCCCUAAGCAAUUGACUACUUUACAUGACCGAUAGCAAGUUUUAUGUGGGAGAGGCCACUGCUAACAUGUCAUCCCUGACUUGGAAUUCUAUGCACUUAUGAUUGGAACUAUUAGCAAGCAUCCGCAACUACUAAUGUUCAUUAAGGUAAAACCCAACCAUAGCAUUAAGAUAUAUUGGUCCCCCUUCAAUCCCGUAUGCAUCAAUAUCUAUGCUAGGUUGAAGCUUCUGUCACUCUUGCCCUCCAAUACAUAGUCCUAUCCACAUACAACUAACCCUAUGGUGUGAUCCACGCGCGCGCUCAUAUGAUGGCCACCAAAGGAUAGCAACAUAACCACAAGCAAAUUAAACCAAUCAUAGCAAUUCACCAAUUACCGAUAGGACAACGAAAAUCUACUCAGACAUCAUAGGAUGGCAACACAUCAUUGGAUAAUAAUAUGAAGCAUAAAGCACCAUGUUCAAGUAGAGGGUACAGUGGGUUGCGGGAGAGUGGACCGCUGUAGAUAGAUGGGGGAAGGUGAUGAAGAUGUUGGUGAAGAUGACGGAGGUGUUGGUGUAGAUUGCGGUGACGAUGAUGACCCCGGCGGCGUUGCAGCGCCACCGGGAGAGAGGGGGACAGAGCCCCCUUCUUCUUCUUCUUAUUCUUCUUCUUCCUUGACCUUCUCCCUAGAUGGGAGAAGGGUUUCCCCUCUGGUCCUUGGCUUCCAUGGCAUGGGAGGGGCGAGAGCCCCUUCGAGAUUGGAUAUGUCUUUCUGUCUCUCUCUGUUUCUGUGUUCCAGAUUCUGCCCUUUCACCGUUUCUUAUAUUCCCGGAGAUUUGUAACUCCGAUUGGGCUGAAAUUUGAACACGAUUUUUAUCGGAUAUUGGCUUUCUUGCCGCGAAAGAAGGGCACCAACCGCCUUACGGGGUGGCCACGAGGGUCAGGGGCGCGCCCCUGCCUCGUGGCCCCCUCGGGCAUCGUCUCGCAUUGAUUCUUCUUCCCAAAAAUCACAUAUAUUCCAAAAAAAUCUCCGUCAGUUUUUAUCCCGUUUGGACUCCAUUUGAUAUGGAUUUUCUGCGAAACAAAAAACAUGCAACAAACAGGAACUGGCACUGGGCACUAGAUCAAUAUGUUAGUCCCAAAAAUAGUAUAAAAAGUUGCCAAAAGUAUAUGAAAGUUGUAUAAUAUUGGCAUGGAACAAUAUAAAAUUAUUGAUACGACGGAGACGUAUUAGCAUCCCCAAGCUUAAUUCCUGCUCGUCCUCGAGUAGGUAAAUGAUAAAAAAGAUAAUUUUUUAUGUGGAAUGCUACCUAGCAUAAACUUGAUCAUAUAUCUAAUCAUGGCAUGAAUAUUAAGACAUGAGUGAUUCAAAGCAAUAGUCUAUCAUUUGACAUAAAGACAUCAAUACUCAGGCAUCCCAACAAACAAUCAUGUCUUUCAAAAUAUCAAUGCUAAAGAACGCUAUCCCUACAAAAUCAUAUAAUCUUGUCAUGCUCUGUCUUCUUAACACAAAGUAUUUAUCAUGCACAACCCCGAUGACGAGCCGAGAAAUUGGUUCAUACUUUUUAACGCGCUUCAGCUUUUUGAACCCUCACGCAAUACAUGAGCGCAAGCCAUGGAUAUAGCACUACAGGUGGAAUAGAAUAUGAUGAUGGAGGUUGUGUGGAGAAGACAAAAAGGGAGAAAGUCUCACAUCGACGUGGCUAAUCAACGGGCUAUGGAGAUGCCCAUCAAUUGAUGUCAAUGCGAGGAGUAGGGAUUGCCAUGCAACGGAUGCACUAGACCUAUAAGUGUAUGAAAGCUCAAACUGAAGCUAAGUGGGUGUGCAUCCAACUUGCUUGCUCAUGAAGACCUCGGGCAUUUGAGGAAGCCCAUCAUUGGAAUAUACAAGCCAAGUUCUAUAAUGAAAAUUCCCACUAGUAUAUGAAAGUGAUAACUCAAGAGACUCUCUAUAUGAAGAUCAUGGUGCUACUUUGAAGCACAAGUGUGGUAAAAGGAUAGUAGCAUUGCCCCUUCUCUCUUUUUCUCUCAUUUUUUUUGUUUUUUUUUGUGGGCUUCUUUGGCCUUUUGGGGGGGAUUCUUUGGCCUCUUUUAUUUUUAUUUUAUUUUUUAAGUCCGGAAUCUCAUCCCGACUUGUGGGGGAAUCAUAGUCUCCAUCAUCCUUUCCUCACUGGGGCAAUGCUCUAAUAAUGAUGAUCAUCACACUUUUAUUUACUUACACCUCAAUAUUACAACUCGAUGUCUAGAACAAAGUAUGACUCUAUAUGAAUGCCUCUGGCAGUUUCCCAGGAUGUGCAAUGAUCUAGCAUAGCAAAGAGAUCAAAAAACGGACAAGCCAUAAAAACAUCAUGCUAGCUAUCUUACGAUCAUGCAAAGCAAUAUGACAAUGAUGCUCAAGUCAUGUAUAUGAACAUGAUGGAAGUUGCAUGGCAAUAUAUCUCGGCAUGGCUAUGGAAAUGCCGUGAUAGGUAGGUAUGGUGGCUGUUUUGAGGAAGAUAUAAGGAGGCUUAUGUGUGAUAGAGCGUAUCAUAUCACGGGGUUUGGAUGCACCGGCGAAGUUUGCACCAACUCUCGAGGUGAGAAAGGGCAAUGCACGGUACCGUAGAGGCUAGCAAAUUGCAAAAAGGUAAGAGUGUGUAUAAUCCAUGGACUCGCAUUAGUCAUAAAGAACUCAUAUACUUAUUGCAAAAGUUUAUUAGCCCUCGAAGCAAAGUACUACUACGCAUGCCCCUAGGGGGAUAGAUUGGUAGGAAAAGACCAUCUCUCGUCCCCGACCGCCACUCAUAAGGAGGACAAUCAAUAAUAAAUCAUGCUCCAACUUUGUAGCAUAACGAGAGACUAUACGUGCAUGCUUCGGGAAUCACAAACCUUAACACCAAUAUUCUUACUAAACACAACCAUUUACUAGUACCUCCCACAUAUUAUCAUCUCUAUAUUGCAAAACUAUUGCAAGGAAUCAAACAUAUCAUAUUCAGUGAUCUACAAGUUUUAUGUAGGAUUUUAUGACUAACCAUGUGAAUGACCAAUUCCUGUCAUCUCUCUAAAUAGAUAUAAGUGAAGCAAGAGAGUUUAAUUCUUUCUACAAAAGAUAUUCCCACGCUCUAACAAAUAUAAGUGAAGCAAAAGAGCAUUCUACAAAUGGCGGUUUUUUAUGUGAAGAGAAACAUGCAAUCCAAACUUCAAAUGAUAUAAGUGAAGCACAUGAAGCAUUCUAUAAAGCCAUACUCAAAAGAUAUAAGUGAAGUGCACUGAGCAUUCUAUAAAUCAACCAUGGAAUAUCUCAUACCAGCAUGGUGCAUCAAAGAAAAGUGAAAACUAAAUGCAAAAGACGCUCCAAGAUUUGCACAUAUCACAUGAAUGAAACGAAUCCGAAAACAUAUCGAUACUUGUUGAAGAAAGAUGGGAUGCCUUCCGAGGCAUCCCCAAGCUUAGACGCUUGAGUCUCCUUGAAUAUUUACUUGGGGUGCCUUGGGCAUCCCCAAGAUUGAGCUCUUGCCUCUCCUCCUUUUCCUCAUAUCGAGACCUCCUCGAUCCUCGAACACUUCAUCCACACAAAACUCAACAGAAAGUUUGGUAAGAUCCGUUAGUAUAAAAAAGCAAAUCACUACUCUAAGUACUGUUGCAACCCAAUUCAUAUUUUGUUUUUGCAUUGUAGCUACUGUAGUAUAACUUUUCCAUGGCUUAAUCCACUGAUAGAAAUUGAUAGUUUCAUCAAAACAAGCAAACUAUGCAUCAAAAACAGAAUCUGUCUUAAACAGGACAGUCUGUAGUAAUCUGAACAUUCACCAUACUUCUGGUACUCCGAAAAUUCUGCCAAAAUUAGGAAAAAUAAACAAUCUGUAUAUAAAGACUGCAAAAAGUUUCAGAUCCGUUUGACAUUCCAGUAAAAAUGUAAAAUCGCGCACUACAGCCAAAGUUUCUGUUUUGCACCGCACAAACCAACAAGCAAUGUAAACAUCCUAAAGGCAAAUCUUGGCACAUUAUUUUAAUUUUUAAACAAUAUAGAAGCACACAACAGAAAUAAAUGACUCUCUAAAACUUCCGGGUUGUCUCCCUGGCAGCGCUUUUUUUUAAAGCCAUUAAGCUAGGCAUAUAGUGCUCAAGUAAUGGAUCCACCCGGAUCCCAAUGUAUAUCAAAGCCAAUUUUAAUUAACAAUGAUUUGUGAUUUAGUAGUGCGCACAAAGUAACAUAUAUCAUGCAACAACGAAGUCUAACUCUCUUCCUAUGCAUCGGCAUGUCAUAAAAGAACAAUUCAUGCACACAUAGUAAUGGCCAAUGCAUAGUAUAAGCAGUUUCUUGCAAUUUUAUCGUGUUGGAAACAUAGAGAGGUGGAGAUAUAUUUCCUCUCUUAUAAUAAUUGCAAGUAGGAGCAGAAAGCACAUGCAUAUUAUAUCUAUCAAAAUCAUCAUGUGUAGUAGUAAAACGCAACCCAUAAAUAUAAUCCUUAAUAAGGGCAAACUUCUCCGAUAUAGUGUAGUCGGGAGAAUUCAAAAAGAUAAUAGGACUAUCAUGCGUGGGUGCAAUAGCAACAAUUUCAUGUUUAACAUAAGGAACUAUAGCAAGUUCAUCUCCAUAAGCAUAAUUCAUAUUGGCAUCUUGGCCACAAGAAUAGCAAGCAUCAAGUUCAUCAAAAAGGGAUAUUUCAAAAGAAUCAACGGGAUCAUAACAAUCAUCAUAGCAUUCAUCCUUCGGUAAAUUCGAAGGGAAAUUAAAUAAUGUAUGAGUUGGAGAGUUACUCUCAUUAGAAGGUGGGCACGGGUAGCUAAUCCGCUCUUCCUCCUUUUGUUCUUCGCUCUCCUCAUCAUCUUUUUCAUCCAAUGAGCCCACGGUUUCAUCAAUUCCUUCUUCCAUAGACUCCUGCAAAAUAUUAGUCUCUUCUUGGACAGCGGAGGAGUCCUCAAUAUAUGGUUUAACAUAGGCAUUAGAAGCGUAAUUAUCAUAACAAUAUUUAAGUAUGGCAAAAUUUUCAGAUUUGUGAAGAGUAGCAUCAUACUUUCCAAUCAAAGAAGCAAUUUCAUAAGCACCCUUAAAAGCAACAAAUUCUUCAAUUUGUUGAACAUCAUAGUAAUUAUAAACACCCUUAGCAUAUGAAGAUACGAUUCCAUUAUCACUAAACUCACAUUGGUAGGGAAGGUGUUUCUUAGGGUCUUCAGAACAACAACUAAAAUCAUAUAUUUCACAUAAAUUCCAAGCAUAGCAUUGCAAACGAUGAAUUUGAUCCAGUAAAAGUUUCCCUUUUUGAGAUAAGCGGUGUCACACAUAACAAGCAUGCUCAUCUAAAGAUUUGCCCUCAACUAAGCUAGUUGGGGUUUCAGCACAAGCACAUAGGGAUCGAAGAUGAUCCAAGUAAAAAAGCUUCAGGAGUGUGAUAGAUUUUGAGUGGUUCUUCAACCAUUGGUGUAGUAGGUACAACUAAUUUUUUUUGGUAUUUUGCGUUUCCUACCCAUAACUAAAGAUAGAAAACAAGAGCACAAAAUAAAAACUACUUAGUGAUAAAGCAAACAAGCACACACGAGAAUAUUCACCCCACGCUAUAACUCCCCGGCAACGGUGCCAGAAAAAGGUCUAGAUAACCCACGAGUAUAGGGGAUCAAUUGUAGCCUCUUUCGAUAAGUAAGAGUGUCGAACCCAACGAGGAGCUAAAGGUAGAACAAAUAUUCCCUCAGUUCUAUCGACCACUGAUACAACUCUACGCAUGCUUAACGUUCGCUUUACCUAGAACAAGUAUGAAACUAUAAGUACUUUGUAGGUGUUGUUGGAUAGGUUUGCAAGAUAAUAAAGAGCACGUAAAUAAAAACUAGGGGCUGUUUAGGUAAAGAAGCAAUAAAGUUAGUAUAGCGAGUGUGGAAAAGUGGUGGUAGGAUUUGCGAAAUUUUCCCUAAGCAAUUGACUACUUUACUAGACCGAUGGCAAGUUUUAUGUGGGAGAGGCCACUGCUAACAUGUCAUCCCUGACUUGGAAUUCUAUGCACUUAUGAUUGGAACUAUUAGCAAGCAUCCGCAAGUACUAACAUUCAUUAAGGUAAAACCCAACCAUGGCAUUAAGAUAUAUUGGUCCCCCUUCAAUCUCCUAUGCAUCAAUUUCUAUGCUAGGUUGAAGCUUCUCUCACUCUUGCCCUCCAAUACAUAGUCCUAUCAACAUGCAACUAACCCUAUGGUGUGAUCCACACGCGCUGAUAUGAUGGGCACCAAAGGACAGCAACAUAACCACAAGCAAAUUAAACCAAUCAUAGAAAUUCACCAAUUACCGAUAGGACAACGAAAAUCUACUCAGACAUCAUAGGAUGGCAACACAUCAUUGGAUAAUAAUAUGAAGCAUAAAGCACCAUGUUCAAGUAGAGGGUACAGCGGGUUGCGGGAGAGUGGACUGUUGUAGAUAGAUGGGGGAAGGUGAUGAAGAUGUUGGUGAAGAUGACGGAGGUGUUGGUGUAGAUUGCGGUGACGAUGAUGACCCCGGCGGCGUUCCGGCGCCACCGGGAGAGAGGGGGAGAGAGCCCCCCUUCUUCUUCUUCUUCCUUGACCUUCUCCCUAGAUGGGAGAAGGGUUUCCCCUCUGGUCCUUGGCUUCCAUGGCAUGGGAGGGGCGAGAUCCCCUCCGAGAUUGGAUCUGUCUCUCUGUCUCUCUCUGUUUCUGUGUUUCAGAUUCUGCCCUUUCACCAUUUCUUAUAUUCCCGGAGAUCCGUAACUCCGAUUGGGCUGAAAUUUGAACACGAUUUUUAUCCGGAUAUUGGCUUUCUUGCGGCGAAAGAAGGACACCAACCGACCUACGGGGUGUCCACGAGGGUCAGGGGCGCGCCCACCCCCCGGGGCACGCCCCUGCCUCGUGGCCCCCUCGGGCAUCGUCUCGCGUUGAUUCUUCUUCCCAAAAUCACAUAUAUUCCAAAAAAAUCUCCGUUAGUUUUUAUCCCAUUUAGACUCUGUUUGAUAUGGAUUUUCUGCGAAACAAAAAACAUGCAACAAAUAGAAACUGGCACUGGGCACUGGAUCAAUAUGUUAGUCCCAAAAAUAGUAUAAAAAGUUGACAAAAGUAUAUGAAAGUUGUAUAAUAUUGGCAUGAAACAAUCAAAAAUUAUAGAUAUGACGCAGACAUAUCAAUGGGUUUCCGAGUGGAACCUAUCUUCGCCAAGUCAUCUGCUGCUUGAUUCUUGAUUCGGGGUAUGCGAUGGAGCUCUAACCCCUCAAACUUCUUCUCUAGCUUUCUUACUGCAUUGCAAUAACCAGUCAUUGUCGGACUCCUGAUGUCCCAUUCCUUCAUCACUUGAUUGGCCACCAAGUCUGGGUCGCCGUAGACCAUUAGGCGAUGGACGCCGAGUGAGAUGGCCAUACGCAACCCAUACAAAAGUGCCUCAUACUCAGCUUCAUUGUUUGAAGAAUCGAAGUGAAUUUGGAGGACGUAGCUGAGCUUGUCACCUCUGGGGGAUACCAGGACUACUCCAGCACCAGAGCCAUUCAGCAUCUUGGACCCAUCAAAGAACAUAGUCCAAUGUUCCGAGUGAAUCUGAGUCGAUUGCUGCUGUUCAAUCCACUUGGCGAGGAAAUCUACUAUUGCUUGGGACUUGAUUGCUUUCUUUGCCUCGAACUUGAUAUCCAACGGAAGGAGUUCAAUUGCCCAGUUUGCCACUCGACCAGUUGCAUCCCUAUUGUUCAGAAUUUUUGAUAAUGGAGCAUCGCUGACGACUGAAACCGAGUGGUCUGAGAAGUAGUGUGCAACUUUCUUCGUGGUCAAGUAAAUUCCAUAAACAAGCUUCUGAUAAUGCGGAUAUCUCUGCUUGGACGGAGUCAAGACUUCAAAAAUAUAGUACACUGGGUGUUGAACUUUGUAGGCUUUGCCUUCUUCUUCCUGCUCGACCGUGAGCACUGUGCUGACAACUUGUCCAGUGGCUGCAAUAUACAGUAGUAGAGGCUCUUUGCUGAUUGGGGCAGCAAGCACCGACUGGGUGGAAAGCAGGGCUUUGAGCUCUACAAACGCUGCUUCGGCUUGAGGAGUCCACUCCAAUUUGUCAGACUUCUUCAUCAGUCGGUAAAGAGGCAAUGCCUUUUCGCCGAGAUGAGAGAUGAAUCGACUCAAUGUAGCCAAACAACCAGUAAGCUUCUAAACGUCGUGCACACACACAGGGUGUUUCAUUCAGAGGAUUGCUCCAACCUUUUCUGGGUUUGUGUCGAUCCCUCGUUCGGAAACGAGGAAACCGAGUAACUUUCCACCUGGGACUUUGAAUGUGCACUUUGAUGGGUUGAGCUUGAUAUCAUAUCUUCUCAAGUUGGCAAAGGUUUCAGCGAGGUCAGUCAGUAGGUCGGAACCUUUACGUGACUUGACCACGAUGUCAUCCAUGUAUGCUUCCACAUUUCGACUGAUUUGAGUGAGUAGGCACUUCUAAAUCAUGCGCAUGAAUGUGGCGCCAGCAUUCUUUAGACCAAAAGGCAUGGUAACAUAGCAAAAACACCCGAAUGGGGUGAUGAAGACCGUUUUUAUUUCGUCGGGCCCAUACAGUCGGAUCUGAUGGUACCCAGAAUAUGCGUCCAAAAAGGACAAACGCUCACAUACCGCGGUCGAGUCGACAAUUUGGUCGAUAUGGGGGAGAGGGAAAUGAUCUUUCGGGCAGGCCCGAUUGAUGUGUUUGAAAUCGAUACACAUACGAAGUGAGUCAUCUUUCUUGGGGACCAUGACAACAUUGGCGAGCCACUCGGAGUGGUAUAUCUUGCAGAAGAACUCAGCUGCCAAAAGCCGAGCCACCUCUUCGCCAAUUGCCUUCCUCUUCUCCACGGCGGACCGACGGAGAUGCUCUUUAACGGGUUUUGCUUUUUGGUCGACAAGCAAACAGUGCUCAGCCAGUCCCCUGGGUACACGUGGCAUGUUAGAUGCUUUCCAUGCGAGGAUGUCCCAGUUCUCACAGAGGAACUGGAUGAGUGCUUCUUCCUAUUUGCUGUCGAGUGUUGUUGAUAUAUGAGUCGGAGCAGCAUUGGGAUCGGUCGGGUGAAUGUGAACAGGCUUUGUUUCACUGGACGACUGAAAUGCAGACUCUGAAGCUGGCUUCUUAGCGCGCAACAAAUCACUCGGAUCUGCAGUCUUCUGGUACUCUUCCAUUUCUACUGCUGCCAUCUGUUCAUCGGCAAUUUUUUAGCCCUUCUGGAGGCACUCUUCUGCUCUCUGCCGAUUCCCGGUGGCUGUGAUCAUACCUUUGGGGCUAGGCAUCUUCAACUUGAGGUACACGUAACAUGGUCGAGCCAUGAAAUGAGCGUAUGCAGGCCUGCCCAAAAUAGCAUGAUAGGCACUGUGAAAAUCCACGACCUCAAAUGUCAAUUUUUCCGUGCGGUAAUUCUUUGAUUCGCCGAAAACCACAUCAAGAGUGAUCUGACCAAGUGAAUUGGCUUUCUUUCCUGGCAUGACUCCGUGGAAUCGCAUGUUGCUUUCGCUGAGCUUGGACAUCGGGAUGCCCAUCCCUCGGAGGGUCUCAGCAUACAGAAUGUUUAAGCCACUGCCACCGUCCAUCAAAACCUUGGUCAGUCGAGUGCCCCCAACGACUGGGUUGACCACCAAUGCUUGCCGCCCGGGGGUAGCAACGUGCGCUGGGUGGUCGGGCUGGUCGAAUGUAAUGGGAGUUUUUGACCACUUCAAGUAUGUCGUAGUUGCCGGAGCAACCAUGUUCACUUCACGAUUGAUAACUUUCAGUUGACUUUUGCUCUCAACGUCCGCAAAAAUCACUAAAGUGGCAUUGACAUUGGGGUAACCAUCAUCUUCUUAUUUGUCUUCGUCCUUAUCAGAUUCCUUCUCCUUUUCACCGGGUUGGCCCUCUUGGAAGCUCUGAAUCAGGAAUCGACACUGUCGAGUGGUAUGCUUGGGGUAAAUCAGGUUUCCCUCUUCAUCUUUCUUGGUGUGUAUGUGACACGGCAAAUCAAGCACAUCAUUUCCCGCUUGAUCUUUCACUUUCUUGGGGAUCCAUGGCCCCUUAGGUCUUCCUUUGAAUUUCCCUUGGUUCAAAACUGUGGCCUCACCAGGACCUGUGGGUUCGUCUUUGCGCUUCUGCUUCCGACUGGAAUUUUCUCCUCUGGUGUCCUGGGCGACUGGUUUGUUCUUGCCACUGUCGAGUCGGUCUUCUUCCUCACCGUUAGCGUACCGAGUGGCUAUUUCCAUCAUCCGAGCCAGGGACAUGUCCCCUGUCCGACCGAAUUUCAGGUUAAGCUCUUUGUACCGAACGCCUUCCGUGAAGGCACAAACUGCCUGAUGCUCUGACACAUUCUCCACGAUAUGAUGAAGAGAACUCCAUCGCUGGAUGUAAUCUCUCAAAGUUUCAUUCGGUUUCUAGACACAAUGCUUUAAUUCAUUCAACCCUACAGGUCGUUUGCAAGUGCCCUCAAAUUUCCUGACGAACACUCGGGCCAAUUCUUCCCAACUGAAGAUACUACCAGGAGCCAACUGAUUCAACCAAGCUCUGGUUGAACCCUCCAGCAUCAGGGGUGUUGGGUAUCGUAGCAUAAUUUAAAAUUUUCCUACGCUCACCAAGAUGCAUCUAUGGAGUCUACUAGCAACGAGGGGAAAGGAGUGCAUCUACAUACCCUUGUAGAUCGCGAGCGGAAGCGUUCCAAUGAACGUGGAUGACGGAGUCGUACUCGCCGUGAUCCAAAUUACCGAUGACCGAGUGCCGAACGGACGGCACCUCCGCGUUCAACACACGUACGGUGCAGCGACGUCUCCUCCUUCUUGAUCCAGCAAGGGGGAAGGAGAGGUUGAUGGAGAACCAACAGCACGACGGCGUGGUGGUGGAUGUAGCGGGUCUCCGGCAGGGCUUCGUCGAGCUUCUGCGAGAGAGAGAGAGAGAGAGAGAGAGAGAGAGAGGUGUUGCAGGGGAGAGGGAGGCGCCCAAGGCUAUAGGUUGCUGCCCUCCCUCCCCCCCCCCCUUUAUAUAGGCCCCCUGGGAGGGGGGGCGGCGUCCAAAGCCCAUCUAGGGCAAGGGGCGGCGGCCAGGGGGGUUCCUUGCCCCCCAAGGCAAGUGGGAAACCCCCCACCCUAGGGUUUGCAACCCUAGGCGCAGGGGGAAGGCCCAUGGGGGGGCUCCCAGCCCACUAGGGGCUGGCUCCCUUCCCACUUCAGCCCACGGGGCCCUCCGGGAUAGGUGGCCCCACCCGGUGGACCCCCGGGACCCUUCCGGUGGUCCCGGUACAAUACCGGUAACCCCCGAAACUUUCCCGGUGGCCGAAACUUGACUUCCUAUAUAUAAUUCUUCACCUCCGGACCAUUCCGGAACCUCUCAUGACGUUCGGGAUCUCAUCCGGGACUCCGAACAACUUUCGGGUUUCCGCAUACACAUAUCUCUACAACCCUAGCGUCACCGAACCUUAAGUGUGUAGACCCUACGGGUUCGGGAGACAUGCAGACAUGACCGAGACGCCUCUCCGGUCAAUAACCAACAGCGGAUCUGGAUACCCAUGUUGGCUCCCACAUGUUCCACGAUGAUCUCAUCGGAUGAACCACGGUGUCGAGGAUUCAAUCAAUCCCAUAUGCAAUUCCCUUUGUCAAUCGGUAUGUUACUUGCCCGAGAUUCGAUCGUCGGUAUCCCAAUACCUUGUUCAAUCUCGUUACCGGCAAGUCUCUUUACUCAUACCGCAAUGCAUGAUCCCGUGACUAACGCCUUAGUCACAUAGAGCUCAUUAUGAUGAUGCAUUACAGAGUGGGCCCAGAGAUACCUCUCCGUCACACGGAGUGACAAAUCCCAGUCUCGAUCUGUGCCAACCCAACAGACACUUUCGGAGAUACCCGUAGUGCACCUUUAUAGUCACCCAGUUACGUUGUGACGUUUGGCACACCCAAAGCACUCCUACGGUAUCCGGGAGUUGCACGAUCUCAUUGUCUAAGGAAAAGAUACUUGACAUUGGAAAAGCUCUAGCAAACGAAACUACACGAUCUUUUAUGCUAUGCUUAGGAUUGGGUCUUGUCCAUCACAUCAUUCUCCUAAUGAUGUGAUCCCGUUAUCAAUGACAUCCAAUGUCCAUAGUCAGGAAACCAUGACUAUCUGUUGAUCAACGAGCUAGUCAACUAGAGGCUUACUAGGGACACGUUGUGGUCUAUGUAUUCACACAUGUAUUACGAUUUCCGGACAAUACAAUUAUAGCAUGAAUAAUAGACAAUUACCAUGAACAAAGAAAUAUAAUAAUAACCAUUUAUUAUUGCCUCUAGGGCAUAUUUCCAACAAGGGGGAGAUGCUUCAUGGCUACAUCAUCAUUGCCACCACCAAUCUGCACAGCCACUUGCUAAUCCUCUAGCCAAGUGUCUGGCUUUGAUUCAUCGGUGAACUUACUCACUCUCGUCUCCAACCUGAAGUUGGGAGGGAUCUCAGCAGCUCUGAUGGCUCUACUGAAACAUUCAGGCCCAGAAACAUGCACUCUGCUACCAAUUGGACGAUCUCUGUCUAGUCCUUCUCUGUGUGCCCGGCCUCUGUCGACCAGAACCUGCACAAGAACUGAUCUUGCAUCAAACCCAGGCUCUCUUGGGUCGACUAGGGCCGUUCGCUCAUCGCCAUACGGGCGCCUGUCAUCGUACUGUCGGGGCACAUACGAUCCGCCCCUCAGAGGCGGCGUAGGCACUCGACAGCGGUCAUACGGCCGAGUCGAUGAUCAUACUGCUCGUCGUUCCGACCCAGGUACUGCUCCUGGUGGUGCCCAUGACCCUCAUGCCGUGGAGGCGAUCUUGGGCUGUGAGCCGACUUGACUGUGUCCGCUACCAUGGACCUACUGUGGAUCCUGUUGCGCGACUGGGAAACGGCUGAGUUUUGUUCCCCCGCCGCCCGAAGCAACGCUCGAAUCUACAUCAAACCUCUACCAGCCUCUGAACGGGAUGGUUGAAUCAACUCUGCUAUAUGGGUUGCAGCUACAACAUUCUUGACUGGUGUGCGAUAUACCUGAGGUUCAGGCGGAAACAACGGUCGGUGCCGUCGACUGGAUUCGGGGAUCUGCCGACGAGCGUGUUCGUCGAGUGAAUGUUGGAGAUUCCCCAGACGCGCGCGCUCAGCCAUGGUGGCCAGGCGCGCAGCCUCCAAGGCUCGAGCCUCGGAGGUCUCAUCGAUGAUGGGGGUGUGAAGCGCCUCCAUAUUGCGAUGAUGCAGCUCUUCCCUCUGCUUCGAAGUGAGGGCUUCAGGAUGAUACUCAUCAUGACCGCGCGACGGACCGCCGCCACCAUCGCCGCCGCCACUGCGACGGAAACCAGGCGGGCUAUGGGGCGUGUCGACCAUCAGGACCUCCACCGCAGGGUCGCUGCUCCCGCACUCGGACAGAGUCUCGGCGGAACUAGUCGACAGGUCAAAUAGUCCAUAGAGAGAUUCGUCGGGCUCGAUUGCCACGACUUGAGGGGUGGCCGACUGGCGGACCACCACAUGCUUCACCCAACGCUGAAGCCGCGAUCGACCAGAUCUCUUGCGACGGCGUACAGCUGGAAGAAUGGACGAUGCGGGAGCCGACCGAUACUGGGUUGACGGUUCCCGCAGGAGGACAUCGCAAGCACUCGCAAGAAAGUGUGCCGCCCCAUGGACGGGAAGGGCCUCGACGUCGAAGGAGGCCUCUUGGAGCCAGGCGGAGUCGUCGGCGAUGAAGAGAGCGCGCCGAUUCAGAUCUCGCGGCCCAAAGCCAAACCACCGCCUGAAACCAUGUUGAUGAAGAUCGGAAAAACUGCAACCUCACCGGAAGUCCCUAAGACACCUGCCCCACGGUGGGUGCCAACUGUCGUGGGAACUAGUAUGACAGUAAGAAUAGGGGGUACGUAGGAGGAGGCAAGAUCCUAGCUACGAUGAGGUUGUGCACGCAAGAUUUACGAGUUCAGGCCCUUCUCGGAGGAAGUAAAAGCCCUACGUCUCUGUGCCCGGAGGCUUGGUUGACUGGAUUAUGCGUGAGAGUUACAGGGGGUGCGAACCCUUGUGCCAGUGGAGGGGAGUGGCUUAUAUGGAGUGCGCCAGGACCCCAGCCAUCCCACGUUACACAGGGUUCAAUAUACAUUAAGACAGGGCAUUACUAGUAACGCUAGCUAUAAAGAGCUAUAAAUGAUCUUUAAGACUACAGAGUGAACGCCUGAUCGUUGCCAUCCUGAGUGACUUUAGGUCCUCUGUACUCCGAGUGGUUUCUUGUAUGGUCGAGUGACUUCAUCUUGGUCGAAUGGAAUUGGGGUAUCCGAGUGAAUAACUGGUCGAGUGGAUAACACUCCAAGGUCACUUCAGCCGGUAUCCUUUGUUGUACUUUGAAUGUCUUUGAAUCUAGGGAAGUGUCCUUGGGAAGGGCAUCUAGGUCAGGCCUAUUACCCUACCUUAGGUACAUGUCAUCGUCAGUAGCAACAGUCAUUGUUCAUCGAGAGGCAACCCAACACCGGCUGGCUACGUCUCGCACGUGGGCUCGAUCGGCUUAAGGAAGUAGCAGCAGCGAUCGAUCGCUCGGGUUCAGUUAGCACCAGCUAAGCAAUCGCUCGGGUUCAGUCAGCAGCGAAGGAAUCGCUCGGGUUCAAUAGCGAAGGGAUCGAUCGCUCCGGUUCAGUAACGUAGCUAAUGCAAUCGCCCGAGUUCAGUAAGCGAAUGCCUCGCUCGGGUUCAGUUAGACCCAACGCCACACACGCGCGUGCGCGUGUAUGUACGAGAGAAACGUGCAAACCACAGUGCAUCGCUCGGCCCCGACCACCCACCGUAACCGGGAACUCCCCAAAAAUUUCCUCGCCCUCACUUCUAGCAUGAUUUUUUCUGUCAUGGACGGCCCGAAGAAUGUCAUGCGGGUGCAUCUCCGACCCGCGAGGAUGAAAAGCCCAUUUUCUAUCAUGAUUCUUUGUCAUAGAAGUAUGAGCCCACCAUAUGUCAUAAGCAUGAUAGAAAACGUUUUGGUUAGGGCCAUAAUGGUCACGGAUGUGUCUUUUUUGUAGUGAUAGUGAACAUUAUGAAUAGCUAGCUAGGAACUAGCAUACAUUUGAAUUCAACUUAAGGUGGUUUAAAAUAUUCGAAUUCUACAUGAAGUCCAUUCAACUAUUUGAAUUCGAGAUCAUGGCAUUUGUAAAUCAUACCUAAAAUAAGGGUGCAUCAAUCUUUGCUUUGCUUUUGUACAUAAUAACAUAUAGUCACGUACAAAAUAGAUUCAAAUUUACCUCCUCCAUUCCAAAAUAAUCGUAAUUAUAGGAUUUUCAAGAGUCAAAAUUUCAAAAAGAAGCGCAUACUUUGAUGAGGUUUUCAAACAUACAAGGUCAAAUUUAACGAGGUCUAUUUAGGUCAAUCCUAAAAGUUCAAGAGUACUCUAAACGUGAAUGCUUCUGGUUCAAAAUUUUGAACGGGGCGCCAAAAGGGCCUCUACAUGCCCGAAAAACAAGAUCAAUGUUAGGUAGAAGGAAAUUACUGUUCUAACUCUAAGACAUGAAACCUACUGUCCCGACGUCCAGAGGUCUAAACCGGGUAGGCUUGUAACUUCAUCUAGACGCCACACAACCGCCUCCGAAAAACAUUCAUACACCGUGGGCGCCUAAACACACAUGCGCUCGGCCGAGAUUGCUCCCGCCCACUAUUUGGGACACCUGGGAUUACCGUCCUACCCUCGACCCGUAGUAUGUCCAAAAUUUAAGAAGCGGGCAAAGUUUGUACUCUCCCCAAAUUUCAAACAAGCACGUCCCAGAACAAAACAUGGUUCCCCCUUNNNNNNNNNNNNNNNNNNNNNNNNNNNNNNNNNNNNNNNNNNNNNNNNNNNNNNNNNNNNNNNNNNNNNNNNNNNNNNNNNNNNNNNNNNNNNNNNNNNNNNNNNNNNNNNNNNNNNNNNNNNNNNNNNNNNNNNNNNNNNNNNNNNNNNNNNNNNNNNNNNNNNNNNNNNNNNNNNNNNNNNNNNNNNNNNNNNNNNNNNNNNNNNNNNNNNNNNNNNNNNNNNNNNNNNNNNNNNNNNNNNNNNNNNNNNNNNNNNNNNNNNNNNNNNNNNNNNNNNNNNNNNNNNNNNNNNNNNNNNNNNNNNNNNNNNNNNNNNNNNNNNNNNNNNNNNNNNNNNNNNNNNNNNNNNNNNNNNNNNNNNNNNNNNNNNNNNNNNNNNNNNNNNNNNNGGCGCCAAAACUCCCUCUCCACCAACCACGAAACCCCGGCGUCCUCCAUCCACCACCCCAUAACACCGAUAAACCGCCGCCCUCCUCCAUCAUGCCAGAGCUGAUACCCCGACAUCGUCGUCCACCGCAACCACAAUGCCCUCCGCAGCCUCCAGGACUUGGACGUGCGUCGAACCCAAGCCAGUUCAACCACGCCGUCCUGCGCCUCACCACUGCCGCUCCAAUGUAGCAACCAUCCACCGCACCAGAGCCGUUCUCGCUACGCCAUCGUUUGCCUCCUUGGAUCUGCUUCCCCUCCACCGACAGGCGGCCACCACAACACAGUCAACAACUUGGCCAUGGGUUCGUCCACGCCUCGACCAUCCUCCACAACAUCAGCUCCCUUGGUAAAAAUAAGAAGAUCGGCGCGAAAUUAGGAGGACACAGCACUGGCAACCGAAAUUGGUAGUCCUCUUCCCUUAUUCGUGCAAAUCUUACGUGUCUGCUCGCAUGGUAUUCAUCCCAUAGAAGACACUAGUUGACCACUUCUUACUGUACCUACUUCCUGAUACUAGAUGUUCCUACUAACUCGUGAUGCAGAAGUUUUCCCCUCAUAUACUAUUUCACCUUAGCUAGAGGCCCAUCGCCCGCCUAGAUUUCAAUUCUGGGUUGAUACGUCUCCAACGUAUCUAUAAUUUUUGAUUGCUCCAUGCUAUAUUAUCUACUGUUUUGGACAUUAUUGGGCUUUAUUAUUCACUUUUAUAUUAUUUUUGGGACUAACCUAUUAACCGGAGGCCCAGCCCAGAAUUGCUGUUUUUUGCCUAUUUCAGAGUUUCGCAGAAAAGGAAUAUCAGAGUCCAAACGGAAUGAAACCUUCGGGAACGUGAUUUUUAGGAAGAUUAUGAUCCAGGAGACUUGGACCCUACGCCAAGAAACAAAGGAGGAGGCCACGAGGUAGGGGGCGCGCCCUCCACCCUCGUGGGCCCCCUGUUGCUCCACCGACGUACUCCUUCCUCCUAUAUAUACCUACGUACCCCCAAACGAUCAGAUAGGGAGCCAAAAACCUAAUUCCACCGCCGCAACCUUCUGUACCCACGAGAUCCCAUCUUGGGGCCUGUUCCGGAGCUCCACCGGAGGGGGCAUCCAUCACGGAGGGCUUCUACAUCAUCACCAUAGCCUCUCCGAUGAAGUGUGAGUAGUUUACCUCAGACCUUCGGGUCCAUAGUUAGUAGCUAGAUGGCUCCUUCUCUAUUUUUGGAUCUCAAUACAAUGUUCUCCCCCUCUCUCAUGGAGAUCUAUUCGAUGUAAUCUUCUUUUUGUGGUGUGUUUGUUGAGACCGAUGAAUUGUGGGUUUAUGAUCAAGAUUAUCUAUGAACAAUAUUUGAAUCUUCUCUGAAUUCUUUUAUGUAUGAUUGGUUAUCUUUGCAAGUCUCUUCAAAUUAUCAGUUUGGUUUGGCCUACUAGAUUGAUCUUUCUUGCAAUGGGAGAAGUGCUUAGCUUUGGGUUCAAUCUUGCGGUGUCCUUUCCCAGUGACAGUAGGGGCAGCAAGGCAUGUAUUGUAUUGUUGCCAUCGAGGAUAACAAGAUGGCGUUUUUAUCAUAUUGCAUGAAUUUAUCCCUCUACGUCAUGUCAUCUUGCUUAAGGCGUUACUCUGUUUUCAUGAACUUAAUACUCUAGAUGCAUGCUGGAUAGCGGUCGAUGAGUGGAGUAAUAGUAGUAGAUGCAGGCAGGAGUCGGUCUACUUGUCUCGGACGUGAUGCCUAUAUACAUGGUCAUACCUAGAUAUUCUCAUAACUAUGCUCAAUUCUGUCAAUUGCUCAACAGUAAUUCGUUCACCCACCGUAAAAUACUUAUGCUCUUGAGAGAAGCCACUAGUGAAAUCUAUGGCCCCUGGGUCUAUCUUCAUCAUAUUAAUCUUCCAACACUUAGUUAUUUCCUUUGGUUUUUACUUUGCUUUUAUUUUACUUUGCAUCUUUAUCACAAAAAUACCAAAAAUAUUAUCCUAUCAUAUCUAUCAGAUCUCACUCUCGUAAGUGACCGUGAAGGGAUUGACAACCCCUUAUCGCGUUGGUUGCGAGGAGUUAUUUGUUUUGUGUAGGUACGAGGGACUCGCGCGUAGCCUCCUACUAGGAUUGAUACCUUGGUUCUCAAAAACUGAGGGAAAUACUUACGCUACUUUGCUGCAUCACCCUUUCCUCUUCAAGGGAAAACCAACGCAGUGCUCAAGAGGUAUCAUGGGUCAGUUGAUUCGCAAUUAAAGGAAGCACCACCCACGGAGGCGCUAGUCUGUUUGUUCGCCGGGAUGCAGUGCCUCGGUGUUUAUCUUAGGGGUGUGUGGGGCGCAGGAGCUGCUGGCAACCGAUCUAGCGGUCGGCCGGGCUUAAAGGGAUGGCCAGGGGCGGUGCCAAGCACGGCAGUGGGGUGAGGUCGAGCGUGGCGGAGGCAGGGGUCUGCGCCGGUGGUCGCUGGCGGUUCAAAAAAGAUCGUCAACAGUGACUGGCGGGGGGUAGACGAAGGCCAUCUGCCCAUUUCUUGUAGAUCGGACGGUUCAGAAAAAAUCGAUGACCUAUUUGUUUUCAUUCGACUGUUAUUUUCAUAGGACCACAUGUGGUGGUGUGCUGGAGGAGUAGUUGCACUUCCCAGCCAUCCCUAUGCUCAUAUUUCAAAAGCAUGGAAUCUAAUUUCAUGUGCCAUGCAUGUUGUAGAGUUAUCAUAUGCCUCCCAUCAUUUACUUUUCACCCACCUGCUAUCUGCUACUUUUACAGUGCACUACUUCUGCACACACUUCACCCAUACUCUCACUAUUGUUUUUUAUGCAUGGGUAUUUCAGCCUCUAACACACUGUUGAAAUUUUCACAAAAGAAAAGAGAUAAGUUGCUCCAGUCUAAUUUGCGGAUAAGCACGAAGCGUUUCAGCGCUAUAAAGGGUGUAGUGUCAGCAGAUGGAGAUAGUAAACGUAGCUCUGCAGUUGAUGAUCUCAUUCAUCAUGAACCACCAUCCCAGGUGCUUGCCUUAACUUCGCGACAUCAUCUAUGGUUGCAUGCUGCAUAUGGUGUCUAGCUUGUAUUCGAAAGCCCGAAGCCGGUCUUUAUUAAGAUAAGGAUAAAAAAUUACAUCACGACGAUGGCCACAAAGAGUACAAGACCACAUAGCACCAGAGGCCAAAUAGGCAAGGCACUGGCUGAGCCAGUGACAAGCCCAGCACAGACAAGCAUCACCUGCAAGCCAACUACAAAGCCAUGGUGGUGGCGAAGCAGCCCACCUCCCGCUAGUCUCUCAGGUCCUCGAUGAUCAUGCUCACCACUCUAGCCGGGUGUCUAGCUUGUAUUGCCUCCAAUUUGGUUAAAUUGGAUCUGCUUAGUUUACACAUUGUACCUUUGAAUAUGACACGUCUUCCUGUUUUUUGGUACAUACUACAUUUGUCUAUUAACCAUGUUCUUACAUCAAACUAAUUUUCUUGUGUAUCCCUCAUCAAUAACUUAUGAUGAGACAGUCAGGCCCGGGGGUUAGUGUGAGAUAAGCUACUGUAUUAAGAGUGAAGUGUCAUCCUCCCCACAUGAUUCUCAAGAAACAACAAGGCUAGAUGAAGAUAGUCAACGUAGCUCUGUAGUUGAUGACCGCAUUUCCCCUACACCACUAUCGCAGGUGCUUGCUCUAACUUGGUAGUGUCAUAUGUGGUUGCACGUUGCAUAUGGUGUCUAGCUUGUAAUUCUUAUAAUCUGGUAAAAUUGCCUCUGCUAUUUGACUUAGUUUACACAUUAUACAUGUUAAUGUGAAAUGCCUUUCUGUUUUUGGUACAUACUACAUCUGUCUAUUUAGCAUGUCCUUACAUAAAACUAUUGUUCUUUUGUAUCCUACAUCAAUCACUUAUGACGAGACACCUUUAGUAUAUGCAGCGUGAUAUUGGUUGCAUCUUUCAUAUGAUUUAUAGCAUGUACUACUUCUAAUUUCUUUAUAUGCCAUUUCUGAUGAGACGAUUUUAACUUGGCAGAGUCAUAUUGGUUGCAUCUUUCAUGUAGUGUCUAGCUUGCAUUGCUUCUAAUUUGUUGAAAUGGCUUUUUCUUAGUUUACACAAUAGGUGUGAAUGUUCCAUGUCAUCCUGUUUUUCGUACAUAUUCCAUCCUCGUAUCAUGUGUUUGCGUUACAUCAAAGUAGUGUUUGCCAGUAUCUUGCAUGAAUGAGUUCUGAAGAGUGAAUUUUAUUCCUUUUUCUUGUCAGUUUGACUUGGCAAUGCACAAUCAAUAAAGCGUAAGGAAAUUAGUAGGGUAGUGGAUGAUGGUGCUCCUUCCGAGCAACUGCAACGGACGGUCUCUACAGAUUAUACUAUGCCAUCCUCCCAACAAGAUUUGCAAGACAACACAUGUAUAGACACUCAACGUAGCUAUGUUCAUGAUUAGCACAUCUCCCCUACUCCACGAUCACAGGUGAUCGCUCUAACUUGGCACUGUUAUAUGUGGUUGCAUGUUACAUAUGAUGUCUAGCUUGUAUUGCAUCUAAUUGUGUUGAAUUGAAUCUGCUUAGUUUACACAUUAUACUUGUGAAUAAGACACAUUUUCCUGUUUCUAGAACAUACAAUAUCUGUCUAUCACACCAUGUUCUUACAUCAAAGUACUACUGUUGUGUAACCUGCAACAAUCACUUAUCAUAAGAAACAUUUAACUUGGGAGUGUGAUAUAGGUUGCAUCUUGCAUUCUUUUUUAGCUUGUACUGCUUCUAAUUUGUUGAAAUGGCUUAUGACGAGACAGUUUUAACUUGGUAGAGUGGUAUUCGUUGCAUCUUUCCUAUGGUGCCUAGCUUUCAUUGCUUCUAGUUUGUUGAAAUGCCUUCUUCUUAGUUUACACAUCAUAGGUGUGAAUAUGCAAUUAUGUGAUUUUUUCUUACAUAUUCAAUCCUCCUAUCAUGUGGUCGCCUUACAUGAAAGUAGUGUUUAUCAGCAUCAUGCAUCAAUGAGUUCUAAAAAGAGAAUUUUAUUCAUUUUUCUUCUGGGUUUGACUUGACAAGGCAAAAAAAUAAGAAAGAGAAAGGAAAAAAUUAAGGCAGGGGCUAAUGGCGGUCUUCUGUCGGAACCGGUAAGGACGCGCUCUAGACAUUGUACUACUACUGCUAGUGCAGUAUAACUUCCAAGUAAAUAUGAUGGGCCCAACAAUUCUACUCCAGCAUGCUAGGUGCUUUAAUUUCUCUAGCUUGGCAAUGUGAUAUUUGCUAGCAUGUUGCAUACAGUGUCUAGCUUGUAUUGCUUCUAAUUUGAUUAAAUUGCAUCUGCGUAGUUUACACAUUAUACAUGUGAAUAUGAUAUGUCUUCAUUUUUUUAACUACAUCUGUCUAUUACAUGUUCUAACAUCGAAGUACUAUUCGUGUCUAUCCUUCAUAAAUCACUUAUGACGAGACACCUUUAACUUGGUAGUGUGAUGUUUUUUGCAUCUUGCAUAUGAUUUAUUGCUUGUACUGCUUCACAUUUGUUUAAAUGACACUUAUGAAGAGGCACGUUUAACUUGGCAGAGUGAUAUUUGUAGCAUCUUUCAUAUGGUGUCAACCUUCCAUUGCAUUACUUCUAAUUUAUUCAAAUGCAUUAUGCUUAGUUUACACAUCAUAGGUGUGAUUAUCUCAUGCCGUCCUCUUUUUUGUACAUAUUGCAUCCUCCUAUCAUGUGGUUGUCUAACAUCAAAGUUCGGUUUGUCUGUAUCACGCAUCAAUUAGUUCUGAAGAACUAAAUUUUUAUUCCUUUUUAUUGUGGGCUUGACUUGACAUGGCAAAAAGAGAGAGGAAGAAACACAUAAUGGUAGGGGAUGGUGCUAGUACAUGGGAGGCACGGAAGCGGAAGCGGGACAGCUCUGCAUUCUGCUGGUACUGAUAGUGUAAUAGAAGGUCGAAGUCCACCAGAUAAAUGUACAAACAUGGUAUCCCCUGCAACACCAGCUGCAAAACAUACCAAAGACAAACAAAAAGUUUUCAUCAAACAAGCAAUGACAGCCCAAGUGGUUGCAGCACCUUCUUCCACCGUACCGACAUCUGCACGAGUUACUCGUUUGUCAACUCAGCUAUCGGCAAGUUCCCAAGCUCCCUUGUCAUCUGACACUACUUCCGAAGUACUCUUGACACAAGAGGACUUGGCAAGAUUAGAUGAACCUUGUGAGCUUCAACAACAAGAGGGUGGUUGAUGGAGUCAAGUUACAAUUGCAUGCUUCUUUAUAUGUAGUCUCACAGUUUGAUGUACACUAACACUUUCCAUGUUCGUUUUGAACUAGCACCUAGGCACAAGAGGAAACAAACAUUGGGGAUAAUGCUUGACAGGUUAACUAAAUCUAGAGGAGGAAGAAUGGAGAUCCAUUUUGAGGCAGGUUUAAAAAGGAUGCUACAGAGUCAGCCAAGUUAGUGUCAGAGGCAGCUAUUGUCGUUAGGUGUCAUGCAUGUAUCCUCCCAACAUGGAUUCAGUACAGGAAUGACAAAGAUGAAACCCAAUUUAACACCUUCCUCCACCAUUUAUCUGUAAGUAUGGUUAUUUAUGGAAAUUAGUAAUAUUGUCUUGCUCUGUCCCAUACUUUCUAGGUUGCUGGUAAUGAGACACCCAUAAUUUUCAACAGAUGAGGUCAAAUUGGAUCGCCAAGAUGAUGUAACCAGACAAGCAUGCACUCAUGUUUUCAAGUCUGCUCUGCGUCAGUAUUGAUAUAACCUGAGGAAAACUCACUUUGAAGGCAAGGAUAAUAGUGAACCUCCCCAAACAUCUCUAGUGGAAAAUAUAACGGAUGAAUACUGGAGAGCCCUUCUUAAACACUGGUCUGAUCUAAAGUAUCAAGUAUGUUAUAUAUAUGGGAUCAGAUCACAUAUUGAACUCCUAUUUACGCAUGUGCCUUACAAAUCUAUUUUCUUCUAAGUGAACUGCUCAAGGAGCAAUGCCAACCGUACGAAAGUCAAAUUCCAACAGACGAUAGGAUCUCGUAGCUAUUGCACACUGCAAGGCUCUUGUAACUAUAUGUUGUUUCACUCUUUUCGUCAUGCCAUAUUAUCAUAUCUAUAUUGACUUGUUCCAAAUACAGAGGAAAUCCCGCAAGGACCAAAAAGUACCUCAACCAAAUGCGGUGGAAAUCUUCAAGGACUAUCACACCAGUAAGAUGAAGGGCGUGACUACACCAGUCAAAGACGUUGUUGUAAGUCCUUAAUCCUCAAGCCUUUGAACUACUGGUUACUCUAACUUGUGCAUUGAACUGCUCGGUUUGCAGCCAAUGUCUAUUACUCUUUAUAAUUUUAUACACAGUUGUCUUAACGUAUCAUUGCACCUUACAAGGUUUAAAAGGGAGGAGUGAUGUUCCUUUGCUCUUGAUCUGUAAUCAAAUUAUAUGCUGGACUUGCCCACACAAUGUUACAAUUGCAUCUUUGUCUAUUCUCAGUUGUUUUGUGAUAUGAAUGAUGUCAUACUAUGCUUACCGUAUUAUAAACUUUGUCCCUUUAUCUUAGCUGUCAAUAAAAUGUGAAGAAAUAGAAAAUACAUUGGCCACGGUACAUGGUACUAUGUUUGGAACCUGGUUUUAUUAUGUACUUUGCAAUAAAAUGCAACUAAUAUUUUACACGGGUUCACCAAAAUAAGUUCUAUAUAUAGACCAAAGAUAUUUUGUUUGGUUUUGCUGCAUCAUUAAGAACUUAUGUUCUGGUACUACUAAUGACUCAACUUUUCAGUAAGCUAUGGAACAAAUGGUGGAACCGCCACCUCCUAAAGGUGACUAGGCAACUAUAACCGCAAUGUCACUUCUUGCUGCAGCGGGUCAGUAUCUCUCCACUAACAGUGCCAAAAGCACCUUCCUCCAUAAAACUGGGUUGGUUGUUAAGGAAACCUCGUCUAAACUGCCUCAUGAUCAAGAUCUGCAAGCUCAAAAGAAUGAUAUAUAUGCGCUCUAGACACAAGUACAAUCCCUGACAGAAGCCCUAUGUGAAAUAAGGACAACCAUUAUUCGAUGUCGUGAAGAUAUGCAUGGUUUUGAAACCAGACUAUCAGACAGUUGCUAUGUUGUCCAGGAGCCUAGGAGAAAUGAAGGCGGUGGUUAUGGUGCUCCCUCAGACACUACAGCAUGAAAACGUAACAGUCAGGUCAAAUGAACUGAGCUUCUGAACUUCCGAUGGUGCAUUUAUCAGCCGGACUAUUAAUUUUUAUGCUAACCCUCCUUUUGUUAUACGUAUGUAAUUUGUUUUGUUGUGAUACAACAUUUGUUUUUAACGAACAUCGACUGGCUGAAGAAAACAACAAGCAAUUUUUGUAUACUGUAGGGUGUUCCCUAUAUUUGCACUGGUGGCGAACUUUGAUGCCCAAUGGAUGUAAUCUGUGCAAUCACGGCAAUAGCCGACCAUUGGUUGCUUGCUUAUUUAUUUCCAUAGUCUUCAUUUUUCUCGGUUUGCUAGUGGACGCAAUAACCAUGGGCCACAUACGAACCUUGGUAACCAUGGGCCUACUACCUGUUGUAUUGACCAUGGGCCAUCAAUGGGUCGUUGGAUCAAUGGGCCUCCUACGGGUCGUAGGAUCCGUAGGCCUUUCGUGGGCCAAAAGCGAACCGCAAUAUGAGUCGUAAACAUGCCAAAUUGGUAAUGAUCCGUUUAUGGGCCCGCACCUUAACGGGUCGUUAAUGGGCUGGAAUAAACCAAAUGCUUGAUUCUAUCGACAUGCAUAACGGGUCGUUAUUGUGCGAGAAUAUUUGACGGGGUGAAAACAGCUCAAUGGGUUAGCGGGCCACAAACGGGCUGACUAUAACCACGGGCCGAAUUUGGCCCAUUAGCUGAGCAGGCCAAUAACGGACCGUAAGUAAUCGAGGGCCAGAAAUAUUCCCAAGAAUAUAUGGGCCCUUAGAAGGCCGAAAGAUAACACGGCCGGGCAUGGGUCGUUAAUGGGUAUAAAGCAACUUACUAUGUAUUAUGGGCCAAAAUCACCUCGGGUCGUUAAAGGGCCAGAUAUACAAAAGGCCUCAUAUGGGUCGAAGGACAUCAUGGGCCAGACAUGGGGUGAAAGUGACAAUGGCUGGAAUUAUAUUGGAUGGUCCACAUGACGCUACUGGGCCGAAUUUGGAAAGGUCAUAAAGGGUCGUGAGUUAGCAGGUCGUAAAUGGACUUUAUGCGAACAGGUCGUUAACAGGUUUUCCAUGGGCCGGCCCGCUAACUUUUCACCAAGUCAAACGGACUGGCCUUUUUAAACUAAUUGGGCCACUAUUGGGCCUUGCCACGUGUCACUUUUUCAUAGGCAUGUCUCGUCCGUUAGAUGAAUGACAUCUGUUGCAACGUCGAGCUGACAUGUGGUUCCUCUAGCUAAUGAUAAUUUUAUACGUGGAAAAUCCCCAUUGGUCUGGGCUGUUACCGGGUUAUCGGAUCCAUACCGGAACCCGAUAGCUUAACGGUGACCCGUUACGGUGGAUUCCACGUGUCGGUUACCCUUAAAGAAAGCACUUCCAUGACGUGCCUUUUGUCGUCAUAGAAGUGGACACUUUCGUGAUGAUAAUUUGAGUAUUGUCAUAAAACACUUCUACGACAGCACAUGUAUGACUAUCUUGAUUCUGUCAUAAAAUUGUCACAGAUAUACAUGCAUGACAGAAAACAUGACCUACUAUGAUAAACACGUAUCAUCACGGAAGUUUUUUUGUUUGUAGUGAGUGUUGUUUUGCAUAUUGUAAAAGAAAUAUACUGAGCAUUUGCAGGCACCAAAAGGAAAUUGGAAUAUUACUAUGAUGAGCGUGAAGAAAUAGUGGUAUCUUUUGGAACCGAACAUUUAGAGGAUCCCGCUAAAAAACCUACCUGCUUAUGUCCUAGAAAUGUCAUAUCCACAAAGGAUGGUGCAACUUGAAAAACAACAUAAGGGGGAGCAAUAUAGGAAAAAGGUAGAAAAAUACACCAUAACCAAGUAUGCCAGACUAGAAAAGAACUAUGUUAAGAUGCUCGUAGGACUGAUAAGGUAAUAGAGAUGGAAAAGGAGACAACAUCUUUAGUCAAGGGAAGCAUCAAAGGACGGGAUACAGGUAAACCAGUGUUACCCUGCUCCUUCGUUAGUACGUUCUAUUACGGUUUGCGUGAUACUGGCUCUUCUAUCAAUGUUAUACCUUGCACCAUUUGCAGGAAAACACAAGAUCAUACCUAUUCUAGUAAACUCCAACCGACCGAGAUGACCAGUAAAUUAGCGUGCGGGACAUUCAGAACACCAUGCGGUGUUCUUCCCGGCGUUCAUGUCAUCCUUCGCACUUUUGUCCACCCUGUUGAUCUUAUUGUUAUGGAUAUAUCUGAAGAUGACUUUUGUCCAAUUAUAUUUCGGAGAUCAUUCUUAAUACUGCAGGUGCAAAGAUCGACUACAAGAAGAAAGUAGUCUCUCUUCGAUUUGGAGAGGAGACUUCUCUAAGUUCAGAAAUCAUCCUUACUAUAAUAAAGACAAAAGCACUGAGAAGAAGACUAUAACAUAGUUUGGGGAUAUUCAAGUUGACUCUCACGACCGUUGGGCAGUGCAAAGAUUCCCACGCGAUUGCAUUCUCCUCUGUAUUUCAGAUUGUGUUGGCUUUAAGAUUAACAUGGCCCACUUCUGUUCAUCAUUCAAAAUAUGAUUAUUAUUUUUCAAAAAUCGAAAACAUGGAUGAACACCACCACUGCAUCACGGACUACAACACCCGUGCAUGGAGAUUUUAGCAGACAAAGUUGAGAAAGAAAACAUUUGUGCCUGCUCAUCUGAUCUGGAUUGGUGGAUAGAAGUUACCUACAUUGAGCUACCAGCAGAUUUUCCAUCCUCGAAGACAUGGAUAUGUGGACCACGGGAGCCGGGGGGGAGAUGCCACGUAGGAUAGCGAUCAGAGAACGCGGGGGACGCCACGUAGCACAGUCGAAGAUGCCACGAUCCGACGUGGCCCAAUGGCUCGUGCGCAUGCGGAUAUUGCAGCCAAUGGCCGGCGGCAUUUGGAUAUCCCCAUCCCGCUCCGUCUCCGGCCGCUCGUGCUCUUAUUAGCAGCCUCAGAUUCCCUUGUCCUCUCAGAGCGCACGCCUGUUCUUCUUCUUGUUGUUGUCUCACCGCAGCAAGGAGCAGCCAGCAUCGAGAGAGCAACAAUGGCGAUGGCGUCGUCAAGCGGGCUGAGGAGCUGCAGCGCCGUGGGCGUGCCGAGCCUGCUGGCGCCUUCGUCCCGGUCCGGCCGCUCCGGGCUGCCGUUCUGCGCCUACGCCACCACCUCCGGCCGCGUCACCAUGUCCGCCGAGUGGUUCCCCGGCCAGCCCCGCCCCGCCCACCUCGACGGCUCCUCGCCAGGGUGACUAAGCAACUAGCUAGCUAGUAGCCGAUUACGCAGUCACCAACCAAUCGGCAUCAGUCUGACCGGCGAUUUAUUCUCCCUGUGCAGGGACUUCGGGUUCGACCCCCUGGGCCUCGCCACCGUGCCGGAGAACUUCGAGCGGUUCAAGGAGUCCGAGAUCUACCACUGCCGCUGGGCCAUGCUCUGCGUGGUACGUCCUCCUACUCCUCUGCACCGCAGCAGCCAUUACCGAGUUGCUCGCUAGUAAUAACAAGGGUUGUGCAGCCUGGGGUGCUGGUGCCGGAGGCGCUGGGGCUGGGCAACUGGGUGAAGGCGCAGGAGUGGGCGGCGCUCCCCGACGGGCAGGCGACGUACCUGGGCAACCCGGUGCCGUGGGGCAACCUGCCGACCAUCCUGGCGAUCGAGUUCCUGGCCAUCGCCUUCGCGGAGCAGCAGCGCACCAUGGAGAAGGACCCGGAGAAGAAGAAGUACCCCGGCGGCGCCUUCGACCCGCUCGGCUUCUCCAAGGACCCCGCCAAGUUCGAGGAGCUCAAGCUCAAGGAGAUCAAGAACGGUACGUCCACCAUAUACUCUGUUGUUGAAAAAUCAUAGAACGAACUGACGUAUUUGCCUGCGGGAAAUGCAGGGCGGCUGGCGAUGCUGGCGUUCGUGGGGUUCUGCGUGCAGCAGUCGGCGUACCCCGGCACCGGCCCGCUGGAGAACCUGGCCACGCACCUCGCGGACCCGUGGCACAACAACAUCGGCGACAUCGUCAUCCCCAGAAAUAUCUACGGCCCUUGAGCGGAGCCGACCGGGCUGAGAGGAGAUCGAGGAGCCGGAGCGCAUGGUUUUCAUUCAUGUUUCUGCAUGCGUCGAUCGAUUGCUUGAUUGCCUUGCCACGCUGGCUCUACGCGCGUACGUCCGUGCGUGCAGGAACUGUACAACAACGUCGGCUCUCCGGCCGGCAACCUUUGUAAUGUGUAAAGCUUAAGUAGCGGCCACUGUUGUGAAUGCAUCCGUAUGAUCUGUAUAAACUCUUUCAUGAUGAUGGUGGAGGACGUUGCCUCUGACAAUCUCUGUUAAAGUGUGCGGGACAGUUAUCACGCGAUCAAGUUAACAUUUCAUUCAGCUUAGGACGUCUCCAAGGCGGUCCACCAAACGGGUGUCAUCAAAUGUCCGGACGUGUCCACUGACAGCCGCCCGGGCGGAGGUCAUCCAUCCUAGCCAUCAAACAAGGCGGACAUCGCUUUUAUUUAUAGAUUUUUGGACUAGUUUUCACUCUAAAAACUGCUCUAAACAUCCUACUAUACUCCUUGUCGGAGGUGAGGUCGAGAUGACCCCCACGUCAAAGCUGCUGACAUCGUCGUUGUUGGCUACAGGCAGAGCCACUGGCUUGUGCCUCUUUGACUCCGACGCCUUUUCAUAUCCUUAACCUUGAGCUUCUCGAAGAGUCAUUCCCGCCGCAUGUCGUUGAUGCAAAGCUGGCGGCUCACGCGGUCAAUCAUGCGUGGCGCUCUGCAUGGAUGCAAGCACCGCCCGGUUCUCGUCGACGAUGUCCAGGUUCGUGAGGAGAUUCGCCACGACUACAACAUAUGCGAGCUCCGCCUCCAGUUCAGCCACCGUCGCACGGUGCUCCUGCAAAAGUGUCUGGUUGAGAUCCUUAAUUCCUUAUCCGCACGAUUGUAUGGUGAAGAGGUCGUCCGCUGUGCCUCCUGCUCCCCUGAGCCCAGCUCCGAAGAGCUCGCAGGUUUGCUCGCCUCAAUGUGGGCCUGGUGCGAACCUCCGCCGCGAUUCGGCAUGACACUCCGGUGUUAAUAUCUUGUACCAUGUUACCUUGUUAUUGGCCAUGGCGAUGGUGCACAUUGGAUGGGUACUAGGAGGCCUCAAACGGCUGCGGAGGGGUGGGAGGAUGGGCUGGGAGGUAGAGUUUUGGGGGGUGGUCAUCCAACUUUAAAUAGCCGGAACGGGCAAAGGUCAAUGCGGGCAGUCGGAGUAGCCUUCUCGGACGGUGCGUUCGUAUGAAUGCGGACGGUUAGUGAAGCGGGUGUAAAUGUGAAGGGUUCUAGAGACGAAGAGAGUUUCUAGGGUGGGUCUACGGUGUUGGAGUACGACAUGGCAAAUAUCCAAACUCCCCAGAGCUCCCCNNNNNNNNNNNNNNNNNNNNNNNNNNNNNNNNNNNNNNNNNNNNNNNNNNNNNNNNNNNNNNNNNNNNNNNNNNNNNNNNNNNNNNNNNNNNNNNNNNNNNNNNNNNNNNNNNNNNNNNNNNNNNNNNNNNNNNNNNNNNNNNNNNNNNNNNNNNNNNNNNNNNNNNNNNNNNNNNNNNNNNNNNNNNNNNNNNNNNNNNNNNNNNNNNNNNNNNNNNNNNNNNNNNNNNNNNNNNNNNNNNNNNNNNNNNNNNNNNNNNNNNNNNNNNNNNNNNNNNNNNNNNNNNNNNNNNNNNNNNNNNNGUUACCAUCCACUCGGGACAUUUUGGGCGAUUUGAGGAUUCGCGUUGAAGAUGCCCUUAGAGCAUCUCCAGACCUUCCCCAAAAUGAUUUAACUUUCAGAAAAUGGUUUUGUUUAGGAGUUAACACCAACUAGUUCUUCCCCUUAAAAUUUUAAUCCCCUAAAAUUCGAGAAGUUAAUCCUCAAAUCCACCCCUCCUGCUCAGACUUGAGCAGAAAACACCCCCUCCCCAAACAUGAUUACUUGUGAGAAACUUAGAAAAUCACUUCAAAUAUCACACUCCUCUACCUCCAAAGAGUCCAACCUUUUAAUUACCUAUCCCCAUAGAUGGGUCACUUCCCACCCCUUCCACAUAAUCAUGCACAAACAUAAUUUGAAGGCUUGCUUAGAAUGUUUAAAACCUAGACAAACUGCUUCAUGUCUACAAAGUAUUUCGGAAAUGGCGGUCAUUCUACACAAGACUCUACUCGAAAUGCAUAUAAAGGUCAAAUUCGGAGUAUAGAAAAAUAAUUCAACUUCCAUUGUCCAAUAAGAAAAUUGAUUUUUAAACAGCUUACUACAAGAUCAGAUGGCAUUUUUUGUUGGAGUCUAAAAUUAAACAAUUCUCUCCCACCUUGCAUAACUGGAUAUACAUUCUUGUCAAGAAUGACGCGGUCUUAAAGUAAAUGAUGACAAACAUGGUUACUUGCAAACUAUGAAAGAUAGAAUUAGGACAUCAUACGUCUCCCACAUGUUGGCUACAUGUCUGAUAGUCGCCUACGUUGGCUAUUACUCUGGCGCAAAACAAAGAUACUAGCAAAUAAUUAGAGAUGUAGUGUCUCAUCUUGUAGAAGAGUUUGUCCAUUGUUCAGCGCAGAUGCACUUUACCUUUAUGGGCCAUCAUGUUGAGAGAGCUUUUAGCAACUGUCUAUGACUUUUAAAAUAAAUUUGAAAAGUGAGCAUAUUUGUUUCGGAAGGCGUAUCAUUCCAUUGCAGUAGUGACUAGAAAGGAGGCUAGUACAGAUAUUCAUGUAUGCUAACCAUCCGGUGUAGAUCCACCUGUUUGCGGUACGAUCCUCCGUGUCUCUUUAAACCAUAAAGCGGCUCAACAGUAGAAUUACGCACAUUGUAACAGCGAUAAACAAUGUCUAACAUACCACCUCCCAUGUCGCCGGAUGCAACCAGAUCAACAGCCGAUAAUAUCCAACACAAGGGUUUUCCACUGAUAACAUUACCGUCUCAGAAACUUUAGGUAUGGAGCGCUUCAUUUCCCAACUACUCCUGAACGGCUGAACGUUCUGCUACUCAAAGUCAAGGCAACAAACAACAUGACUAAGUUUCGGACAUCGCGCCACAGUAAUAAAACAAUGCGGCGCUCGGAACACUUACAUAUUACAGGGUAAACCUCCUAUACAACCAAAAAGUAUACAACACUGUAUAUCGGUCAUAGCUGGAUGUGGCUCAUGACGAGCAGGAUAGCAUGCACACCCCAGGCCUGUAUGCCCAGGCCGGUGGCAAGCGGGCGUAUUUCUCCAUUCCCGGCUGCUCGUCAUAUGGAUGUUCCAUAACUUUCAAUAGCCGGCGAACUUCCUCGUAAUCACCUAGAUCAGCUGCGUCAAUCGCUGUCUGGCAAAGAUAGUUCCGAAGAACAUACUUUGGGUUAACACGGUUCAUUGUGGCUUUCCUUUCUUCAUCCGAGACGCCGCUAGCCACCAGCUUCACAAAGCAUUAACAUAUCAUUAGAUUGAAGUUGUUUAGAUUUUCAACAGUGUGUUGUUAUUUAAAAGAUUCAACUAUAAGGCAUGACUAGAGGUCCAAAACCAAAUAUUGGCACAAACUUAUCAAAUGGUGGGUGGAACAACAGUCGGUAACCUAAGAGGGGGUUCAUUACAGGAAAACAUUGUGGCAACAGGAGGUAGAGAAUAACAGCAUCUUAGAACUUCUGCCAUGCCGGUGACACUUAAUUUACAAUGCACGAGUUGUUAUAAAAGCCGAGUACAUGAUGAGAUCCCAAACUAUGCAAAUGCAAUGCUGCUUUUGUUUCCAAGAGAGCUUGUUCUCAAAGAAUAAAAGAAAAAAAUACUCCAACUUCAUAAAAUGACUAGGGCUGGAAAAUAGCCCAAAAUGGCAAUAUUAUCAUUGAUAUAUUAUGUCAUGUUAAAUAUUACUAUCUGGGCAAUUCGGGAAAGAGAACAAUUUUAUAUAUACAAAAAGACAUACCUCCUCAAUAUAUGUUUGUACCCAACUAAUCCAUGCUUCCUUUCUUUCUUUCCCAAUAUCCAGGAGUGCAGCUUUUAUUGGAACUAGUAGCUCAGUUUCUGGGAUGUCACGGUCUGCUUUGACAUUCGAAAGAAGACGGAAAAAAUUUGUAUAGUCAACUUUAUCGACAGCCAAGUUGUUCAGCAGCUUGCUAAUAAGCUGCUUGUUAUAUUUUGACAGACCAAGUUUCUUUGUCAUUAUAGAUUGAUAUUCAUCCAUGAAUUUUGUCCCAUACCUACAAUAUAGAACAUAUCAAAACGCUACAAUAAAAUGUAGUUAAAAUUGCAGAUGACCAGUAUAGAUUUUGGAAGAAUAAAUACCUCUCCAUUACAUAAUUUGCUUCAUCCUUGCUGAUAAGAUCCGCAGCCGACAAUGGCCCAGUGAACUGGGCAAUAUUCCACAAACCAACAUCAGGUUGAUUUGCAAAACAGUAUCUCUUACCUGGGAGAUCAGUUGUAUUCGGAGUAAAGCUAGGAUCAAAAGCAUCUAAGAAACCAAAGGGUCCAUAAUCAAUAGUUAGGCCCAACACACUCAUAUUAUCAGUGUUAAGCACACCAUGGGUGAAACCAACACCUUGCCACCUGGCUAUCAAGUAAGCAGUAUGCUCUGCAACCUCAACUGCCCAGGCUGUUAAUUGCAAGGAGACAGAAGUUAGUUAUUCACAAGAUCAAUGUCUACAUUCGAAGAACACGACAUAAAAGGAAAUUUACCAGCAUAUUUGUUGGAAGUAAGAUCUAUUGCUGGAGUGUCUCCCAUAGCUGCCUCAAAAGAUAAACCUUCACUCUUUUUAAUAUUUUCAAGAUGUGGGUAGUGAUGACGUAUUGUGUAGUCUGCCAAACGACGAACAAUUUCCAGGUCCUCUUUGCCCCUUGUAGCAUGUAACUGGUAUGAACCAAAACGUAAAAACGAUGGUGCUACACGGCAAACAAUUGCACCUGGCUCCUCUUUUGCAUUACCACUGGCAUAUUAGAAAAAACAAAUUAUUCAUCGACACAAGGGAAUGUCAAUAUGUAGUACUGAAAUCUUCAAGAGAUAAAUCAUGGCAAAAUGAUUUAGAUUCCUAUAUUUUAGAUCAAUAAAUACUGGACGAGUAAACACCCAGGUUUACCAUGUGCAACAUGCUUUGCCUGGCUACAUUUGCAGAGUAGCAAUUAAGUAACUUAUCAUAGUUCCCAGAGGCUGCUUUGGAAUACCCCAGAGAAUUUCAAUGGAUGAUAAUAUAUCAGCAUUAGGAAAUUUGGCGCUCAAAAUAAUAGGCCUACGUAAGUCAGGAUGAGUAAAUAAAGUAAUUUUAUUAGGUAAGGAAACCAUUUAAACAAAAGGAACAUGGAAUUUUAGAUGGCAGUGUGAUAGUACUAAUUAUAUGUUCAUACAGAUUAUAUAGCUACUAGUAUAAGAGCUGAACCGUCUCAAAGCAGCAACUACAAAUCAUUCAAAUAGGAAGGGAAACUAAAAGCAAAAGUAGAUCCAGCAAAAUGUUGAUUAGAAACUGAAGAUAUCAUGACAUACUCAUAGAACAUAUCUCGCACAACAGAUUUGCCAGUUUCAACUAGACAAAGAGCACGAGUUGUAGGAAUGCCUAGACCAUGCAUAGCUUCACUGCAUAAGAAUUCACGGAUGCUGCUGCGCAGGACAGCGAGGCCAUCUGCAAAUCGGCUGUAAGGAGUCUUUCCAGCACCCUUGAGCUGCAACUCCCACCUCUCACCUCGAGAAUUGAGAACCUCUCCGAGAGUUAUUGCUCGUCCAUCCCCCAACUGACCAGCCCAUGAACCAAACUGGUGUCCACCGUAACACUGGGCAUAAGGCACACUGCAGGUGGUUGUUCAGUAGGAGUGUUAUAUAUUCUGACAAAACCAAUUAGCAAGAUAUUAAGCACAGGCAUCACACACCUUCCCACCAACGGAGUUUCUCCUGAGAAGAACCGAGGAAAAUCAGGCCUUUCAAACCUGAAAACGAAUAGAGGACAAUUGUUAUUUUUGUGAUUUUUCUAUGUCCAAUAUCAGCAAGGAUGCAGAAAAAUGUUAUGAGAAAUGGAUGCCAUUGGGCAGGGAGUUAAAAUAUGAGGUAAAGGCACCCAGGGGAGGGCAGAAACUUGCGCGGUCUGUGAUGAUUUGGUCCAUAAACUUGUAAAAGUGGACUCUACCACCCACAAACUUACAUCCCAGGUGCAAAAAAAGAAACAAAGCCAAUCCUAAGCCGACAUGUGGCACUGCAGAAAACACCCUGCUGUGUCCGGAAUUUAUGCACGGGCUACGAGGGCCCAACUGUCGGCACACCGAGAAGAAUUUGGAGAAAAAAAUUAGGGGCAGACAGGAUUCGAACCGCGCCCUCGCCCUGGCCGUACGAGCUAGCCAACCACUGCACCAAAUCAAUUCAUUUGUCAUAUGUACAGAUACACUUUUUAUAUACUAUACGUAAUACCAUGCUGCACCUCACGGUCUGCAUGCAUGCUGGGCCGGCGCGUACAUAACAUAUAGGUAUAAAUACGAAGGUCACGUUGAUGCUUCCAUGCAAGAGCUCUUGUUUAAUAAAGCUCUAAAUUAUCCGCAAAAAAAGAGCUCUUGUUUAAUGUGGUAAUUCCUCAUGGAACUAGGAUUCAAUUAUUUUUUUGGCACAUGGCUUCAAUUUUAUAUGAAUAUACAUGUAUAUGCCUGAUUGGAAUUUUCAGCCUCUCUGAACAGUAUUGUAGAUAUUUUUAACUAUCUGCCAUCUUUGAUUGUGUACUGUGUACUUUUGUACUAGCUCCAAACGGUUUGAGCUGGUGUUUGAAGUAUUUCCAUCCACUAUAUAUAUUUUUCUUUAAGAAAAUAUUAUCUAUUCAGAAAAUUAGUCGCCUAAUAUACACUCUUGAAAUUAAUGAUAAACUAACCAGUGGCGGAAUGUCACUGUGUGACAAGCAAUCAAGAGGGGGCCAAAUUUCCAUGGAGGCGAGUCACGGUGAGAUGACGUUGAAUUUGGGAAAAUAAGACAUGAGCAUGAGACUUGAAUGCUUAGUGCUAGAGUUCGUAUAGGAAUAUAUGAUUAGAAGUAGGGAUAAGUCCUACUCCCCCGACUCUAAGAAGAAAGUAUAUAAAUUUUGUCUAAAGCAAACAGUGCAAAAUUUGAAAAAGCUUGUAGGAAAAACUAUCAGUAACUACAAAUUUUGUUAAGUAUAAUAUGAAAACAUAUUUUAUUACUCAUUUAAUGAUACCAAUUGGGUUAUAGUUAUUGAUAGUUUUUUCUAUAAAUUUGCUCAAAUUUUACACUGUUUGACUUUAUAGGCCUUCUUUUUGAAGUCAGAAGGAGUAAAAGAAUUAGGUUUCCUAGUCCUAGUCAACUCUCAGAUCAUGCAUGAACGUGUGUAUAAGAACCGAAGGAAGUUGCUUCUUGUACAUCAGCAAAAAUUGAGAGAGAGAAACUUAAAAGGUACUACACGUGCAUUUGGCUAUUAUAUAGUCUCCCAAUCUGUAACCCGUUUUAGCUGAUCCCGAGUUCUCUUGGAGAGUUUUGGCCGAGAGAGCUACAUGCACGAGAAGCUGCACAUACACAAAAAUCAGUCAAGUGCUAUGCACGUAGGGAUGAAAACAUAUAUUUCCGCUUUUCCGGCAGAAAAAUGGAAACGGGGAGGAAAUAUGGAAACAAAAAUGGAAAUUUGCAAAACGGAAAUGGAAACUGAAUUGUUUAUGUGGAAACGGAAACAAAAAUGGAACGGCGUUUUCCGGUGGAACAUGCGUGAAUAUGGAACUUUCCGUUUCCGUGAAUAUGGAAUUUUCUGCUUCUACUAUGGGCCUAUGGCUCAAAUAUCGCAUAAUUAAACAUUGAGUAGAAUGGCCCAUGUGUGACUCAAUUUCUAAUAGCAUGCAAGGAAGCUAGCCCUGAUUGUAACCACAAUUGAGAACGGGCCAAAAAAUCCCCUUCACUAAUUAUUUUGUGAUGUUACAAUGUGUUUACUUGUAAGAGGGUGACCUGAUACAUUGUGCUUUUCUUUACAUAUGGAGCUUGUCCUUCUGAUUAUCACAAACGUGUUUGUGUUGCCACAGUUGAAUAAAAUAUGCACAAAUGCAUAUCGUAUAAUAUAACCAUCAUAAUAUUUGGUAGCCAUGUUAACAGUUGAUUAAAUAUGUUGGUUUGCUUGUGUUUUCCCCUAUGGCUCAGGGGGAUUUUAAGUCCCGAUGAACACCUGCUUCCGUCGCCGUAUUCGGUCCGUGUUUGUUUCCGGUAGUAUCUGUUUCUGUGUUCAUUUCUGCUUCCGCAGAAAAAUAUGAAAACAAAUGUGGUAGCACCCAGAUCCGUCCAUUUCCGCUCUGUUUUCAUCCCUACACAUACGUGAUGGGCUGGACCAAAACGCUUCGUAUACAUAGUUGAAAAAAAAAUACAUUUGGAAGGGGAUCAUGCAAAGGUAUACAUCGAGCUAGACCACAUGUCGGCUUAGGAUUGGAUUUGGUUUUUUUUUCUGCACCUGGGAUGCAAGUUUGUGGGUGGUGGAGUCGACUUUGCAAGUUUGUGGACCAAAUCAUCACGGAGCGAGCAAGUUUCUGGACACCCCAUGCUUUUACCUCUUAAAGUAUGAACACACUUCUGCGCAGAAAGACAUGAUGAUAACUAGUUGAAGGUGGCCCAUAGAUAUUAUCACUCAACUUAUUAUAUCCUUUGUUGAGACCAUUUUCACUUGUUUUCGUCUAGGAAUCAUUUGAAGUUGAGACAAUUUUCACUUGUUUUCAUCACGGAAUCAUUUAACUAGAACAUAUUGGCAGAACCAGUAUCAGCAUUUUUCAUGGCCCAACUUUUUGCAGCAUAAACAAUUAAACAUAUACCAGUAUUAGCAAACAAAGCAGCACACGACGUGGCCUAACCCUCGGCUUAGCAUUUUUCAUGAGAACAAACAAAAUAACUGUUUGUCGGACAAUAGAAAUAACAAAUGUUUCAUGGCAAUUGCAGAAGAUACAAAAAUGUAAGGUUUCAUGUGGAACUCGCGCGACUAGUCGCAACUAGUCGUCGGCUAGUCGAUGAGUCGCACUGCCAGAUGUCGACUCAACCCCAAGACUAGUCACGGACUAGUCGAUCAGCCAGGCACGACUCGUCAAGAGUCGCUACCCGAGAACGACUCGUCGACUCAUCAACUCGAAAACCUUGGAACUACCCAAAGUUUUUUAUAUGCCUUUCAUUCACGCAAACAGCUGGAUUCUUUCACAACAUAUAUGGCUCUGUUCAACUACUAGUUAAUGAUCUGGUGUCUGAGUUAAAUAUCUGAUCGAGAACCAUUUUGUUCCCCAGAAGUAGUGACGAAUUUUGACAAAGAAACAGGGGGGUUGGGGUGGAGCUAAUAUAUGUGUGAAUGAAUGGAUACAGCCCUUUGACUUGAGUAGCAAGUCCACCAUUUGCUUCAUAAAUCGUAAACAAUACAGAUCCUUUACAUGUUACCCUUUAGGACAUUUUGGUAAAUAUCUGAUCAAUAACCAUGUUGUUUCCAAAAAAAUUCCUAGUGGUGAACUUUGAGAGAAAAAAAACAGGGGGUUGGGGGUGAAUAUAUGUCUGAAUAAAAAAAAGCUCUUUGACUUAAGUAGCAAGUCCACCUUUUGCUUCAUAAAUCAUAAACAAUACAUAUCUUUUACAUGAUGCCCUUUGGUGAAUUUUGGUACCCUAAUUCUGGAUAGGAAUUAACUCUUAUGUUUAAAAAUUCCUAUCAAUAUCACCUUUAGUGCACAGGAGUUAAUAGACAAUCUUACUCGUCAGUCCGGUGUGCUCACUCACUGGAUCAUUUGUAGGUUGUCAGCUGCCAAGAGUAGUGUUGAGUUCACAAUUUCAACGCAAAUUACACGCAUUUGUAAUUUUUUCUUCAUGCACAUCUCAAUAAACAGUUAACGCUCAACAAAACAGGGGUGCCACAAUGCUCUCAAGACCGAUGGAAAUCAUAGCCAGAAAGCUAGUGAGUAGCUGGGUGCUGGGAUAUGCAACUCACUCUUUGUGAUCCAGAUCGAGGAGGUCAGCCACGGAUUCGGACCACGCCACGAGCUUAGGGUUCUCCACGGGCGCCGAGGGAGACACCUUGGUGUAACAAGCGUGCAGCACCUGCGACACCAAAACCUCGCGGAUAAAUAUUCAGCAAGAAAUUAACCUAGCUGCUACGCUAACCGUGCGGCAAAACCAGGAGCAAAGCAGCUAGGCAAGCAGGGAGCGGGGGAGGGGGGGCGAACCUGGCGGGGGAUGUUGUCGGAUCGCGGGUCGCCGGGCAGCUCGCGGACGAAGGUCUCGUCCCACGCGAGCUCCUCCAGCGCGCGGCGCGGGCGGGCGGAGGCCUCUCCGGCGCCGCUCGUCCCGGCGGCCGGCGCGGCCUCGCCGGUGGCGGAGGAGGCCAUGCCUCGGAAGAGCAGGCGGCGGAGCGGGUGGUGCGGGGUCGGGGGCGGCGGCAGGCGGAGACGGCGAGAGGGGAGGGAGCGGGGGAGGAGGAGGUGGGAGUAUAGGUUGGGGAGGACGGUGGGGAAGCGCAACUGAGGGGGCAUGGCGCCUGCGUGCUGCGUGCGGCGCUUUUUUUUUCUCCCUCUCUCUCUCCGUCUGGGUCAAUCCGGUGCGAGCGUGUCGCCCCGCGCGUUGUGGUAGGGCAGCGUGCGUGGCCUGGGUCUGGGUGUGGGGUGGGUGGGAGGAGCGAGCGGUCCUGGUUGAACGGUGGGAUUUGUUGGAGGCUGGCCCGGCGGGCCGGCUUCUUUGGGUGGUGUGGGUCGUGGAGGCACGGACACGUGCGCUCGGCCAUGCGUACGUGGUCUGAUCACGUGGAAAUAAACUUUUUUUGAAGAAACUCUUCGAAAAUUACUUUUGGAGGCCGAGCUUCAUGUAGACCUCCAAACGCAAAAUUUAAAAUUCAUGCAAAUUCAUAUUUUUAUAUUUUAAAAAAUUCUAAAACAAUACAGAGAUAGAUGAAGGUAUAGUGCACAAGUGUGUAAAUUUUCAGGGCGAAAUAUGUUGAAAUAAGGGUUGUGCAAAAAAGACAAAUCUGAGGCUUUUCAAUACGUGAUAAUAUUUAUCCUCACAGACCAUAAAUUUAUCAUUUUGUGCAGGUCACAUUUCAACAUAUUUCAUCCUGAAAAAUUUACGCCUGACAUCCUUGUGUACUUUUACAAGAAAAUCAGAUUCUUUUUAACCAAAAUUAUUGAAUUUUGAAUUUUUUUAAAACGUCGACCUCCAUGAAGGCUGAGAGCCAAAACGCCAUUCUCGAAACUUUUCAUCUAUUCAUUAUCAAUUUCUGACAAUACAAACGAACAUAAAUAAUAAUAACAAAAUAAAUCUAGAUUUGUAGACCACCUAAUGAUGACUACGAACGCCGGAGAGCCGAAGAAACGUCGUCGUCAUCAACCCUGCAUCGGUGGAGCAGGGCAAAACUUGUUAUAGUAAACAGUCGGGAAGUCGACGUGCUAAGGUCUCAUAGGAUCAACGCACCAGAACAGCAACCGUCGUCGAUGAGAAGAAGCGUAGAUCAGAAGGAUCUAACCUGAAGACACACUGACAUAGACAACCACCGACCAGAUGCCGCGAGAUCCGCCAGAGACACACCCUUCGAUGAUGCUAAACAUAUCACCGAGACGGGGACUAGGCGGUAAGAACUUUAUUCCAUCUUCAGGGAGCCGCCGUCGUCUCGUCUUUCUGAGAGGACACAAAACCUAGCAAAACUCAAAGAAACGUAUAAAAAUGGCUCCCUUCGGCUGGCAAGGGCUAGACUCCACCACGCCCCCUUGGCUAAGGGCACAGGAGAUGAUGCAGAAAACUUAGUCGUCGUGUUCGCUUGGAGGAGAGACGAAGGAGUAAGUCCAUCCAGAGCACCACGUGGAGAUAAACUUAGGGCAUGUACAAUAUUUUAUAAGACCGUCUUAUCUUAAAUCUGUAAUGAAAAUAUGUUGUAUAAUGGUUAUUUCUUAAUCUUAUCUCUAAUAACUAGAUUUAAAAAAAUAGUGUGAUGAGGCAAAUUGUUUCUUCAAGAUCAUCUCACAAUUAAGGCUGCCCGUAAUGGAAGUAUCAUAGGUAGUAUCAUGCAUGCCAGCUAGACAAUUUUGAUGGGGUGACAUAGAAUUAAAUGAAGAAAAAGAUGGUUGAGUAUCAUAUCAUGAUACUGUAUCAUAUUAAAUGAUGUGCUACUAUGUGUGAUGCACGACAAUAAAUUAAGUCAUCUAUGAUACCAACUAUGUACUACGGAUGUAAUAUCAUACACUAAUAUCAUAUGCAUGAUACUAGUAUAUGAUACUCCCCACUAUGAUCAGCCUAAGAGAAGGCAAGUAUCUGCUUCUGAUUUCUCUUUCCUCCACCUCACCAAAUAUCCCAUAUGGAACUCCUAAGAUGACAUCGUUGUACAUGCCCUUACGACAGACUCACCUAGUCAUUGAGUGCUUUAGGGCAUCUCCAAAGUUGACCACAAAUCGCCCGCAAAUGUUUGGAAUGAACUGUUCGGAUGUAGUUUGCAAUCCAAUGCCGUCCUACAUACGUCCGUGGAUGCGUCUGUGCGUCCAUUUUCCCACAAAAUGGAAGCAACCCAGGGGCAUUGCUCGAGUCUGGACCUCCCUAUGUAGGACUCUGACACCCCCGUCACACCAAAAACCACACUAGGAGCCUGCAUCUUCAUCCCUUCUCGUUGCUCUGCAUCCUCUUCCUCCCUGGCCGACGUCAUUGUUGUACCACCUCGGCUGCCCGCUAAGCCCAUGACGGACCUUCGCCGCUCCACCCAGUGGCCACGCCGCUUUGCCUAUGCCAAAGUUCCAUCUUGGUUGUCCGUCAUGUAGAUACCAUCCGCCCCUACGGAUAUCGUUGUUGGGGUCACCAUGUCCGACAAGUGUUUGGCGAAAUGCAUGUGCUAAUUUUUUUUGGCAAUUUCCCCCUUCUUUGAAGCAAUGGAUUCAGACAUACAAAAACUUCGUUGAGUCGUACGAUGACUUGUCCGACGAGGACGAGUAUGCGAAUGAAAAUGACGAUGAUGUAGGUGGUCCUUGUAGACGUGGAGCGUGCGGAAGGGCAUGUUCUUAAUUUUAAGGGAUCGAUCAAGGGUCAUUGAGUGUUGAAUCGAAGCAGGGCACAGGGGCAUUUAACGCUGAUGGACGACUACUUUGACCUUGAUGCCCUAUUCAUUGACGAUUUUCUCUGGCACUUUCUGAUGCGGAAAAAUGUGUUUGAUCACCUCUAUAGUGGCUUACGGGCCUACGAUAACUGCUUCAUCUUAAGGAUGUCAUAGGAAGAAUUGGAUUCUUUGGUUACCAAAAGUGCACAGUGCAUUGCAGAUGCUUGCAUAUAACAUGGUCGCAGAUUGAUGUCUACUACGCAAUUUUAUUUUUAUAGACUCGUGUUGGGCCUUCAAGCGCAGAGUUUUGUAGGACAGUAGCAAUUUUCCCUCAAGUGGAUGACCUAAGGUUUAUCAAUCAGUGGGAGGCGUAGGAUGAAGAUGGUCUCUCUCAAACAACCCUGCAAUCAAAUACAAGAAAUCUCUUGUGUCCCCAACACACACAAUACAAUGACAAUUUGUAUAGGUGCACUAGUUCGGCGAAGAGAUGGUGAUAAAAUUGUAAUAUGGAUGGUAGAAAUAUAUUUUUAUAAUCUGAAAAUAAAAAACCAGCAAGGUAGCAAUUAGUAAAACGGAGCACAAACGGUAUUGCAAUGCUUGAAAAUGAGGCCUAGGGUCCGUACUUUCGCUAGUGCAAUCUCCCAACAAUGCUAAUAUAAUUGGAUCAUAUAACUAUCCCUCAACAUGCGAUGAAGAAUCACUCCAAAGUUCCUAUCUAGCGGAGAACAUAAGAAUAAAUUGUUUGUAGGGUACGAAACCACCUCGAAGCUAUUCUUUCCGAUCGAUCUAUCCAAGAGUUCGUACUAAAAUAAUACCAAAUAAUUUCAUAUUCAUAGUACUCAAUCCAACACAAAGAACUUCAAGGAGUGCCCCAAGAUUUCUACCGGAGAAACAAAGACAAGAACGUGCAUCAACCCCUAUGCAUAGAUUACCCCAAUGUCACCUCGGGAAUCCGCGAGUUGAGUGCCAAAACAUAUAUCAAGUAGAUCAACAUGAUACCCCAUUGUCACCACGAGUAUUCAUAUGCAAGACAUAUAUCAAGUGCUCUCAAAUCCAUAAAAGCCAAAUCCAUAAAAGUAUGCAAUCCGAUAAAACGAAAUCUCAAAGGGAAAACUCAAUUCACAACAAGAUAAAAGAGGGGAAGACACCAUAUGAUCCGACUAUAUUAACAAAGCCCGUGAUACAUCAAGAUCGUGACAUCUCAAGAACACGAGAGAGAGAUUAAACACAUAGCUACUGGUACAAACCCUCAGCCCCGAGGAUGGACUACUCCCUCCUCAUCGUGGUGGCCGCCGGGAUGAUGAAGAUGGCCACCGGAGAUGAUUCCCCCCCUCCGGCAGGGUGCCGGAACAGGGUCUAGAUUGGUUUUCGGUGGCUACAAAGGCCUGUGACGGCGGAACUUCUGAUCUAGGUUAACCCUGAGGGUUUUUGGAAUUUUGGGGAAUUUAUAGGGUAAAGAGGGGGUGCGGGAGGCCACCGAGGUGGGCACAACCCACCUGGGCGCGCCUGGGCCCCCAGGCGCGCCCUGGUGGGUUGUGCCCCCCUCGGGGCACCCCCCAGGUGCUGCUCUGGCCCAUUGGUGGUCUUCUGGUCCAUAAAAAUACACAAAAAGUUUCGCGGUGUUUGGACUCUAUUUGAAAUUGAUUUCCUGCGAUGUACUAUGUCAAUAGGUUAGAAAAAAAUGAAGUAAAAUGACUAUAAAAUGAUUAUAAAACAUCCAAGAAUGAUAAUAUAAUAGUAUGGAACAAUAAAAAAUUAUAGAUAUGUUGGAGAUGUAUCAGCAUCCCCAAGCUCAAUUACUGCUCGUCCUCGAGUAGGUAAAUGAUAAAAACAGAAUUUUUGAUGUGGAAUGCUGCCUAACAUAUCAUCUCAUAAUCUUUUCUUUGUAGCAUGGACAUUUGGACUUUUAUAUUGUUCAAAGCAAUAAUCUAGUUUUGACAUGAGGACUUAAAUACUCAAGCAUACCAACGAGCAACCAUGUCUUUCAAAAUAUCAACGCUAAAAUAAGUUUUCCGUAGCCCAUCAUGCUCAAUCAUUGAUCCAUUCAUGAAACACACUCGCAUAUUAGCUACACCCAAUGCUCAAGUACGAUCAUAGUGCCUCCGAAUUGGUGCUUUAUAAGAGAAGAUGGAGACUCAAAUUAAAAAUGAAAAUUGCAUAAACUAAAAGAGAGGCCCUUCGCGGAGGGAAGUAGGGACUUGUAGAGGUGCCAGAGCUCAAAGAGAAACUUGAAGAUAAAAACAUUUUGAGAGGCAUACUUUUCCCACCAACAAAAAUGACUUAGAGCUCCCAACACUUUCCAUGCUAGAUAUAUCAUAGGCGGUUCCCAAACAGAAAAUAAAGUUUAUUCCUUUUUCAACCAUACUUUCACUUUUCAUGGCUAACCGUAUCCACGGGUGCCCUCCAUACCAACACUUUUCAAGAAAUUUAUUAUUUGAAAACAUAAAGUGAAUUCAUUUUUCAUUUCGAGACUGGGCAUCCCUAAUACCUUUGCCUUACUCUCGUGCAAUGACAAGUGAAUAAACACUCAUUGUGAGAAUAACACAUCUAGCAUGGAAAAUAUUGGCCACCCCUCACCGCCUCGCGAGCGGUACGAGCACACAAAAGAGAAAUUUAUUUUGAAAAUUAGAGAUGGCACAUACAAAUUUGCUUAGAACGGCAAAUGAAUACCGCAUAUAGGUAGGUAUGGUGGACUCAUGUGGCAAAACUGAUUUAAGGGAUUUUGGAUGCACAAGUACUGAUCAUACUUAGUGCAAAAUGAAGGCUAGCAAAAGAUUGAGAAGCGACCAACCAAGAAACGAAUAAUCUCAUAAGCGAGCAUUGAGCAUAAUUAACACCGAAUAAUGCACCACAAGUAGGAUGUAAUUUCAUUGCACAACUAUUGACUUUCGUGCUUGCAUAGGGAAUCACAAACCUUAACACCAAUAUUCUUACUAAAGCAUAAUUACUCAUCAACAUGACUCACAUAUCACAUCAUCAUAUCUCAAAACUAUUACGAGGAAUCGAGUUUAUUUUGUCCAAUGAUCUUCAUGAAAGUUUUUAUUAUAUCCUUCUUGGAUAUCUAUCACUUUAAAACUAAUUUUCAUAUGUUGCUUUUGAUAAGCUCAAACAAAUAUAAGUGAAUAUCAUGAGCAUAAUAUUUCUUUCUCUCGAAUUAAUUUAAGUGAAGCAAGAGAGAAUUUCUUCAAAAAUACUAAAGCACAUCGUGCUCAAAAAGAUGUGAGUGAGGCACUAGAGCAAAUGACAAGCUACUCCAAAAAAGAUAUAAGUGAAGAUCAAGCGAGUAGUUAAGUAAAUAGGUAGCUAUUUGAGGACUCUCUCUUAUUCAAAAACUUUCAGAUCUAAGAAUUUUAUUAAAACAGUAAGCAAAAACAAAAUAAAAUGACAUUCUAAGAAUAGCACACGUCAUGUGAAGAAGCAAAAAUUUAGGCUUAACCGAUACUAACCGAUAAUUGUUGAAGAAGAAAGGUGGAUGCCUACUGGGGCAUCCCCAAGCUUGAGCUUUUGUGUCUCCUUAAUUCCUCUCAUAUCACGGUUUUCCUAAAUCACAAAAGCUUCAUCCACACAAAACUCAACAAGAACUCGUGAGAUAAGUUAGUAUAAACCAAUGCAAAAACCUUAUCAUUCUCUACUGUAUAAAAUCACUAAAAUUAUUAUUCAACAUUGCAUACUAAAUGCCUCUACAUAUUUAAUACUCCUAUCCUCAAAUAGGAUCAUUAAACAAGCAACCAUAUGCAAACAAUGCAAACAUAAUAGCAAUCUGUCAAAACAGUACAAUCUGUAAAGAAUGUAAGAGUAUCAAUACUUAUUAAACUCCAAAAAUUAUGAAAAAAUACCACACUAUAGAAAAUUUAUUAGAGCUUAUUUUGCAAAAAGUUUGAACAUUUUAUCACAUUCUGACUUUUCUAGGGAAUUUUUGCAACAUCGAUAAACUUUCUGUUUUGAUACAGCAACAUGUAGACUUGCAAAAUAAGCAUGGCAAAGGCUAUCAAUGCCACUUUUAUUGAAAUAAAAGAUGCAAAACAUUAUUCUAAAUAACAGAAAGCAAAUCCUAACAAAAUAAAUUGAAGCUCCAAGAAAAACACAUAUCUUGUGACGAAUGAAAACAUAGCUCCAAGUGAGGUUACCGAUAAUGUUGGAGACGAAAGAGGGGAUGCCUUCCGGGGCAUCCCCAAGCUUAGUUGCUUCGAUCUUCUUUGAAUUAUUAUCUUGGGGGCGCCUUGGGCAUUCCCAAGAUUAGGGUCUUGUCAAUCCUUAUUCUCCUCAUAUCGACAUCUCGCCCAAAACUUGAAAACUUCAAUCACACAAAACUUAACAAAACUUUGUGAGAUAGGUUAGUAUGAUAGAGCAAACCAUUCCACUUUUGGUACUGUCACAGACAAGAUUCAUAAUUGUUUCUACGCAAUUAAUACUGUAGCAUAUCAUUUCCACCAUUUAUAUUGAGCAAUAUAAGCCAUCGAAACUAGAAAACAAGCAAACUAUGCAUUGAAAACAAAAUCUAUCAAAAACAGAACAGUCUGUAGUAAUCUGUACUCAAACCAUACUUCUGCUACUCCAAAAAUUCUGAAAAAUAGGAAAAGGUAGAUAAUUUGUAUAUCUAUCACCUGUAAAAAAAAUAAGAUCAAAAGCACAUUCCAGUGAAUUUUAGAAAUUCCUGGACUGGACGUAAAAGUUUCUGUUUUUUGGACAGAAUCAAGUCAACUAUCAUCCACACUAUCCCAAAGGCUUUACUUCACACUUUAUUGAAACAAAAGCUAUAAAACAUGAUUACUACAGUAGCAUAAUCAUGUGAACACACAAAAACAGUAGGUAAAAAUGUUGGGUUGUCUCCCAACAAGCGCUUUUUCUUUUAUGCCUUUUAAGCUAGGCAUGAUGAUUUCAUGCUCACAUAAAAGAUAAGAAUUGAAACACAAAGAGAGCAUCAUGAAGCAUAUGACUAGCACAUUUAAGUCUAACCCACUUCCUAUGCAUAGGGAUUUUGUGAGCAAACAACUUAUGGUAACAAGAAUCAACUAGCAUAGGAAGGCAAAACAAGCAUAACUUCAAAACUUUCAACACAUAGAGAGGAAACUUGAUAUUAUUGCAAUUCCUACAAGCAUAUGUUCCCCCCUCAUAAUAAUUUUCAGUGGCAUCAUGAAUGAAUUCAACAAUAUAACUAUCACAUAAAGCAUUCUUUUCAUGAUCCACAAGCAUAUCAAUUUUAUUACUCUCCACAUAAGCAAAUUUAUUCUCAUGAAUAGUAGUGGGAGCAAACUCAACAAAAUAACUAUCAUGGGAUUGGAAAUUAAAAUCAUGAUGACAAGUUUCAUGGUUAUCAUCAUUCAAUAUAGCAUACAUGUCAUCACCAUAAUCAUCAUAGAUAACAACUUUGUUGUCAUAAUCAAUUGAAACCUCUUCCGAAAUAGUGGAUUCUGUUGGGGAACAUAGUAAUUUCAAAAAAAAUCCUACGCACACACAGGAUCAUGGUGAUGCAUAGCAACGAGAGGGGAGAGUGUGUCCACGUACCCUCGUAGACCGAAAGAGGAAGCGUUAGCACAACGCGGUUGAUGUAGUCGUACGUCUUCACGAUCCGACCGAUCCAAGUACCGAAUGUACGGCACCUCCGAGUUCAGCACACGUUCAGCUCGAUGACGUCCCGCGAACUCCGAUCCAGCAGAGCUUCACGGGAGAGUUCCGUCAGCACGACGGCGUGGUGACGGUGAUGAUGUUGCUACCAACGCAGGGCUUCGCCUAAGCACUGCUACGAUAUGACCGAGGUGGAAUAUGGUGGAGGGGGCACCGCACACGGCUGGAAUAGAUCAACUGAUCAACUUGUGUGUCUAUGGGGUGCCCCCUGCCCCCGUAUAUAAAGGAGCAAGGGAGAGGCCGGCCCUAGAGGGGGCGCGCCAAGUGUGGGGAGUCCUACUAGGACUCGCAAGUCCUAGUAGGAUUCCCCUUUCCUUUCCGGAGUAGGAGAGAAGGAAAGAGGGGGAGAGGGAGAAGGAAAAGGGGGCUGCACCCCUUGUCCAAUUCGGACCAGAGGGAGGGCGCGCGCCUCCUUCCUUUUGGCCUCUCUUCUCUAUUCCCGUAUGGCCCAAUAAGGCCCAAUACUUCUCCCGGUGAAUUCCCGUAACUCCCCGGUACUUCGAAAAUACCCGAAUCACUCGGAACCUUUCCGAUGUCCGAAUAUAGUCGUCCAAUAUAUCGAUCUUUACGUCUCGACCAUUUCGAGACUCCUUUUCAUGUCCCCGAUCUCAUCCGGGACUCCGAACUACCUUCGGUACAUCAAAUCACAUAACUCAUAAUACAAAUCGUCAUCGAACUUUAAGCGUGCGGACCCUACGGGUUCGAGAACUAUGUAGACAUGACCGAGACACGUCUCCGGUCAAUAACCAAUAGGGGAACCUGGAUGCUCAUAUUGGCUCCUACAUACUCUACGAAGAUCUUUAUCGGUCAAACCGCAUAACAACAUACGUUGUUCCCUUUGUCAUCGGUAUGUUACUUGCCCGAGAUUCGAUCGUCGGUAUCUCAAUACCUAGUUCAAUCUCGUUACCGGCAAGUCUCUUUACUCGUUCCGUAAUACAUCAUCCCGCAACUAACUCAUUAGUUACAAUGCUUGCAAGGCUUAUAGUGAUGUGCAUUACCGAGUGGGCCCAGAGAUACCUCUCCGACAAUCGGAGUGACAAAUCCUAAUCUCGAAAUACGCCAACCCAACAAGUACCUUCGGAGACACUUAUAGAGCACCUUUAUAAUCACCCAGUUACGUUGUGACGUUUGGUAGCACACAAAGUGUUCCUCCGGUAAACGGGAGUUGCAUAAUCUCAGUGUCAUAGGAACAUGUAUAAGUCAUGAAGAAAGCAAUAGCAGAAUACUAAACGAUCAAGUGCUAAGCUAACGGAAUGGGUCAAGUCAAUCACAUCAUUCUCCUAAUGAUGUGAUCCCGUUAGUCAAAUGACAACUCAUGUCUAUGGCUAGGAAACAUAACCAUCUUUGAUCAACGAGCUAGUCAAGUAGAGGCAUACUAGUGACACUCUCUUUGUCUAUGUAUUCACACAAGUAUUAUGUUUCCGGUUAAUACAAUUCUAGCAUGAAUAAUAAACAUUUAUCAUGAAAUAAGGAAAUAAAUAAUAACUUUAUUAUUGCCUCUAGGGCAUAUUUCCUUCAGUCUCCCACUUGCACUAGAGUCAAUAAUCUAGAUCACAUCGCCAUGUGAUUUAACAUCAAUAGUUCACAUCAUCAUGUGAUUAACACCCAUAAUUCUCAUCGUCAUGUGAUCAACACCCAAAGGGUUUACUAGAGUCAAUAAUCUAGUUCACAUCGCUAUGUGAUUAACACCCAAAGAGUACUAAGGUGUGAUCAUGUUUUGCUUGUGAGAGAAGUUUAGUCAACGGGUCUGCCACAUUCAGAGCCGUAUGUAUUUUGCAAAUAUUCUAUGUCUACAAUACUCUGCACGGAGCUACUCUAGCUAAUUGCUCCCACUUUCAAUAUGUAUCCAGAUCGAGACUUAGAGUCAUCCAGAUCGGUGUCAAAGCUUGCAUCGACGUAACUUUUUACGACGAACUCUUUAUCACCUCCAUAAUCGAGAAAUAUUUCCUUAGUCUUCUAAGGAUAAUUUUGACCAAUGUCCAGUGAUCUACUCCUAGAUCACUAUUGUACUCCCUUUACGAAAACAGUGUAGGGUAUACAAUAGAUCUGGUAUAUAGCAUGGCAUACUUUAUAGAACCUAUGGCUGAGGCAUAGGGAAUGACUUUCAUUCUCUUUCUAUCUUCUGCCGUGGUCGGGUUUUGAGUCUUACUCAAUUUCACACCUUGUAAUACAGGCAAUAACUCGUUCUUUGAUUGUUCCAUUUUGAACUACUUCAAAAUCUUGUCAAGGUAUGUAAUCAUUGAAAAACUUAUCAAGCAUUUUGAUCUAUCUCUAUAGAUCUUGAUGCUCAAUAUGUAAGCAGCUUCACCGAGGUCUUUAUUCUUAAAACUCCUUUCAAAUACUCCUUUAUGCUUUCCAGAAAAUUCUACAUUAUUUCCGAUCAACAAUAUGUCAUUUACAUAUACUUAUCAGAAAGGCUGUAGUUCUCCCACUCACUUUCUUGUAAAUACAGGCUUCACCGCAAGUCUGUAUAAAACUAUAUGCUUUAAUCAACUCAUUAAAGUGUAUAUUCCAACUCCGAGAUGCUUGCACCAGUCCACAGAUGGAUCGCUGGAGCUUGCACAUUUUGUUAGCACCUUUAGGAUUGACAAAACCUUCUGGUUGCAUCAUAUACAACUCUUCUUUAAUAAAUCCAUUAAGGAUUGCAUUGUUAUCCAUUUGCCAGAUUUCAUAAAAUGCGGCAAUUGCUAACAUGAUUCGGACAGACUUUAAGCAUCGAUACGACUGAGAAAAUCUCAUCAUAGUCAACACCUUGAACUUUGUCAAAAAAACUUUUUUCGACAAGUCUAGCUUUGUAGAUAGUAACACUACUAUCAGCGUCCGUCUUCCUCUUGAAGAUCCAUUUAUUUUCUAUAGCUUGUCGAUCAUCGGGAAAGUCAACCAAAGUCCAUACUUUGUUCUCAAACAUGGAUCCCAUCUCAGAUUUCAUGGCCUCAAACCAUUUCGCAGAAUCUGGGCUCAUCAUCGCUUCCUCAUAGUUCGUAGGUUCGUCAUGGUCAAGUAACAUGACCUCCAGAACAGGAUUACCGUACCACUCUGGUGCGGAACGUACUCUGGUUGACCUACGAGGUUCGGUAGUAACUUGAUCUGAAGUUUCAUGAUCAUCAUCAUUAACUUCCUCACUAAUUGGUGUAGGCAUCACUGGAACAGAUUUCUGUGAUGAACUACUUUCCAAUUCGGGAGAAGGUACAAUUACCUCAUCAGGUUCUACUUUCCUCCCACUCACUUCUUUCGAGAGAAACUCCUUCUCUAGAAAGGAUCCAUUCUUAGCAACGAAUGUCUUGCCUUCGGAUCUGUGAUAGAAGGUGUACCCAAUAGUCUCCUUUGGGUAUCCUAUGAAGACACAUUUCUCCGAUUUGGGUUUGAGCUUAUCAGGAUGAAACUUUUUCACAUAAGCAUCGCAACCCCAAACUUUAAGAAACGACAACUUGGGUUUCUUGCCAAACCACAGUUCAUAAGGUGUCGUCUCAACGGAUUUAGAUGGUGCCCUAUUUAACGUGAAUGCAGCUGUCUCUAAUGCAUAACCCCAAAACGAUAGUGGUAAAUCGAUAAGAGACAUCAUAGAUUGCACUAUAUCCAAUAAAGUACGGUUACGACGUUCGGACACAGCAUUACACUGUGGUGUUCCAGGUGGCGUGAGUAGUGAAACUAUUUCACAUUAUUUUAACUGAAGACCAAACUCGUAACUCAAAUGUUCGUCUCCGUGAUCAGAUCGUGGAAACUUUAUUUUUCUUGUUACGAUGAUUUUCCAAUUCACUCUGAAAUUCUUUGAACUUUUCAAAUGUUUCAGACUUAUGUUUCAUCAAGUAGAUAUACCCAUAUCUGCUCAAAUCAUCUGUGAAGGUCAGAAAAUAACGAUACCUGCCGCGAGCCUCAACACUCAUCGGACUGCAUACAUCAGUAUGUAUUAUUUCCAACAAGUUUGUUGUUCGCUCCAUUGUUCCUGAGAACGGCGUUUUAGUCAUCUUGCCCAAGAGUCAUGGUUCGCAAGCAUCAAGUGAUUCAUAAUCAAGUGAUUCCAAAAGCCUAUCAGCAUGGAGUUUCUUCAUGCGCUUUACACCAAUAUGACCUAAACGUUAGUGCCACAAAUAAGUUGUACCAUCAUUAUUAACUUUGCAUCUUUUGGCUUCAAUAUUAUGAAUAUGUGUAUCACUACGAUCGAGAUCCAACGAACCAUUUUCAUUGGGUGCGUAACCAUAUAAGGUUUUAUUCAUGUAAACAGAACAACAAUUAUUCUCUAAGUUAAAUGAAUAACCGUAUUGCAAUAAACAUGAUCAAAUCAUAUUCAUGCUCAACGCAAACACCAAAUAACACUUAUUUAGGUUCAACACUAAUCCCGAAAGUAUAGGGAGUGUGCGAUGAUGAUCAUAUCAAUCUUGGAAACACUUCCAACUCACAUCGUCACUUCACCCUUAACUAGUCUCUGUUCAUUCUGCAACUCCCGUUUCGAGUUACUACUCUUAGCAACUGAACCAGUAUCAAAUACCUAGGGGUUGUUAUAAACACUAGUAAAGUACACAUCAAUAACAUGUAUAUCAAAUAUACUUUUGUUCACUUUGUCAUCCUUCUUAUCUGCCAAAUACUUGGGGCAGUUCUGCUUCCAGUGACCAGUCCCUUUGUAGUAGAAGCACUCAGUUUCAGGCUUAGGUCCAGACUUGGGCUUCUUCUCUUGAGCAGCAACUUGCUUGCCGUUCUUCUUGAAGUUCCCCUUCUAUCCCUUUGCCCUUUUCUUGAAACUAGUGAUCUUGUUAACCAUCAACACUUGAUGCUCUUUCUUGAUUUCUACCUCCGUUGAUUUCAGCAUCACGAAGAGCUUGGGAAUCGUUUCCGUUAUCCCUUGCGUAUUAUAGUUCAUCACGAAGUUCUACUAACUUGGUGAUGGUGACUAGAGAAUUCUGUCAAUCACUAUUUUAUCUGGAAGAUUAACUCCCACUUGAUUCAAGCGAUUGUAGUACCCAGACAAUCUGAGCACAUGCUCACCGCUUGAGCUAUUCUCCUCCAUCUUUUAGCUAUAGAACUUGUUGGAGACUUCAUAUCUCUCAACUCAGGUAUUUGCUUGAAAUAUUAACUUCAACUCCUGGAACAUCUCAUAUGGUCCAUGACGUUCAAAACGUCUUUGAAGUCCCGAUUCUAAGCCGUUAAGCAUGGUGAACUAAACUAUCAAGUAGUCAUCAUAUUGAGCUAGCCAAACGUUCAUAACGUCUGCAUCUGCUCCUGCAAUAGGUCUGUCACCUAGCGGUGCAUCAAGGACAUAAUUCUUCUGUGCAGCAAUGAGGAUAAACCUCAGAUCACGGACCCAGUCCGCAUCAUUGCUACUAUCAUCUUUCAACUUAGUUUUCUCUAGGAACAUAUAUAAAACAUAGGGAAGCAACAACACGAGCUAUUGAUCUACACCAUAGAUAUGCUAAUAGUACCAGGACUAAGUUCAUGAUAAAUUAAAGUUCAAUUAAUCAUAUUACUUAAGAACUCCCACUUAGAUAGACAUCCCUCUGAUCAUCUAAGUGAUCACGUGAUCCAAAUCAACUAAACCAUGUCCGAUCAUCACGUGAGAUGGAGUAGUUUUCAAUGGUGAACAUCACUAUGUUGAUCAUAUAUACUAUAUGAUUCACGCUCGACCUUUCGGUCUCAGUGUUCCGAGGCCAUAUCUGCGUAUGCUAGGCUCGUCAAGUUUAACCUGAGUAUUCCGCAUGUGCAAAAUUGGCUUGCACCCGUUGUAGAUGAACGUAGAGCUUAUCACACCCGGUCAUCACGUGGUGUCUCAGCACGACGAACUUUGGCAACGGUGCAUACUCAGGGAGAACACUUUUAUCUUGAAAUUUAGUGAGGGAUCAUCUUAUAAUGCUACCGCCAAUCAAAGCACAAUAAGAUGCAUAAAAGAUAAACAUCACAUGCAACCAAUAUAAGUGAUAUGAUAUGGCCAUCAUCAUCUUGUGCUUGUGAUCUCCAUCUCUGAAGCACCGUCAUGAUCACCAUCGUCACUGGUGCGACACCUUGAUCUCCAUCGUAGCAUCGUUGUCGUCUCGCCAACUAUUGCUUCUAUGACUAUCGCUACCGCUUAGUGAUAAAGUAAAGCAUUACAGGGCGAUUGCAUUGCAUACAAUAAAGCGACAACCAUAUGGCUCCUGCCAGUUGCCGAUAACUCGGUUACAAAACAUGAUCAUCUCAUACAAUAAAUAUAGCGUCAUGCCUUGACCAUAUCACAUCACAACAUGCCCUGCAAAAACAAGUUAGACGUCCUCUACUUUGUUGUUGCAAGUUUUACGUGGCUGCUACGGGUUGAGCAAGAACCGUUCUUACCUACGCAUCAAAACCACAAUGAUAGUUCGUCAAGUUAGUGUUGUUUUAACCUUCUCAAGGACCGGGCGUAGCCACACUCGGUUCAACUAAAGUUGGAGAAACUGACACCCGCCAGCCACCUGUGUGCAAAGCACAUCGGUAGAACCAGUCUCGCGUAAGCGUACGCGUAAUGUCGGUCCGGGCCGCUUCAUCCAACAAUACCGACGAACCAAAGUGUGACAUGUUGGUAAGCAGUAUGACUUGUAUCUCCCACAACUCACUUGUGUUCUACUCGUGCAUAUAACAUCUACGCAUAAAACCUGGCUCGGAUGCCACUGUUGGGGAACAUAGUAAUUUCAAAAAAAUUCCUACGCACACACAGGAUCAUGGUGACGCAUAGCAACGAGAGGGGAGAGUGUGUCCACGUACCCUCGUAGACCGAAAGCGGAAGCGUUAGCACAACGUGGUUGAUGUAGUCGUACGUCUUCACGAUCCGACCGAUCCAAGUACCGAAUGUACGGCACCUCCGAGUUCAGCACACGUUCAGCUCGAUGACGUCCCACGAACUCCGAUCCAGCAGAGCUUCACGGGAGAGUUCUGUCAGCACGACGACGUGGUGACGGUGAUGAUGUUGCUACCGAUGCAGGGCUUCGCCUAAGCACUGCUACGGUAUGACCGAGGUGGAAUAUGGUGGAGGAGGGCACCGCACACGGCUAGAAUAGAUCAACUGAUCAACUUGUGUGUCUAUGGGGUGCCCCUGCCCCCGUAUAUAAAGGAGCAAGGGAGAGGCCGGCCCUAAAGGGGCGCGCCAAGUGUGCGGAGUCCUGCUAGGACUCCCAAGUCCUAGUAGGAUUCCCCUUUCCUUUCCGGAGUAGGAGAGAAGGAAAGAGGGGGAGAGGGAGAAGGAAAAGGGGGUGCACCCCUUGUCCAAUUCGGACCAGAGGGAGGGCGCGCGCCUCCUUCCUUUUGGCCUCUCUUCUCUAUUCCCGUAUGGCCCAAUAAGGCCCAAUACUUCUCCCGGUGAAUUCCUAUAACUCCCUGGUACUCCGAAAAUACCCGAAUCACUCGGAACCUUUCCGAUGUCCGAAUAUAGUCGUCCAAUAUAUCGAUCUUUACGUCUUGACCAUUUCGAGACUCCUUGUCAUGUCCCCGAUCUCAUCCGGGACUCCGAACUACCUUCGGUACAUCAAAUCACAUAACUCAUAAUACAAAUCGUCAUCGAUCUUUAAGCGUGCGGACCCUAUGGGUUCGAGAACUAUGUAGACAUGACCGAGACACGUCUCCGGUCAAUAACCAAUAGCGGAACCUGGAUGCUCAUAUUGGCUCCUACAUACUCUACGAAGAUCUUUAUCAGUCAAACCGCAUAACAACAUAUGUUGUUCCCUUUGUCAUCGGUAUGUUACUUGCCCGAGAUUCGAUCGUCGGUAUCUCAAUACCUAGUUCAAUCUCGUUACCGGCAAGUCUCUUUACUCAUUCCGUAAUACAUCAUCCCGCAACUAACUCAUUAGUUACAAUGCUUGCAAGGCUUAUAGUGAUGUGCAUUACCGAGUGGGCCCAGAGAUACCUCUUCGACAAUCGGAGCGACAAAUCCUAAUCUCGAAAUACGCCAACCCAACAAGUACCUUCGGAGACACCUGUAGAGCACCUUUAUAAUCACCCAGUUAUGUUGUGACGUUUGGUAGCACACAAAGUGUUCCUCCGGUAAACGGGAGUUGCAUAAUCUCAUAGUCAUAGGAACAUGUAUAAGUCAUGAAGAAAGCAAUAGCAGAAUACUAAACGAUCAAGUGCUAAGCUAACGGAAUGGGUCAAGUCAAUCACAUCAUUCUCCUAAUGAUGUGAUCCCGUUAAUCAAAUGACAACUCAUGUCUAUGGCUAGGAAACAUAACCAUCUUUGAUCAACGAGCUAGUCAAGUAGAGGCAUACUAGUGAUACUCUGUUUGUCUAUGUAUUCACACAAGUAUUAUGUUUCCGGUUAAUACAAUUCUAGCAUAAAUAAUAAACAUUUAUCAUGAAAUAAGGAAAUAAAUAAUAACUUUAUUAUUGCCUCUAGGGCAUAUUUCCUUCAGAUCCAUCACUAAAUAAAGUCAUGACCUCUCCAAAUCCACUUUCAUCAUUAUAAUCAUCAUAAAUAGGAGGCAUGCAAUCAUUAUAACAAAUUUGCACAUCAAAUCUUGGGGGACUAAAAAUAUCAUCUUCAUUAGAAUCAUGGAUAUUCAAAGAAUUCAUACUAAGAACAUUGCAAUCAUGCUUAUCAUUCAAAUAUUUCGUGCCAAACAUUUUACUGACUUCUUCUUCUAACAAUUGAGCACAAUUUUCCGAACCAUCAUUUUCAAGAAAGAUAUUAUAAAGAUGAUCAAGAAUAUGAUGCAACCUCAAUUCCUUUUUUCUGUAGUUUUCUUUUAUAAACCAAACUAGUGAUAAAACAAGAAACUAAAAGAUUCAAUUGCAAGAUCUAAAGAUAUACCUUCAAGCACUCAGCUCCUCGGCAACGGCACCAGAAAAGAGCUUGAUGUCUACUACGCAACUUUAUUAUUAUAUACUCGUGUUGGGCCUCCAAGCGAAGAGUUUUGUAGGACAGUAGCAAUUUUCCCUCAAGUGGAUGACCUAAGGUUUAUCAAUCCGUGGGAGGCGUAGGAUGAAGAUGGUCUCUCUCAAACAACCCUGCAAUCAAAUACAAGAAACCUCUUGUGUCCCCAACACACACAAUACAAUGGCAAUUUGUAUAGGUGCACUAGUUCGGCGAAGAGAUGGUGAUAAAAGUGUAAUAUGGAUGGUAGAAAUAUAUUUUUAUAAUCUGAAAAUAAAAAAAACAGCAAGGUAGCAAUUGGUAAAACAGAGCACAAACGGUAUUGCAAUGCUUGAAAAUGAGGCCUAGGGUCUGUACUUUCGCUAGUGCAAUCUCUCAACAAUGCUAAUAUAAUUGGAUCAUAUAACCAUCCCUCAACGUGCGAUGAAGAGUCACUCCAAAGUUCCUAUCUAGCGGAGAACAUAAGAAGAAAUUGUUUGCAGGGUACGAAACCACCUCGAAGCUAUUCUUUCUGAUCGAUCUAUCCAAGAGUUCGUACUAAAAUAACACCAAAUAAUUUCAGAUUCAUAAUACUCAAUCCAACACAAAGAACUUCAAGGAGUGUGAUAUGUCUCCAACGUAUCUAUAAUUUUUGAUUGUUCCAUGUUGUUUUAUUAUCAAUCUUGGAUGUUUUAUAAUCAUUUUAAAGUCAUUUUAUAUCAUUUUUUGGUACUAACCUAUUGACACAGUGCCAAGUGCCAGUUGCUGUUUUUUUCCAUAUUUUUUUACAUCACAGAAAAUCCUUAUCAAACGGAGUCCAAAUGCCACGAAACUUUACGGAGAUUUUUUAUGGGCCAGAAGGAAGGCAAUGGGCCCUGGUUACACCUGGGGGGUGCCCCGAGGGGGGCACAACCCACCAGGGCGCUCCAGGAGGCCUAGGCGCGCCCUGGUGGGUUGUGCCCACCUCGGGUGCCCCCCGGACCGCAUCUUUGCUCUAUAAAUACCCAAAUAUUCCAGAAACCCUAGGGGAGUCGACGAAAUAUUCAUCCAGCCGCCGCAGAGUCCAGAACCACCAGAUCCAAUCUAGACACCAUCACGGAGGGGUUCACCACUUCCAUUGGUGCCUCUCCGAUGAUGCGUGAGUAGUCCUUUGUAGACCUUCAGGUUCGUAGUUAGUAGCUAGAUGGCUUUCUCUCUCUCGCUGAAUUAUCAAUACAAUGGUCUCUUGGAGAUCCAUAUGAUGUAACUCUUUUUGCGGUGUGUUUGUUGGGAUCUGAUGAACUUCGAGUUUAUGAUCAGUUAUAUCUUUUUAUAUACAUGAAAGUUAUUUGAGUUUCUUUGAUAUCUUAUAUGCAUGAUCUCUUAUAGCCUCGUAUUUCUUCUCCGAUAUUUGGGUUUUGUUUGGCCAACUUGAUCUAUUUAUAUUGCAACGGGAAGAGGUGCCCGGUAGUGGGUUCAAUCUUACGGUGCUCGAUCCCAGUGACAGAAAGGGAAAUGACACGUAUGUAUCGUUGCUACUAAGGAUAAAAAGACGAGAUCUAUAUCUACCGCCAUAUAGAUAAACGGAUCUUGUCUACAUCAUGUCAUCGUUCUUAUUGCAUUACUUUGUUUUUCCAUGAACUUAAUACACUAGAUGCAUGCUGGAUAGCGGUCGAUGUGUGUAGUAAUAGUAGUAGAUGCAGGCAGGAGUCGGUCUACUAAUCUUGGACGUGAUGCCUAUGUAAUGAUCAUUGCCUGGAUAUCGUCAUAAUUAUUUAAAGUUCUAUCAAUUGCCCAACAGUAAUUUGUUUACCCACCGUUUGCUAUUUUUCUCGAGAGAAGCCACUAGUGAAACCUACGGCCCCCGGGUCUUCUCUCUCAUAUAUUUGCCUUGCGAUCUACUUUUUCCUUGUAUUUUUAUUCAGAUCUAUUUAACCAAAAAUACAAAAAUACAUUGCUGCACUUUUAUUUAUUUGCGAUCUAUUUAUUCAACCUAUUACAAUUUUCUCCCGUCCAUGCACCAAUUUCUGGCGCCGUUACCCGAAAGGGAUUGACAACCCCUUUUAACUCGUCAGGUUGCGAGGUGUUGUUGUGUGUGGAGGUGCUGUUUACGUUGUGUUGCUUGGUGAUAACCCACAAGUAUAGGGGAUCGCAACAAUUUUCAAGGGUAGAAUAUUCAACCCAAAUUUAUUGAUUCGACACAAGGGGAGCCAAAGAAUAUUCCCAAGUAUUAGGAGUUGAGUUGUCAAUUCAACCUCACCUGAAAGACUUAAUAGCUGCAGCAAAAUAUUUAGUAGCAAAGUAGUAUGGAAGUAACGGUAACAGUGGCAAAAGUAACAGUAGUAGUUUUUAUAGCAAUCGUAACAGUGGCAACGGAAAAGUAACUAAGCAAAGAUCAAUAUGUGAAAAGCUCGUAGGCAAUGGAUCAAUGAUGGAUAAUUACAUUGGAUGCGAUUCCUCAUGCAACAGUUAUAACAUAGGGAGACACAGAACUAGCUCCAGUUCAUCAAUGUAAUGUAGGCAUGUAUUCCGAAUAUGGUCAUACGUGCUUAUGGAAAAGAACUUGCAUGACAUCUUUUGUACUACCCUCCCGUGGCAGCGGGGUCCUAUUGGAAACUAAGGGAUAUUAAGGCCUCCUUUUAAUAGAGUACCGGACCAAAGCAUUAACACUUAGUGAAUACAUGAACUCCUCAAACUACGCUCAUCACCGGGAGUGGUCCCGAUUAUUGUCACUUCGGGGUUGCCGGAUCAUAACACAUAGUAGGUGACUAUUGACUUGCAAGAUAGGAUCAAGAACUCACAUAUAUUCAUGAAAACAUAAUAGGUUCAGAUCUAAAAUCAUGGCACUCGGGGCCCUAGUGACAAGCAUUAAGCAUAUCAAAGUCAUAGCAACAUCAAUCUUAGAACAUAAUGGAUAAUAGGGAUCAAACCCUAACAAAACUAACUCGAUUACAUGGUAAAUCUCAUCCAACCCAUCACCGUCCAGCAAGCCUACGAUGAGAUUACUCACACACGGCGGUGAGCAUCAUGAAAUUGGUGAUGGAGGAUGGUUGAUGAUGACGAUGGCGACAGAUUCCCCUCUCUGGAGCCCCGAACGGACUCCAGAUCAGCCCUCCCGAGGAAGAUUAGGGCUUGGCGGUGGCUCCGUAUCGUAAAACGCGAUGAAUCCUUCUCUCUGAUUUUUUUCUCCCCGAACGUGAAUAUAUGGAGUUGGAGUUGAGGUCGGUGGAUUCUCAGUGGGCCCCCUGAUGCUGAUUCGUUUGCCAGUAUUUUUUAUUAAUUCCAAAACGUGUCUCCGUGGAUUUUCAGGUCAUUCUGAGAACUUUUAUUUCUGCACAAAAAUAACACCAUGGCAGUUCUGCUGAAAACAGCGUCAGUCCGGGUUAGUUCCAUUCAAAUCAUGCAAGUUAGAGUCCAAAACAAGGGCAAAAGUGUUUGGAAAAGUAGAUACGUUGGAGACGUAUCAACUCCCCCAAGCUUAAACCUUUGCUGGUCCUCAAGCAAUUCAGUUGACAAACUAAAAGUGAUAAAGAAAAACUUUUACAAACUCUGUUUAAUCUUGUUGUUGCAAAUAUGUAAAGCCAGCAUUCAAGUUUUCAGCAAAGAUUAUGAACUAACCAUAUUCACAAUAACAUUUAGGUCUCAUAUUUACUCAUAUCAAUGGCAUAAUCAACUAGCGAGCAAUAAUAAUAAAUCUCGGAUGACAACACUUUCUCAAAACAAUCAUAACAUGAUAUAACAAGAUAGUAUCUCGCUAGCCCUUUCUAAGACCGCAAAACAUAAAUGCAAAGCACCCCUGAAGAUCAAGGAUUGACUAGACAUUGUAAUUCAUGGUAAGAGAGAUCCAGUCACACUCAUACUCAAUGUAAAUUAAUAGCAAUGCAUGCGAAUGACAGCGGUGCUCUCCAACUGGUGCUUUUUAAUAAGAGGGUGAUGACUCAACAUAAAAGUAAAUAGAUAGGCCCUUCGCAGACGGAAGUAGGGAUUUGCAGAGGUGCCAGAGCUUGAGUUUUGAAACAGAGAUAAAUAAUAUUUUGAGUGGCAUAUUUUCAUUGUCAACAUAACAACCAAGAGAUCUCGAUAUCUUCCAUGCUACACACAUUAUAGGCGGUUCCCAAACAGAAUGGUAAAGUUUAUACUCCCCCACCACCAACAAACAUCAAUCCAUGGCUUGUCCGAAACAACGGGUGCCUCCAACUAACAACAAUCCCGGGGGAGUUUUGUUUGCAAUUAUUUUGAUUUGAGCAUGGGACUGGGCAUCCCGAUUACUGGCCAUUUUCUCGUGAAUAAGGAGCGGAGUCCACUCAUCGUGAGAAUAACCCACCUAGCAUGGAAGAUAUAGACAACCCUAGUUGAUACAUGAGCUAUUCGAGCAUACAAAACAGAAUUUCAUUUGAAGGUUUAGAGUUUGGUACAUACAAAUUUACUUGGAAGGUAGGUAAAUACCACAUAUAGGAAGGUAUGGUGGACUCAUAUGGGAUAACUUUGGGGUUUAUGGAAGUGGAUGCAUAAGCAGUAUUCCCGCUUAGUACAAGUGAUGGCUAGAAAGAGACUGGGAAGCGACCAACUAGAGAGCGACAGCAGUCAUGAACAUGCAUUAAGAUUAAUCAACAAUGAGUGCAAGCAUGAGUAGGAUAUAAAUCACCAUGAACAUAAAUAUCGUAGAGGCUAUGUUGAUUUUGUUUCAACUACAUGCAUGAACAUGUGCCAAGUCAAGCCACUCGAAUCGUUCAAAGGAGGAUACCACCCUAUUAUACCACAUCACAACCAUUUUAAUAGCAUGUUGGCACGCAAGGUAAACCAUUAUAAACUCCUAGCAAAUUAAGCAUGGCAUGAGAAACUAUAAUCUCUAAUUGUCAUUGCAAACAUGUUUCAUUCAUAAUAGGCUGAAUCUGGAACGAUGAACUAAUCAUAUUUACAAAAACAAGAUAGGUCGAGUUCAUACCAGCUUCUCUCAUCUCAAUCAGUUCAUCAUAUAUCGUCAUUAUUGCCUUUCACUCGCAUGACCGAACGAUGUGGAUAAUAAUAAUAGUGCACGUGCAUUGGACUAAGCUGAAAUCUGCAAGCAUUCAAUACAAGGGAGAAGACAAGGUAAUAUGGGCUCUUGGUUAAAUCAACAAUAAUGCAUAUGAGAGCCACUCAACAUUUUCAUCAUGGUCUUCUCCUCUCGACCCCCAAAUCAUGGUCUUCUCCUCUCGACCCCCAAAGAACAAGAAAAGAAAUAAAACUAUUUACAUGGGAAAGCUCCCAACAAGCAAAAGAAGAACGAGAAAUCUUUUUGGGUUUUCUUUUAAUUACUACUACUACAGGCAUGGAAAGUAAACUAGCUAAAAGCUACAACUAAUUUUUUGGUUUUUCUUAAGUUUUUCAAACAUACAAGAUGAAGGCUUAGAAAAGAAAAUAAACUAGCAUGGAUAGUACAAUGAAAAAGUAUGAGCACCGACAACUAGAAUGAGUGUGUGAACAUGAAUGUAAUGUCGGUGAGAAAUACGUACUCCCCCAAGCUUAGGCUUUUGGCCUAAGUUGGUCUAUGGCCACGGAUCAAAGCUACUCUCUCUGGUGUACUGAGGAGGGUCCUCAGGGUGCCACUGGUUGGCGAUCUCCUCCGGGUCCCACUGAUAAACGGACUGUCGGUAAGGUUCAAGUGGUGGCUCAGGCUCAGGUUCUGGAACUUGUGUCAGCCUCCAGUAUGCAUAAAUGGCCUCUGGCAAGAUGAGGUACGUGCCUGAAAGUAUGUUAAACAAAGAGGGUGCAAGCAAGGUAAUAAUUUCACAGUGACUUUUAUAAAAUAUCAGAUUGUACUUAAGCAUCUUCUUCUUAUUUUUAACAAUAAAAUCAUGUGCUACCAUACUCUUAUAAUCUAGAAAAAUAGGGGGUAGCAACUUUUCCUCUUUCUCAUAAUGCCUAAUAGGUUUCCCAAAGUGUUCAACAAGGCGUGAAGCAAAGAUGCCUCCGAAGAUGGGGCCCUUUGUACGGUUCAGACUUAAUCGUUUAGCAAUAAUAGCGCCUAAGCUGAAAGUUGUAUCACGAAACAAAGCAUGGCGCAAAAUGACAAGAUCAGGAGCACUAAGAUUUCCACUGUUUCCGCGACCAAUUAAGCAUCUACUAGCAAAUAUCGCAAAGUAACGUAGAACAGGAAAAUGUAUACUAGUAAUUCUUGCAUCGGAAACUUUCCUCAUUUCCCCUACAUCAAUUCUGUCAAUAAAUUCAUCCACAUCACUACGGUGUGGUUCCUCGAUGCUGCCACAAAGGGUAUCUUGCAGACCCGACAAAAAUCAUGAAGUGACAUCUCCUUAACCUCAUCAUAUAAGUGAAACUCCACUGAAGGUGGUGAUUUCUUAGCAUGGAAAUAAUAAUUUUUCACGAAAAUAUUAGUGAGUAGGAGAUACUGUUCGCGCUGGUCGCGGAGGAAGUUGGUGAGGCCUGCAUUCUCAGCCAAGUAAUAAAAGUCAUUGUAAAUUCCGGCGGCUCUCAAGAACGCGUCACAAGGCCAUUCGCAUGGCUGAACCUCCGCAGUGCGAGGAAGAUUGUAUUUGGGAUUUUUAUUCUCCUCAUUCUGCUUAUCCUUCGAGCUUCGGCUCGAAGAGCCUCUCAACAAUCUCUUCAACAUUUUCUCCCUCUGAAAAUUUCUGAAAUUUUAGCGACUCAAAAUAAAAGUGAACCAAACUCAACAAGAUUGAUAGCAACUACUCCCACAAGUGCCUAGAGGCUAAAUCAUGCAUUAAAACUACUUCGGACCAUAUAAAUUUGACAUGCAAGCUCAAGAACAGGGUCACCUUAGCAGCAAAAAUUUACAAUAAAUAAAGCACUAGAACAAAAACUAAUUGGACCAUUGGAGGAGUCACAUACCGAAGAACAAUCUUCCCAAAUAGUUUUGUGAAUGGAGCUUUGAGCAAAGAGAUUGAAAAUGGCAGCAGGAUGAGCUAGACCACGGGUUUGAGCUAUGGGAGGAUUUUUUCUGGAGGAAGACGAAGUGAGUGGGUGCUGGAAUAAGUGGAGGGGGUCCACGUGGGGCCCACGAGGCAGGGGGCGCGCCCUGUGCCCUCGUGGCCAAAUGGUGGGUCCCCCUGGUGUGUUCUCAGUGCUAAAAAUUCUUAAAUGUUCUACAAAAAAUCAUAUAUCAUUUUCAGGACAUUUGGAGAACUUUUAUUUUCAGGGUAUUUUUGUUGCAAGGAUGAUUCAGAAAACAGACAGAAAAUACCAUUUUUGCUUUAUUUAAUCUAAAUAACAGAAAGUAAAAGGAGGGUACAGAAAGCUGUGCUUUCUAACUUCAUCCAUCUCAUGCUCAUCAAAAGGAAUCCGCUAACAAGGUUGAUCAAGUCUUGUUAACAAACUCUUUCCGAAUAACAUGAAACCGGAGAAUUUUCGAAUAACACUAGGUUACCUCAACGGGGAUAUGCAUGUCCCCAACAAUAAGAAUAUCAUAUUUCUUCUUGACAGUAGGAAGAGGGAAUUCAAAACCUCCAAUAGUAAUCGUUGAAAUUUUUCCAAUAGAAUUGAUACUGUGGACUUGAGGUUGUUUCCUCGGAAAGUGUACCGUAUGCUCAUUACCAUUAACAUGAAAAGUGACAUUGCCUUUGUUGCAGUCAAUAACAGCCCCUGCAGUAUUCAAAAAGGGUCUACCAAGGAUAAUCGACAUACUAUCGUCCUCGGGAAUAUCAAGAAUAACAAAGUCCGUUAAAAUAGUAACGUUUGCAACCACAACAGGCACAUCCUCACAAAUACCGACAUGUAUAGCAAUUGAUUUAUCAGCUAUUUGCAAAGAUAUUUCAGUAGGUGUCAACUUAUUCAAAUCAAGUCUACGAUAUAAAGAGAGAGGCAUAACACUAACACCGGCUCCAAGAUCACAUAAAGCAGUUUUAACAUAGUUUCUUUUAAUGGAGCAUGGUAUAGUUGGUACUCCUGGAUCUCCUAGUUUCUUUGGUAUUCCACCUUUAAAAGUAUAAUUGGCAAGCAUGGUGGAAAUUUCAGCUUCCGGUAUCUUCCUUUUAUUUGUAACAAUAUCUUUCAUAUACUUAGCAUAAGGAUUCAUUUUAAGCAUAUCAGUCAAACGCAUACGCAAAAACAUAGGUCUAAUCAUUUCAGCAAAGCGCUCAAAAUCCUCAUCAUCCUUUUUCUUGGAUGGUUUAGGAGGAAAAGGCAUGGGUUUCUGAACCCAUGGUUCUCUUUCUUUACCGUGCUUCCUAGCAACGAAGUCUCUCUUAUCAUAACGUUGAUUCUUUGAUUGUGGGUUAUCAAGAUCAACAUCAGGUUCAAUCCCUACAUCAUUGUUAUUGCUAGGUUGAGCAUCAACAUGAACAUCAUCAUUAACAUUAUCACUAGGUUCAUGUUCAUUACCAGAUUGUGUUUCAACAUCAGAAAUAGAAAUAUCAUUGGGAUUUUCAGGUGUGUCAACAACAGGUUCACUAGAAGCAUGCAAAGUCCUAUCAUUUUUAUUUUUCUUCUUCUUAGAAGGACUAGGUGUAUCAACAUUAGUUCUCUGAGAAUCUUGCUCAACUCUCUUAGGGUGGCCCUCAUGAUACAAAGGUUCCUGAGUCAUUCUACCCCCUCUAGUCAUAACUCUAACAACAUUAUCAUUUUUCUUAUUAUUUAAUUCAUUGAGCAAAUCAUCUUGUGCUUUAAGCACUUGUUCUACUUGAGUGGUAACCAUAGAAGCAUGUUUACUAAUAAGUUUAAGGUCACCUUUAACUCUAGACAUAAUCACUCAAGUGUUCAAUCAUAUAAGCAUUACGUUUCAAUUUUCUACCAACAUAAGCAUUGAAGUUUUCUUGUUUAACAAUAAAAUUAUCAAACUCAUCCAAACAUUGGCUAGCGGACUUAUUACAAGGAAUAUCACCUUCAUCAAAUCUAUAGAUAGAAUUUAUCUUUACUACCUGUGUCGGGUUAUCAAGACCAUGUAUUUCUUAAAUAGGUGAUAAAUUCUUAACAUUCUCAGCUUUAAUACCAUUUUCUUUCAUAGAUUUCUUUGCCUCUUGCAUAUCUUCAGGACUGAGAAAUAGAAUACCCCUUUUCUUUGGAGUUGGCUUAGGAGUUGGUUCAGGAAGUGUCCAAUCAUUCUCAUUACUCAAUAUAUUAUUCAAUAGAAAUUCAGCUUGCUCAACAGUUCUUUCCCUGAAAACACAACCAGCACAACUAUCCAGGUGGUCUCUGGAAGCAUCACUUAGUCCAUUAUAAAAGAUAUCAAAUAUUUCAUUUUUCUUGAGAGGAUGAUUAGGCAAAGCAUUAAGUAAUCGGAGAAGCCUCCCCCAAGCUUGUGGGAGACCCUCCUCUUCAAUUUGCACAAAAGUAUAUAUUUCCCUUAAGGCAGCUUGUUUCUUAUGAGCGGGGAAAUAUUUAGCAGAGAAGUAAUAAAUCAUAUCCUGGGGACUACGCACACAACCAGGAGCAAGAGAAUUAAACCAUGUUUUAGCAUCACCCUUUAAUGAGAACGCAAAUAACUUAAGGAUAUAGUAGUAACGAAUUUUUUCCUCAUGAGUGAAUAGGGUGGCUAUAUCAUUCAAUUUGGUAAGAUGUGCCACAACAGUUUCAGAUUCAUAGCCAUAAAAAGGAUCAUAUUCAACCAAAGUAAUUAACUCAGGAUCGACAGAGAAAUCAUAAUCCUUAUCAGAAAUACAGAUAGGUGAAGUAGCAAAAGCAGGGUCAUAUUUCAUUCUAGCAUUCAAAGACUUUUCUUUUAGCUUAGCUGACAGUUUCUUAAGAUCAUAUCUAUCUUUGCAAGCAAAAAGGUCUCUAGCAGUUUCUUCAUCCAUAACAUAACCCUCAGGCACAUCAGGCAAUUCAUAUCUAGGGGGAGAAUCUUCAUCAUCAAUUUCAUCAAUAUUAUCUGUUUCAAUAAUUUCAUUCUCUCUAACCCUAGCAAGUUGUUCAUCAAGAAAUUCACCUAAAGGCACAAUAUUAUCAAGCAUAGAAGUAGUUUCAUCAUAAGCAUCAUGCAUAGCAGAAGUGGCAUCAUCAAUAACAUGCGACAUAUCAGAAUCAAUAACAGGUGUACAUGUCGCCAAUUUACUCAUAACAGAAGGUGAAUCAAGUGCAGAGCUAGAUGGCAGUUCCUUACCUCCCCUCGUAGUUGAGGGAAAAAUCUUGGUUCUUUCAUCUUUCAAGUUCCUCAUAGUGAUCAACAAAUAUAAACCCCAAGUGACUCAAAGAAUAGAGCUAUGCUCGCCGACAACGGUGCCAGAAAAUAGUCUUGAUAACCCACAAGUAUAGGGGAUCACAACAGUUUUCGAGGGUAGAGUAUUCAACCCAAAUUUAUUGAUUCGACACAAGGGGAGCCAAACAAUAUUCUCAAGUAUUAGCAGUUGAGUUGUCAAUUCAACCACACCUGAAAGACUUAAUAUCUGCAGCAAAAUAUUUAGUACCAAAGUAGUAUGGAAGUAACGGUAACGAUGGCAAAAGUAACAGUAGUAGUUUUUGUAGCAAUCGUAACAGUGGCAACAGAAAAGUAACUAAGCAAAGAUCAAUAUGUGAAAAGCUCGUAGGCAAUGGAUCAAUGAUGGAUAAUUAUGUCGGAUGCGAUUCCUCAUGCAACAGUCAUAACAUAGGGUGACACAGAACUAGCUCCAGUUCAUCAAUGUAAUGUAGGCAUGUAUCCCGAAUAUAGUCUGAUACGUCUCCGUCGUAUCUAUAAUUUUUGAUUGUUCCAUGCCAAUAUUCUACAACUUUUACAUACUUUUGGCAACUUUUUAUACUAUUUUUGGGACUAACAUAUUGAUCCAGUGCCCAGUGCCAGUUUCCGUUUGUUGCAUGUUUUUCUGUUUCGCAUAAAAUCCAUAUCAAACGGAGUCCAAACGGGAUAAAAACUUACGGAGAUUUUUUUUGAAUAUAUGUGAAUUUUGGGAAGUGGAAUCAACGCGAGACGAUGCCUGAGGGGCCCACGAGGGUGAGGGGCGCGACCCAGGAGGUAGGGCGCGCCCUGGGCCCUCGUGGCCACUCCGUAAGGCGGUUGGUGCCCUUCUUUUGCCGCAAGAAAGCCAAUAUCCGGAUAAAAAUCGUGUCAAAAUUUCAGCCCAAUCAGAGUUACGGAUCUCCGGGAAUUUAAGGAACGGUGAAAGGGCAGAACCAGGGAGCGCAGAAACAGAAGGAAACAGAGAGAGAGAUCCAAUCUCGGAGGGGCUCUCGCCCCUCCGCCGCCAUGGAGGCCAUGGACCAGAGGGGAAACCCUUCUCCCAUCUAGGGGGAAGGUUAAGGAAGAAGAAGAAGAAAGGGGGGCUCUCUCCCCCUCUCUCCCGGUGGCGCCGGAACACCACUGGGCCAUCAUCGCGACAACGAUCUACACCAACAAAUUCACCGCCUUCAUCACCAACUCUUCCCCCCUCUAUGCAGCGGUGUAACCCCUCUUUUACCCGCUGUAAUCUCUACUUAAACAUGGUGCUCAACGCUAUAUAUUAUUUCCCAAUGAUGUAUGGCUAUCCUAUGGUGUUUGAGUAGAUUCGUUUUGUCCUAUGGGUUAAUUUAUGAUCGUGAUUGGUUUGAGUUGCAUGUUUUAUUAUUAGUGUUGUCCUAUGGUGCUCUCCGUGUCGCUCAAGCGUGAGGGAUCCCCGCUGUAGGGUUUGCAAUAUGUUCGUGAUUUGCUUAUGGUGGGUGGCGUGAGUGACAGAAGCACAUACCCGAGUAAGUAGGUUGUUUGCGCAUGGGAGUAAAGAGGACUUGAUGCCUUAUAAUGCUAUGGUUGGGUUUUACCUUAAUGAUCUUUAGUAGUUGCGGAUGCUUGCUAGAGUUCCAAGCAUAAGUGCAUAUGAUCCAAGAAGAGAAAGUAUGUUAGCUUAUGCCUCUCCCUCAAAUAAAAUUGCAAUAAUGAUUACCGGUCUAGUUAUCGAUUGUCUAGGGACAAAUAACUUUCUUGUGACAAAAAGGUCUCUACUAAAACUAACUUAGUUGUGUCUUUAUCUAAACAGCCCCUAGUUUUUAUUUACGUGCUCUUUAUUAUAUUGCACCUAGCCUACAACACCUACAAAGUACUUCUAGUUUCAUACUUGUUCUAGGUAAAGCGAACGUUAAGCGUGCGUAGAGUUGUAUCGGUGGUCGAUAGAACUUGAGGGAAUAUUUGUUCUACCUUUAGCUCCUCAUUGGGUUUGACACUCUUACUUAUCGAAAGAGGCUACAAUUGAUCCCCUAUACUUGUGGGUUAUCAUAGUCAUACGUGCUUAUGGAAAAGAACUUGCAUGACAUCUUUUGCCCUACCCUCCCGUGGCAGCAGGGUCCUAUUGGAAACUAAGGGAUAUUAAGGCCUCCUUUUAAUAGAGUACUGGACCAAAGCAUUAACACUUAGUGAAUACAUGAACUCCUCAAACUACGGUCAUCACCGGGAGUGGUCCCGAUUAUUAUCACUUCGGGGUUGCCAGAUCAUAACACAUAGUAGGUGACUAUUGACUUGCAAGAUAGGAUCAAGAACUCACAUAUAUUCAUGAAAACAUAAUAGGUUCAGAUCUGAAAUCAUGGCACUCGGGCCCUAGUGACAAGCAUUAAGCAUAUCAAAGUCAUAGCAACAUCAAUCUUAGAACAUAAUGGAUACUAGGGAUCAAACCCUAACAAAACUAACUCGAUUACAUGGUAAAUCUCAUCCAACCCAUCGCCGUCCAGCAAGCCUACGACGAGAUUACUCACGCACGGCAGUGACCAUCAUGAAAUUGGUGAUGGAGGAUGGUUGAUGAUGACGAUGGCGACGGAUUCCCCUCUCCGGAGCCCCGAACGGACUCUAGAUCAGCCCUCCCGAGGAACAUUAGGGCUUGGCGGUGGCUUCGUAUCGUAAAACGCGAUGAAUCCUUCUCUCUGAUUUUUUUCUCCCCGAAUGUGAAUAUAUGGAGUUGGAGUUGAGGUCGGUGGAGUCUCAGGGGGCCCACGAGGCAGGGGGCGCGCCCCAGGGGGGCACCCUGCACCCUCGUGGACAGGGUGUGGGCCCCCUGAUGCUAGUUCUUUCGCCAGUAUUUUUUAUUAAUUCCAAAACAUGUCUCCGUGGAUUUUCAGGUCAUUCCGAGAACUUUUAUUUCCGCACACAAUUAACACCAUGGCAGUUCUGCUGAAAACAGCGUCAGUCUGGGUUAGUUCCAUUCAAAUCAUGCAAGUUAGAGUCCAAAACAAGGGCAAAAGUGUUUGGAAAAGUAGAUACGUUGGAGACAUAUCACUUGGUUCUCCUACUGGUUCGAUACCUUGGUUUCAUAACUGAGGGAAAUACCUACCGUCGCUGUGCUACAUCAUCCCUCCCUCUCCGGGGAAAUACCGAUGUAGUUCCAGCUGCCAUCAAGGAGGAUUUCUGGCGCCGUUGCUGGGGAGGAUCUUCAAGAUAACCAGGUUCUCAAUCACAAAUCUCAUCUCUUCGCAAUUUACAUUAUUUGCCAUUUUCCUCUCGUUUUCCUCUCCCCCACUUCACAAAAAUUUGCCGUUCUAUUCGCCUCUUUUUUUUGUUCGUCGUUUUCUUGCCGGAUCUGUUUUUGUGUGCGCUUUUGUUUGCGUAGUCAUGAUGUCUCAAAGAAAAUAUUAUGAUGUUCCUUACCCAAAUAUUUUGCUUGAAAUUGAGAAAAGUACUAAGGAAUAUAUGACUACACAAUUUGAGCAUAAUAAGUAUUUUACAGAGGAACUUAAGGAACAUUCCGUUGUGCUAGAUGCUAUUAGUAAACAACUUGAUGAUAUUAGUAGAGAAGUUUGCAAUCUCCAAUCUAAGUAUGCUUUUGUUGAAAGUUUGCUAGGAAAAAUAUCCUGUGCACAAGCUACUCUAGUAAAUCAAAUGGCCGUUAAACCAAUCUCACUAGAGGAUAAAGAUGAUGAAGAUCUUAAAAUGAUUGGUGUUUCUUCUAUUGAUUCCUUGUUUAAUAAAAUUAAGAAUGAUGAAAAAGGGACUGGAGAAGAGUCAACUUUAGGUAGAAGGCGUCCCAAUAUUUCGGAGGGUGAAAAUCUUGUUGAGAAAAUUGAUAAAAGUGGGUUUGGAGAGGUCAAAACUUUAGCUAAUGAUGUGCCCACUAUUUUGGAUAACAAAAGACUUUAAUUAUGAUAGUUUCUCUUUGAUUGAUUGUAUUUCCUUGUUGCAAUCCAUGAUAAAUUCACCCCAGCUUAUGAACAAAACAAAGCUUUUACUAAACAUAUUGUUGAUGCUAUGAUGAAAGCUUUGGAAGAAAAGUUGGAAUUAGAAGUUUCAAUUCCUAGAAAAUUGCAUGAUGAGUGUGAACCUACUGUCAAAGUCAAGAUUAAAAAUUAUGAGUGUUUUGCUUUGUGUGACUUGGGUGCUAGUGUUUCUACAAUUCCAAAAUCUUUAUGUGAUGUGCUUGGUCUUACCAAUCUUGAAGAAUGCUCCUUGAAUUUGCACUUGGCGGAUUCUACUAUUAAAAAGCCUAUGGGAAGGAUUAAUGAUGUUCUUAUUCUUGCAAAUAGGAAUUAUGUGUCCAUAGAUUUUAUUGUUCUUGAUAUUGAUUGCAAUCCGUCUUGUCCUAUUAUUCUUGGUAGACCGUUUUUACGCACUAUCGGUGUCGUGAUUGACAUGAAAGAAGGCAAUAUUAAGUUCCAAUUUCUUUUGAGGAAGGGUAUGGAACACUUUCCUAGAACUAGAAUUAAGCCACCUUAUGAAUAAAUCAUGAGGGCAUCUUAUGGAUCUCGAAUCCAAGAUGACAAAACUUAGAUCCUUGCUUUAUGCCUAGCUAAGGGCGUAAAACUAUAGCGCUUGUUGGGAGGCAACCCAAUGAAUAAAAUUUAUUUUUGCUUUUUGCUUUCUGUUCUUGAGUGUUAACACAAUUAUUCUACUGUUAUGAUUGUGUUUUUUAUGUUUUAAUUAGUGUUUGUGCCAAGUAGAACCGAUAGGAUCUUCUUCGGUGAUAGUUGUUUGAUCUUGCUGAAAAAGACAAAAACUUUGUGCCCACGAAAUUAAUUCUCAUUUUCAUUAAGAAAGAGAUUUUUCCCUGAUUCUUUUUGUAGAAGAUUAAUAUACAAAUUGCUAAGGUCGUCCUAUUUUUUCAGAAUUUUUGGAGUUCCAGAAGUUUUCGUUUAAGUCAGAUUGCUACAGACUGUUCUGUUUUGACAGAUUCUGUUUUCUUUGUGUUGUGUGCUUAUUUUGAUGGCUCUAUGGUUUCCUUUGAUGAGUUUUUGCCAUAUAAAAGUUGGAAUACAGUACAAAAACAAAAUAAGAAUUGGUUUGAUACAGCACUUACAGUAGCGGUUUACUUUCUUGCACUAACGGAUCUCACGAAGGUUUUGUUGAGUUUUGUGUGAUUGAAGUUUUCAAGUUUUGGGUUAUCUUACGAUGGAUGAAGGAAGGAUGUAAGAGCCUAAGCUUGGGGAUGCCCCGGCAUCCCAAGCUAUUAUCCAAGAAUGAGCAACCAACUAAGCUUGGGGAUGCACCCGAGCGGCAUCCUCGCUUUCUUCCAAAAACUAUCGGUAUUUUACUCGAGGCUAUAUUUUUAUUCGUCACAUGAUAUGUGUUUUGCUUGGAGCAUCUUGUAUGAUAUGUGUCUGCUUGUUUUAUUUUGUGUUUUAAGUCAUCAAUCCUUGCUGGACACACAUUUUUGAGAGAGCCAAAAUUAAUUCAUGACUUGUUAGAAUUGCUCUCUAUGCUUCACUUAAAUCUUUUAUGAGCUAGGACUUGCUCUAGUGCUUCACUUAUAUCUUUUUGAGCACGGUGUGCUUUAUUAUUUUUGAAGAAAUUCUCUCUUGCUUCACUUAAAUUAUUUUGAGAGAAAGAAAAUUUGUUAUGCUCAUGUUCUUCACUUAUAUUUGUUUGAGCUUAUGAAAAGCAACACAUGAAAAUUAGUUCCAAAGUGAUAGAUAUCCAAGAAGGAUAAAGUACAAAAAAAUGUCAUGAAGAUCAUUGGACAAAAUAAACUUGAUUCUUAGUAAUAGUUUUGAGAUAUGAUGAUGUGAUAUGUGAGUUAUGUUGAUGAGUAAUUGUGCUCUAGUAAGAAUAUUGGUGUUAAGGUUUGUAAUUCCCUAUGCAUGCACGAAAAUCAAUAAUCAUGCAAUGAAAAUUAUAUCCUACUUGUGGUGCAUUAUUCGGUGUUAAUUAUGCUUAAUGCUUGCUUAUGAGAUUAUUUGUUUCUUGGUUGGUCGCUUCCCAAUCUUUUGCUAGCCUUCAUUUUGCACUAAGUAUGACCUCUACUUGUGCAUCCAAAAUCCUUUAAACCAGUUUUGCCACAUGAGUCCACUAUAUCUACCUAUAUGUGGUAUUCUAUUACCGUUCUAAGCAAAUUUGCAUGUGCCAUCUCUAAUUUUCAAAAUAAACUUCUAUUUUGUGUGUUUGUGCUCGCGGAACGGUAAUGGGUGGCUAAUAUUUUCCAUGCUAGUUGUGUUAUUCUCAAGAUGAGUGUUUAUUCACUUGUCAUUGCACGAGAGUAAGGCAAAGGUUUUAGGGAUGCCCAGUCCUGAAAUGCAAAAAAAUAUUUACUUUAUGUUGUCAAAUAAUAAAUUCCUUGGAAAGUGUUGGUAUGGAGGGCACCCGUGGAUACGGCUAGCCAUGGAAAGUGAAAGAAUGGUGGAAAAAGGAAUAAACUUUAUUUUAUGUUUGGGAACCGCCCAUGGCAUAUCUAGCAUGGAAAGUGUUCGGAACUCUAGGUCGUUUUCGUUGGUGGGAUGGAUACACCUCCAAAUAUGUUUUUAUCUCUAAGUUUUUCGAUUUGAGCUCUGGCACCUCUACAAAUCCCUACUUCCCUCUGCGAAGGGCCUUUCUUUUACUUUAUGCAAUUUUUAUUUUGAAAUUUGAGUCUCCAUCUUCUCUUAUAAAAAGCACCAACUAGGAGGCAAUAUGAUUGUGCUCAAGUAUUGGGUGUAGUUAAUAUUCGAGUGUGUUUCAUGAAUGGAUCAAUGUUUGAGCAUAAUGGGCUAGGGAUAACUUAUUUUAGCAUUGAUACUUUGAAAGACAUGGUUGCUUGUUGAUAUGCUUGAGUAUCUAAAUUAUUAUGUCAAAACUAGACUAUUGCUUUGAAUCACAUAAAAGUCCAAAUGUCCAUGCUAUAAAGAAAAGCAUAUGAUAUGGCUUCAUGAACAACACCCCACAUCAAAAAUUCUAUUUUUAUCACUUACCUACUCGAGGACGAGUAGGAGUUAAGCUUGGGGAUGCUGAUACGUCUCCAAUGUAUCUAUAAUUUUUUAUUGUCCCAUGCUAUUUUAUUAUCAAUCUUGGAUGUUUUAUAAUCACUUUAUAGUCAUUUUAUAUCAUUUUUUGGUACUAACCUAUUGACACAGUGCCAAGUGCCAGUUGCUGUUUUUUACAACGCAGAAAAUCCUUAUCAAACGUAGUCCAAAUGCCAUAAAAACUUUAAGAAGAUUUUUUAUUGGCCAGAAGGAAGGCAAUGGGCCCUGGUUGCACCUGGGGGUGCCCCGAGGGGGCACAACCCACCAGGACGCGCCAGGAGGCCCUGGCACGUCCUGGUGGGUUGUGCCCACCUCGGGUGCCCCCGGACCGCCUCUUUGCUCUAUAAAUACCCAAAUAUUCCAGAAACCCUAGGGGAGUCGACGAAAUAUUCAUCCAGCCGCCGCAGAGUCCAGAACCACCAGAUCCAAUCUAGACACCAUCAUAGAGGGGUUCACCACUUCCAUUGGUGCCUCUCCGAUGAUGUGUGAGUAGUCCUUUUUAGACCUUCGGGUCCGUAGUUUGUAGCUAGAUGGCUUUCUCUCUCUCGCUGAAUUCUCAAUACAAUGGUCUCUUGGAGAUCCAUAUGAUGUAACUCUUUUUGCGGUGUGUUUGUUGGGAUCUGAUGAACUUCGAGUUUAUGAUCAGUUAUAUCUUUUUAUAUCCAUGAAAGUUAUUUGAGUUUGUUUGAUCUCUUAUAUGCAUGAUCUCUUAUAGCCUCGUAUUUCUUCUCCGAUAUUUGGGUUUUGUUUGGCCAACUUGAUCUAUUUAUCUUGCAACGGGAAGAGGUGCCCGGUAGUGGGUUCGAUCUUACAAUGCUCGAUCCCAGUGACAGAAAGGGAAACGACACGUAUGUAUCAUUGCUACACGUAUGUAUCCACGCACCAAUUUCCGGCGCCGUUACCCGGAAGGGAUUGACAACCCCUUUUAACUCGUCGGGUUGCGAGGUGUUGUUGUUUGUGUGCAGGUGCUUUUUACGUUGUGUUGCUUGGUUCUCCUACUGGUUCGAUACCUUGGUUUCAUAACUGAGGGAAAUACCUACCAUUGCUGUGCUACAUCAUCCCUCCCUCUCCGAGGAAAUACCGACGUAGUUCUAGCUGCCAUCAGAGUGCCCCAAGAUUUCUACAGGAGAAACAAAGACAAGAACGUGCAUCAACCCCUAUGCAUAGAUUACCCCAAUGUCACCUCGGGAAUCCACGAGUAGAGUGCCAAAACAUAUAUCAAGUGUAUCAAUAUGAUACCCCAUUGUCACCACGAGUAUUCAUAUGCAAGACAUAUAUCAAGUGCUCUCAAAUCCAUAAAAGUAUUCAAUCCGAUAAAACAAAAUGUCAAAGGGAAAACUCAAUUCACAACAAGAUAAAGAGGGGAAAACACCAUAUGAUCCGACUAUAUUAACAAAGCCCGUGAUACAUCAAGAUCGUGACAUCUCAAGAACACGAGAGAGAGAUUAAACACAUAGCUACUGGUACAAACCCUCAGCCCCGAGGGUGGACUACUCCCUCCUCAUCGUGGUGGCCGUCGGGAUGAUGAGAUGGCCACCGGAGAUGAUCCCCCCCCCUCCGGCAGGGUGCCAGAACGGGGUCUAGAUUGGUUUUCGGUGGCUACAGAGGCCUGCGGUGGCGGAACUUCUGAUCUAGGUUAACCCCGAGGGUUUUUGGAAUUUUUGGGAAUUUAUAGGGUAAAGAGGGGGUGUGGGAGGCCACCGAGGUGGGCACAACCCACCUGGGCGCGCCCGGGCCCCCAGGCGCGCCCGGGCCCCCAGGCGCACCUUGGUGGGUUGUGCCCCCCUCGGGGCACCCCCCAGGUGCUGCUCUGGCCCAUUGGUGGUCUUCUGGUCCAUAAAAAAUCCAUAAAAAGUUUUAGGGUGUUUGGACUCCGUUUGAAAUUGAUUUCCUGCGAUGUAAAAAACAUGCAAAAAACAACAACUGGAACUGGCACUAUGUCAAUAGGUUAGUACCAAAAAAUGAUGUAAAAUGACUAUAAAAUGAUUAUAAAACAUCCAAGAAUGAUAAUAUAACAACAUGGAACGAUCAAAAAAUAUAUAUACGUUGGAGAUGUAUCACAUAUUCGUGGGACGAGAAACUCAGAGUGUUCGAGAGUACAUGCACGGACACCAUGGUCAUAUUUGCUACGGCGGUGGUUGAGGUGUUUGGACCUCAAUACUUGAGAGAACCAACUAUCACAUAAAGUGAAAGGCUCAUGGCACUUUUGAAAGCAAGAUGAUGACCAUGUAUACUCGAAUAUCUUGAUUGCAUGCAUUGCAGAUGCAAGAACUGCCCAUAUGUUCUACCAUCAUUCUUGAAGUAGUUGCAUCACAUGCCCUCUGAAUUUGGUUGAGUACAACAUGUGCUACUAUCUCGUUAACCAUAUCUAUACUGUGUUGGUGAUCUUCUUCAAGAUCAUCCCUGAGCUAGUUGGUUAGAAAAGAUCUCAAUUUGCCCAAAGACAAUGAGGUAGAAAUGAUGUGGAGAGGGCAUUUGGAGUGCUCAAAGCCCGUUUUGUAGUUGUUUGAGAAACUACAAAAAUAUCACAUCUGAAGAACUUGUGCUUGGUGAUGGCAUGUUGUGUGAUCGUGCAAAAUAUGAUCAUGGAGGAUGAGGGUGAAGAAGAUGAUGCCGGAGGUUUGGAAUUUGAGAACAUGGGUGAUCCUAUCCAACUUCCACAUCAGAAUCCGGCCAUGUUUGAUGAUUUUAUUCGAAUGCAUCAACAAAUUCGGCAUCGAGCAACUCAUGUGAAAUUAAGGAAAAUCUGAUUGAGCAUCUGUGACAUAUGUGCGAGUUGAAUUCAAAUUUAAACUAUUUUAUUUAAAAACUUAGUUUGAUUGUAAUAUUUACAUUUGAGCUAGUCUCACAUUUGAAUAUUUUAGGUCAUUAAAGAUUUGGUAUGCUAUUAUUUAGAGUGAUGCAGACUUAAAAAAAAUAGAGGCAAACGUCUAGGGGACAUGAUUACCGACUCCCAUAUUCGUGCCCGCAAAUGAGCCCAGACCAGUCCAUUGACGAACAUUGUGUCCAUUUUUAAGGUCGAUGUUGGAGAUGCCAUUAGCCCCUAAUACCUGCCCCUAAUUUUACAUCCAAUGCAUAGUAUUCUCUCAAGGCAAUAAAGACCCAUACAUAGUAGCUUUCCCAGUGCAUUGUACAACAACAACUGUCUCUACCUCUUGCUUUGCAAAAACUGAUUACGUUGCAGAAGACAAAACUAGCAUUACAACAUUUUAGAUCCAAGUAUGACAGCACAAAACUGAAUACAAUAGACAAAAAUUAAUCCCAUCACAAUUAGGAAAAGCACAUGAGUUUGUAUGGAGCAAAACAUAACAAGGAGACGGAGCAAAGCAUAUAGUAGACAAAAGUUAAUCUCAUCACUUGUUUGCAAAGCAAACAUUUACAAUUGCAGGCCAAAGAUUUUUCACUCCAGUGGGCUGCAGUUUCACGUUGUAAUCAUGGAGAAGAUUACGCUACAAGAAAAAAUGCCAAGUCUGAGCCUUGUUUACCUUGAGUUAAUCCUAUACGUUGGAUGCGAAAUGGGUAGCAGAUUUGGUGGCUAAGGCGCUCAGUGACUUCGCUCCACCAAGUCACUGAAGUUGAGUUCACUUACGACGUGUAGAACAGUGGUCUCCUAAUCCCGAGCUCAAAUGAUCCUUUAUGAACAAAUUUUUAAAAAAAAUCAUAAUCAAUAAAACACUGGUUAGUUGUGUUCCUAUGUGCAAAUUUUCGUGAUUAAAUCACAUUUGUGGAGAUCCAGAAAAAAAACAAAAUCAGCGCUCCAACAUGCUUUAGAGCAUUAGGAAUGUUUUUUCUACAAAAUUUUACAUGUAUGUAGAACAUUGAACAAUGUUUAUUGCCAAAAAAAAUAGAGUAUUUAUUACAAAAAGUAACAUUUUUCGUUGUGGCUUAUGUUGAAUACUAUGGACCAAGGAUGUCUCUUUUGAGUGCAUCAGUCAAUAUUAUUUACUUACACAUACACGCACCUUCUAGAGAAAGCAGAAAAAUUUCGUCAUAGUGUUGCCACUACAGACGUUAACGUACUCAUAGCCGAAAUCCGAGUUGAAACUCCGGUAGAUCGUUCAUAGGCUAGCAUAAACUCAUGAGGGGUGAAGAAGUCGCAAUAACGCGCAUCAAGCAACAUAUAAUGACGUGUUAUGGAACAUGCAUAAAACAAUAUAUCAUGUAUUGCAAAACAGAUUUUGGCAUAAUCUAGAUCACCUUCCAACUAGGUUUCUCUGAACAAUUUCAUCCACAGGUGCCAUUGAGUCUAUCAACUUAAAAAAAAAA
rnacentral:lncRNA from 1 species